CUGAAAACAAAGUUUACCGGCGAAUUUCGCCGCGGAAAAUGACGAGAAUGGAUUACUUUUGUCUUUUUUCUGUUCCUGUGGAAACUUUGCCUGCCAUCGUGAAACUGGAGGGGUAUAUCUACAUCGUAGUGAGGUAAGACUGUUCUCAUGUUAACGAGGAGGAUGUUCUGAUUUGUUUUCAUGUAUGAUAGUGGGGUGAAGUUACCUGACGGCUUCUUCAGUUUCCUCUUUUCUACCGGAGUCUCUCAUGUCCGUAGCGCCUUUAAAACGUGUUUAAAAAAGUGUUUAAAAAAAAAUCUGUCAUCUCGUCCUUGUGAAGUUAGAGGCUGGAGAUGAGAGGGAGAGGCUCAUGUCACGGUCUUACCCGCGCAUGUGCGGACACCGGGUCCGAGUGGUUUUAAUCUUUUAGCUAAAUAUUACUAUCAACAAAUGUAGUAAUGAUAGCAGGUUUCUACAAAACAUUGUGUAAGCCUUGAUGAGUUUAGACAACCAGGGAAUCACGAGCAGAACGAUACCAACCUUGGUAAAAAGGUGGUACAAUUAGUUAUAUACAUACUCAUUUAGAAUCUGCUGAUUUCUUAUUACCACUGCAGUCAAAGUGAAGUCAGUGUUGUAUGUUUACGGUUGUAAAGUGGGGUCUAUUGUGAUAUUUUUUAUUAGGAGGCCAAAAAUCCCUGGCAGUGCCCCAGUGGGUGACUUAGUAUAGUCACACAGUACAAUGGGAUAAUGUCAUGGGGUGAUAUAUGGAUCAGACUACAGCACAAACUGUAUCCAGGGGAACAAGAUUUGAGUCCUGUGAGAGGAAAGAGACCAAGUCAAGGCUGGAUUGUCUUAAGCUACAUGAAUUACAUCCCUAUCUAAGAAAUUCUCGCUUAUACACUUAAUCAAAAUUGAUAGAUGUAUUACAUAAAACAUGACUAAGCAGUCCUGUUAAUGCCUGAGACUCUCUGUAAAGUAAAAAAAAACACCUCAGGUAGGUUAAGAGCUUCUCAGUGGUCUCCCAGGUGAGCACAAGGGCAGAAAUUUGUGCUACCAGCCAACAAUGAUCUUUGACGGACUGACAGGAAGUUUUCUUUGUGUUCUUGACAAAACGACAAACAAAUAGCAUCAUUUGCUUGAUACAGGACAAAAAGGAAAGUGUGUGGAUCUGAACCUGAAUCUGUCAAUUUUACAGACUAGAUAAUCCUUUAUGGUUUGUCUUCACCACUAUCAUUAAAUAUGCUGAAUCUCUGAUAAUGAUGUAAUCAUGAAGACUGAGUAGUGUUCAUGAACUUCAUCUUCUAAAGCCGCGUUCAGACCAGCCGCGACCUGACGCGACUUGGCGACGGCUCCCAAUGCAAAGUCUAUGGCCAGCCGCGACCUGACGCGACUUGGCGACCGCCGGCUUCCUGCGACGCGACCAUGCGCGACCGGGCGACCGGUCGCCAAGGCGCGUCCCCGAGGUCGCGUCGCCGAGGUCGCAGGACGCCAAGUCGCGUCGCUCCCAAAGUUCAAAUAUUUGAACUUUGGGAGCGACUUCGUGCCGCGACAGCCAAUCAGGGCUCUGCUGACGUCAACAAACCGGCGAAACAAGGAAGAGGAGAAGAAGAAUCACAAUGGAGGAGCAGUUAAUCACAUCCGUUAGCUACCACCCAGCUAACUGCCCCUGCUUGCUAGGCUACAUGUUUCAACGUAUGUGUGUGUGUGUGUCUUUGCAGUGGAUGUGUGCCGCAAGCGGUGGAAGGGGCUUAGAGACGUUUAUAUGAGGGACAGACAGAUAGACAGGCGCUCCGAAGCUGAGAUGGAGCGCCUGUAUUUCGUGUCCAGGCGGGAGAUGCUGCUUCCCACCUGGGCGAGGAGGUCCUCGAACUGCGCCGUCGACACACGGAAAUACCGCUGGAUGCGGCCGUCGUCCAGGCGGAGUUCCUGGAGCAAGCGGUGAAAUUCACCCAGCUCCGUCCUCCUCCGGAUGGUUUCAUGCACCCAUAAACGCCGGCGGCGUCUACUGCGGAUGCACAGAUAGCCUAUGCGGCAGCACUGAUGAACUGAAAACUGAGCUAGUGACAUGGAUGACGUCACCGGCGACCAGCCGCGACCUGCGACUGCAACUUUGGACCCGGUGUGAACACACCAGAGCACCACGCGACGCGACCUGACCGACCAACGCGACGCGACGCGACCUGGUCGCGUUUGGUCUGAACGCAUCUUCUAAGGCUUUCUUCUUUACACAGCAUUCCUCACUCCUCCUCCAUCUCCUACAAUAACAUGCAAAACGACUCCACUCCUUCCUCAUGGUGCUGACAAGGUUGUUUAUUUAAUGGCUGAUUUAUUUAUUUCUUUAUUCCUGAUAAUCCACUUUGGAAUCAAAACACAAUUAUAAUGAAUCAAGCACUGUUCUCCUUCCCGUGGCUAGAUGACAACACUCGAGUUGUUAAGAGAGGAUGUUGAAAGGCGCGCACAAAUGCGAGGCUGAUAAACUCCAAGAGUCAUCCAGUAUUAUGAAUUACUUAGUGCUGAAAUGUCAGAAAGAGAUUAGACUGUGAGAGCCACUUCUUUCGCGGCUUAUUGUGAAGAACCAUCCUCUGCUGUCGAUCUAUCUUUUGUUGAGGACUUAUGGACUUUCAAAUCUUAAAGUAUUACUUGAAUGCCUUUGCUUUUCUGUGGGUUUUAAUGCUGACUAUAAUGAGUACACACACAGCAGGUUGUACUAAGAAUGCCAGUGGUAACAAAGGUUUUUGCCUCAGGGGAACGGAUCCAGUCAACUUGGCAAAGCAGGGGCUCCAAGUACGUGCACAGUCCUUGCUGCGUUGGUGGUAGGAUUGAGUCCUGAUUCUGGCAUGGUUUGGUGCAUGUCAAUCCUCCCUAAGGGUGUUUUCACACCUGAAAGUCCAGACCAAGGUCCAAACCAAGGUCUUGGUGUCAACUUUAUUGACAUCGACAGGAAAGGAAAAGAAAGUAUGCAAUCCUGCAAGUCAUUGCAACACUGGCUCGGGAGAAAAGUAUGUGUUGAAAAGAUUAACUGUCAAUAGUGAGGUAUAACCUUACCUACAGUUUUAUAAAAUUUCCUGUUAUCGGACAAUCUCCAUUCCCUAUCUUUGGUACGAAGGUCUGAACCUUUCAAAAUAAUGCUUUCACACUGGGCAUGAACCAGACUGUGGUUCAGUUUGGUCAGUAGCAAGAUCACCUCUUUUGGUCCAGACCAAGGUUCUGGGGAGGUUUCGCACUUGUCAUUUGGGUUCGGACUAAACAGAAAAGUCUGAAAGUCCGGACCGUACAACAUAGGUGUGAAAGCCCCCUAAGUCUCUCAAGCUGUCCUAUUAAAAAAAAAGAGAUUGCUCCCCAAAUAAUCCCUGAAUAAAGACUACAAAAGUAAGUUUAUCUUUAUGAAAUGAUUGAUGAGCUGUCCAUGACGAAUUUUCUUAUUUUGUAACGCAGCAUUCCCUUUAAAGUCUGCAGGUGCUCUGUCACAGUUUUGCUACAUGGGUAUAAAUGCCAAUUCUGUUCUUUGAGGCCAAGAUUUGAUUCAUUUGGAGAAAUUUUGCCAGUGGUGGAAUUUUUUUGGUUUGUCCUCCAAUAUCCAAAUGCUGUGACCUACCUGAGAUAUGUACAAGGUUAUGGUUUCAUUGUGGUACUUGUGUCCUUGUUUGGUGCAGAUUUCUGCUCUCAUUUGUACUGAUUAACGGAUAAAAAAAAUAUAUAUUUCUGGAUGAAAGACUUAUUCACCUUUGUUUUGAGAGGAAUAGUGGCAAACACCGAGACCUUGGAGGAAAAAAAGGUAAUUAGUAAGCUGCUCACCGUUCUGUUUCUGUUCACUUUAUCAUCAAAGGAUUGUGAAGAAAAAACAAAAAAAAAAACAAAGAAAGCCUGCUGCAAUGGUAGUAGGAAUACAAGAUUUUCAGGUCAUUGUUAUAUUUGAUUUAAUGUGCCUUGCUUUGUCUACUAAAGAAAUCCUCAUUUGGAAAGAAGUAUUUUAAUCUUUCAUUAUUGCUUCUCUUUGAAACUUUUAUAACAACCGUCCAAUAUAAUCCAUGUUCCUGUGCUCUCUGCCUCCCAGUCUGGACAGCAGUCUGUUGCAGUUUCACAAUAAAGCUCAGACUGUUGGACUUAAAGAAUGGCUUUCUAAAUUGGCUCUGGAUUGGCACUAGUUUCGCAUACAGGAUUUCCUUUGUCACCACUGAUCCCCUUCAGGUGACACGACGCUACACCUUUAAGGGUCUGAGAGGUUUAGCUUUCAGGCCUUUCACUCUCAAUGUACCUGCUUUUGCUUUCACUAACUUACUAUAAAUUUUCAUUGUUAUGCUGACAACAUGGUUAUGUGUGCCUAUAAAAGCUCCAUUCGGCUCACGUCCCUGAGAAACUGCACCCUAGAUAAAAAAGUAAUAGAUGCUGUUGAGUUUUCUGCAGCUACAUGAGACCGCAUCAGGAGGAGCUCUCCAUUUAAUUGAUUCACUGUGAGUUUCUGCCUGCCAAAGUACCGCCAGUAACAAUUAAUGCAGGUGUAAAUUUUGACAGCAUUUUGAGCUUUGAUGUUUCAAUGUUUCGGGUCUUUCCCUGCUGUUUCUUUUUAAGUGUGGAAUAUUUCUUCAAUUAUUUUUCCAUCCAAAAUCAUCUGGAAAAAGGUCAUUGAGGCUUUGAUAUCCCCUCUCACAGAUGACUACAGCUCCUAUUUCUGUCUCAGUCAGAAAUCAUGCAGAAAGCAGAAGGAGUAAAACAUCAUGCACUUUAAUACAUUUCAAAGGUUUGAACAAAUUUUUUUCCAAGACAUUCUAAAGCUGCAAGUUCAUAGACAGAAAGGGAGUUUGAUAGAUAGGCAGGAUGAGAGGAAAAUACGUGAUUGAAUAACUUCAAAAACAUCAUGCAUCCUAAACUAAGACAAGCUACAUACAUCCUUGAGUAGGAAUGGGAAUCGAGAACCAUUUCCUGUUGAGAACCGGUUCUAAAUGGUUCAAUUCAUCAACAUCAUUUACAUUUUAUCUUAAAGAUUCCUUCCUCCGGGUGUCUUAAACAACAGUCCUGCGAGAGCCAGUCUACAUGAACGAGAACAGAGACUUGAAAAUUAGGCAGAAACGAUCUAAUGCGUGUCUUCAUUUUACUAAAAUGGAUGACAACAGUGCAACGUUUGUUGAGCAGUGAUAACAUGCAAAGGUGGAAACAAAAGCAACAUGCUUAAACAUUUGUCAACAGGGCAUGGCAUCAAAUAUAAGGAGUCACACCAGUCAUCAGCCGCUGCUGCUGGCGCUGCGAGAGAGUCUGUUCUGUUGGCGUGCAUCGCAGCAGUUGUUUGUUGCAGCUCUAAGUAAAAGUUAAACGUUCUGAAGUUAUGCUCCGUCUGUUCCCCUGUUUUCUCCUGCCAUGUCAGCUGGACUCGUUGGUUACCAGCCUUAAACGAGCCAAAGUGGCUGUUCCAUAUCUCGGUUAGGGACAAGGUAGCUAAAAAGGUAACAGCACGUAUGUCCUGUGUUAACAUAAGCACAAUGAAUGCCAGACUUUACAAUGUAUUAUGUUUUUGACUUAAAAGUAAAUGCUGUACAAAUAGUUUGUCAUUUGAUUAUUUUGAGACUCUCACUGAAGGUGUCGUACAUAUUUUUCUGUUAUUUUUCUGUUUGAGUUAACAGUGAAAACUUACAGUCUACUUUUUUUCAAAUCAAAGAAAGGCAUUGAUAAGGGAAUUGUUGCAUCGAUAAGCAGAAUCAAUAAUGGCAUUGAUAUCGAUAUAAUCUUAUCAAUUCCAAUCCCUACAUGUGAGUCUUCUGAGCCUCUUAAUGAGUCUUCAGGAGUUCCACCCAGGCUGCAGAAUAGAGUGUUUUGUCUUCCCUGGUUCUGGAGAAGCUUUGUCGAGUCUGAGAAAAUAACUCCUGGCAAUUUCACCAGAGCAACCCUUCGGCUUCGUCUGGAAAACUUCAAAGCCUGGGGGCAUGAAGUUCGAAAAGACAUGGGUAUCAACAGGCACAGGGGGAAUGAAGUAAACCUUUUGAGAUGCUAUAAAAUCUUUCUUGAGCUUAACCUUUGCUUUACUCUGCUGCUUCGAUUUCAGCCGUUUAAAAAAGUAUUUGUAUAAUAGAAAUACUACAACCACUGUGAACUCAUCACUGAGUCUUUUUGUGAAGCAGAUAUGUGAUGGAGUCUUGAGUUGCUGCAUUGUGAGAUUGGAACCCAUAAGUCACUUAUGACGGGUGAUAUGGCUCUUUCCAUAAUGAGUUCAUGUUGAGUUCAUGUUUCGCUGUAUUUUCCCACUUAGGCGAUGACAGCAACAAAACAAUUUUAUGAUGAAUAAUGAAACCCACUUCACUGCAAAACAAAACUUUACAAGCACACAAAGUAGAGCAGGGAGGCAGCUGUUUUUUAAUGGUUCUCCCACUCCUCUUUAUGUACACAAAAAGAAUCCAAAAUACUGGUUGUCAACUAGUUGCUCUUUCAUUGUAACUUAAAACCUUAUUUUUUCUCACUACAGACAUUAUUCAAGAAGAUGCAUAUCGUUCACUUCUGACAGGUGUCCUCUGGGCCUUUAAUGUCAAAGAGAAAUAAUGUGAUUAGUGCGAAGGGUGAUAAGUUCCCCACAGGCACCCUUCUUACCUUUGCUAUAGCUGUUGAUUUCUCUAUAAUUCUACAAUUCUUCAGAACUUCAUGGGUAGUGUUUGAUUUGGCAGUUGUCAGAAUACACACCUGGGGUCUCAUUUAAAAAAAAAAAAAAAAAAAAAAGGUGAAGCGAAUCUAUAAUGAAAGUGUGUGCAGAGCAAAAAACAACUAAAAACAUGCAAAAAGAUAAUCAAAAAUCAGGUUAAUAACCCCCCUCCGCACAUUUGCACCUAAAUAAAUCACAUUUCCUUUGAAAACAUGCAUUAUGUGUCUAAAUAUUUUUCUUUUUCCAUGUGUUGGUACACUGUGACUUAUAUGUAGCUAGGUAACAUUAGCUCCGUUUACGUCUCUGCUAUCUUCUUGUUGAUUUGAGCUUUUUUGGUGAAUAUGCAAUAUUGUAAGUCUAGCUAUCUCUUGUGACUAUGUUCUUGCAGUCUACAGAAAAAGACUUCUGUGCUGCUUCGUGCAGCCAACAACAGAGCAACUGCCGUGUCUUGCUCGUACCUUUGUUUGGGAGGGAGAAAAAUAGUGUCUGAGUGAAAAUUUUUGGCGGCAGAACAAACAUCUUGGGCAGGUUCACCAACCCGGAGGACAGGAGUUAUCGCCAUCCAUGACGUCAUGGAAGGCGAUAGUUUCAAUCUGCCCGUUUGAGAUGACAUUUUCUGAAAGGUGGAGCAAGCAAGAGAGGGAGAGGGUAGACUUUUCUCAAAUUGGGGGAGGGUUGUAGACAGGCUGGGGAUGCAUACUAUUGUUGAAAAAAACAUUUUCAAGUGAAUUUUGCAUAAUAUGGGACCUUUAAUGCUUACAGUUGUGGUGGCCCAUCAAAGUUUCUUUCAGUGAGUUAUGGCAAACAUCUGACACAAAAGUUUUGAACUGGUUUCUGCUUGUGAAUGAAGUGGAGGUCAGACAGCACAUUUUGAUUUUUUUCACAGGGUCACAAUGACAAUAAAUUAUGUGACUGCCGUUUAUAGCCCUUAGCUGUGCAUCCAUCAUUCAUAGGCACAGGUGUCACUGCAGUAUUAAUGUUUACAGGACUCAGACUGAUUUUUUCACAUUAAGCCAGAGUGCUCGCCUCAAUCACCAACACUCCCUGUAUUUAAUACUAUUUGACAGAGAUGUGUGUAUUAUAUCAUGGCCAUCACAUGCUGUAAAUUAGUCAGGAAUUCCAUUUCUAGGUGAUAAUUAUGAGUAAUUGUCACUAAUAGCUUGUUUUUAGUUAUUUGUCUAACACUGUUUUUUUGACUGUGAGCAUAUGUGAUGAUGUGCGAGAGCUGCCAGUGGAUCAGCUUACACGCUUUGCUAAAUAACAGUGGAUACCUGCAAAUGAUGCAUUUAAGUGACAAAAAGUUUAAGCAGCCUUUAUCUCUGAGCGCACUGAGAUUAAAUCUUCAUUACUGAUGAAAAUUAAAUCAAAUGAAAGCGCAGUUGCUUUGAGCAUAUUGACACAACCCUGGAUUUUGAAGUUACAAUAUGAUCCAGUUCUGUGCAUCUAUAAAGUUUGUUUUUACAUUCGUUUUUUAAUUAACUACUUUACAGCACAACAUUUACACUUGGGUCCCUUGCACAUGAGAUAGGAACUAAGCCUCGAAUUAAAGUCCUUAGCCAACGGAUUUUUUAAAUAAUUUUUUUUACUAUUGAUAGUGUUAUUGUGGUCAUAGUUGUGAUUAUUAAGUUUUUAUCCAAAAUCCCGUUACCUGUGUCAUUUUCAAGGGCUUUUCUUCUGCAGAGUUUCAGUAGCUCAAUAGCAAUUCUCCUCUGAGACAAAGGUGGAGACAGCGCUGCUCUGCUCACUCCUCUUCGUGCUUCUAGCCUAACAUUGCCGAUGUAGUAGAAGUAGCAGGUAACAUAGUCAAUCCCAUGUCAAUAUCAUGAUCAGCUUUCUUAUGAGCAUUUCAAUCUGCUCAUGCACACGCUUGUUCCGUGAUUGUCCUCUCUACUUCUUGGAGUCUGGCCUGCAGAGCAGAACAACGGGGGUGGAGUUUGGAGUUGUGACAUAGGAAAUCUCACUGUGUCUGAACCUUCCAUUUGGGUCUGUGAGAGGUUCACAGUGAUUUGACUGUAGAAAUACUCAGAAACUCAAUCCCGCACUUACUUUUCGAAUGAUAUGUCCUCUAGCGUCAGAAAUAUGCCAUAUGAACAUGUAGACAACAAGAGAAGCGUGAUUUUCAUCAGAGUGGGUCUUGAAAGACGGACCUCUCUUUUGCCUUGUUUUAAAAUUAACGUACUGUGAGGCACUUAGACUGUUCUUGAAGCUAAAUACCAUGGCUUGACAGAGCAGCAGUAAAGCUGCAAAGUGUACCACAGGGUAUUUUUUAUGACCAAUUGAGGAAUGUGUUUUUAGAGAGCUGCCAAACCCAUACCAGAAGAGUCCAGGAAAGGAUGCAGAGAUUUGGCACUUUUUGCAUACUACAGCUGGCAUCACCUGAAGCUGAUCUCAUAAUGAGGCUCCACUUGUCUGUUUUCAUUUGUGCUACUUGGUAAACAAGGUCUUCAGAAUGUGGCUACCAUAAUGUCACCCAGAAUAACAGCUGUAGGUUGUAUACUGAAGGUGUCUGGUUACAAAAAUCCUGUUUUCAAAAUACAUGAUAUCUAAACAACUCAAAGUCAGAGCAAAUAGAGCUGAGGCACUGGUGAAAAAAAAGUACCUAAUGUUAAAAUAAAAAGUACAUUAUAUAGACUUCACAUACAUUCCUGCAGCUGUGCUAAACCAUCUAUGCUGUAACCAACUUGAUGUGGCCUCUUGAAGCCCCUCAUUGAAUAUAUGAUGAUUGACAUCCUGGAAGUGACACUUUAAUGCUGCUUGAGAAACACAUUGUAUCGCGCCUCUCAUUAUUAUCUUUCCACUCCACUGCUCUCUGACUGAUGUGUGAAAUAGCUCUCAUCAUAUUUAUCUUGCACAAAAAAUUGUACAGGGAAAGCACUUUUGUUAAAGUAGUUUUUUUCUUCUUCUCUUGAACUUGGAUCUGACAAAACAAGGAUUAACUUAACUUACUCGGUACACAGGAAGCUUCACUUUCUUUGUUCAUUCUUUGAUGUCAUCAUUCCUCAGUGUUGCACAGGAUGUAUCGCCUCGACAAAAUAACCUGUUGGCUGCUGCCUGUCAGAGAUAGAUUUGCUUUCGUGACAUGGUGUCUAUCAAGACCCUCUCAGUGAUGCGGUGAUUCACAUUCGGAAAGUGACACGUACGUAAAUGCUACAUAAUGAGCGCUUCCAUUUCCUGUCCUGUUAUUACACACCCCUCCACUCCACCCUGUAGCUGAUGUCAGAAAUGGCCGUCAUCAUCAUCAUCAUCAUCAUCAUCAUCAGCCUGAACUUGCCUACUGUUCCUGCUGGAAGCACCUGUGCAGAUAAAUAACAUGGUACUGUAAAAGGAGACACCUGUCUUCACCUCCCACUUAUUAUAGCACUUCAGCAGAGGAUUUCUGAACCCUCAUUUUACAGCUGUUUUGAAUACCUGAUUUUGAUUGGUCAAUAUUAAGUAACAGUCUGUCACUUCUAUUGCUAUGGAUUUUUAUUGAUUGAUUGAUUGAUUGAUUAUAGACGCUGUCAGACUGAUUGUAAUCACAUCAGCCCAAUAAAUAGUUUUGGUUGGUCUGACAGUUUGUGAGAUUAAAAAAAAUUAAAUGGAAAAGGACACGUGCAGGAGGGGUGAGACACUAGAAGUACUUCAGUAGGACUUUAGUGCGCUAAUUUAUGUGAAAUGUAAAACGGUUCUUAUAACUGUCUCUGUUCUGCUGCUGCACAUAUUAUGACUGUGGUCCUAAUAUAAGGAUUUUUUGGUGUGUUAAAAGUAAUUCAGCAGUGCUGGUGUUUAGAUGGGUUUGUGUAUAUAUGUCUCUCUCUUUCUCUCUCUGCUUAGGUAUGCCAAAACCCUGUUAGCUGAUUGGACGAUGGUCUCCUGCUCAGCAAGUGAUAGGCUUUAUGCAGUAAGUUUUGCCCUAUAUUAGCUGAGAGAUUAGAUUAGUUUGGUUUAGACAGAAUUUAAUUGAUCCUUUUGGGAGGGUUCCCUUAAAGAAAUUAAAAUCCCAGCAGCGUCAGUGUGUACAGAAAAAAUUAAAUACACAGUUUUUCGAUGGAUACAUGUGCAGUGUAGAGCUGUGAGCACGGAGCGCAAAGCGUCCUUUACGCACAGAUGGUUCCGAUUUUAAUGCCAUUAUUGGAGUUUAUGUUGUGAUCUGUGAACACAACCCACCUUUGUCGCGUGAGGUUCAAACAAUGCAACUUUAUAUGACUUACGCCGAGCCACGCCACCGGCGAGGAACAAAAAUAGAGCCCUAAAUGUCUAUAAUUUCUAAGUGUAGGAUCAUAGAGUAAUUCUGAUUCUGAUUAAAGGUACAAUAGUAAGAUGGAAUGAGAUGAGAUAAGAUGAGAUGAGAUGAACUAUCUUUAUCUCCUGAGGGGAAGUUUGAUUGUCUUGGUCAAAAAAUUGCAAUAUGAUAAUUGCAAGUCUUUUAGAUCAAUGUAAACUCACUUGAAUAUGAAAACCUUUUCUUUUUUGGGAAAAUUAGCCUUUCUUACCCUUUCAAGUGGUCAGUCAUGCACUGCAAGUAUUUCUAAAGUAUUAAGGGAUGGGCAAAGUAGUCAUGGUUCUUGUAUUUUGUGACUGGUCUUCUGAAAAGCUCCAGUUGGAGGGUAAAGGAGACAAAAUAUACAGAGAAGAAGAUGAGAAAAAAGAGUUGGUUGCUGUUACGUGCAAAAUAUUUGUACUGAUUCCAGUUUUUGACAGAAAGAGGGACAAAAGGAGGAUCACUUCAUCCUACAUUGCAUGAGCUUCUCUCCGAGUGUUUUCGACCUAGACUGUGAUUGCUCGAUAUCACCAAUUCUGAGAACGUUGACUUUUCUUUGAUGCAUGCUGAAUUUUCCCCCAAAUAUAAAAAUCCUUACUCUCCUUUAACAGCUGUAGUCUAAUUUGGUAAUUUGAACACUAGAGGUAAAUUUGGAGUGGAAAAAUAUAGUUUUGAAAACCAAUAUGGUGAUUGCUACAUGUUUUGGCUUCUAUGUUGGCAUUAUCCGGAGCUGUUGUCUUGGGUGGAGUCUAUCUUUCUCCUCUUCACAGAGAUUGGGCGGCUCCCUCCUCCCACCUGCACCUUCACACCUGCACCAAAUUACUAUGAACACCACCUGCAUUUAAGCCCCGCUGUGAAGCUUCUCCAUCACCAGAUUAUUCCCACAUCUGUUGUGGUAUCUUGGCCAGUUCUCUAGUGUUCUCUUGUGAGUUUGCAGUUGUUUUAACAUUCCAGCUUUGUGUGUUUUAUCAGUGACAAACUUUGCUGUCCUCCAUCUCUUCCUGUGCCUCCACAAGCCCCUACUGCUACUGCCUAAUCUCUAUCAUGCUGCCACACUCUCUCCCUGGAUUCAGUUACCAGCCUCCUCCUCAAGUCCUCACAUCUCCAGCCUUCACCUCAUGCCUUGAACCCUGGAUCCCUCCCCUCCACCCUUUUCCCUUCAAUUAAUCAAUUAACCUAAUUGCUUUGUCUGCCUCUGGUUAUGCUUUUGGGUCCAAACUUAAACACCUGCUUUUCAAAACGUAACAACCAACCACUUACUGAUUGACAGUCAGUGUGAAAACAAUCAAGAAUCAGACUACAUUAACACGUGCCCGGCUAUUUUCAUAAACGGACAUUUUACGUCUCCGUUUACAAAAAAAAAAAACGCAUGCACACACCAAUACAUUUUCAGAAAAGUCUUCGUUUACACUAACCCAUGUAUACAUGCUGUCAAGAGCAUGCCAAACCUGUAGGUGGCAGUGUAGCGAGACGCUCAAGUCCACGUUAGCCUAUCAGAAUCCCGCAUAGCAGCAACAACAACAUUGUCACUUCCUUCUUUCCAGCGCACAAUCUGCCGUCCACUACCCAAAUGCAAAUGUGCAAACUGAGUUUCCCAAAUUCUCCACUUUGGCCGUUGUUUUUAAAAAAAGGAAAGUUUUCAGGGGCAAAUUCUCUGUUUGCGUCUAAAUGAAGGGUGCAAACGAUGGUUAAUGUCUUUGUUUUUAACAAUAACUGCGUACGUAUAAACAGAGCCUAAAUAUACAGAAUUUCCUCUGCCUAAAUGUGUUAAUGUAGUAAAAUCAUGUGUGCAUUCAUUAAGGUCAGCUGUUGUCUGAGAAACACUUUGGGCCAUUAGUCAAAGUAGAGACGAAGCCUUUAGGUCUGGUAAAUAUAAAAUAACAUUAAAACUGUUGUUGUUUAAAAAAGACUGUGACAGUCUCACCAUGAAUAUCAAAGCUGCUCAUGAGAAGUUUCAUUCCAUUAAAUUUAAUAGUCAUAGAUUUGGAAUCUAUCAAUCUCUUUAUGGUUCUGACUGAAUUAGUAAAGCGUUUGGCCCAACUUGUUUUUUUUUUUUCUCUCCGACAAAUGCAGUCAGGAGGCACUUUGGGUGAAUAAUAGGUGCAAAAAGCAUGAGCCCUCAUCACUGAAGGCUUAGUUUUACUCACUUAAUUUACAUCUAGUCAGGUCUUAUGGAACAUUUUCUUCCUUUCCCAGCUGUUUGCCUCAUCCCUGCCCCACUGGCCAAAUUCUACAAAUCAGCAAUGCACCAGAGCAUUUGUGCUCCUGUAUGGCAGCUAACAAGCUAACACAGAAAACCUUAAACAGAGUCAGGGAGCAAAGUCUUCCCUCCCCAUCUGUUGCCUUUAAGGGCCGCCUCUUGCUGAAACAGACAGUUGAGUCUCUCUCCUUUCCUUAUUUAGGAUGGAUGGAUGACUCAUAGACACGAUUGUACACCAUUGCCACAGCAUCAGGAAAGAUAGUGGACAGUGGACUCCCCUCUUUCUACUCCUGGAUUAGUGCCAUUGAGCAUCUUUUAAUUAAAAAAAAAAAAAAAAAAACUUUUACAGGACCUCAAACAGGUUCAGUGUGUUGGUUAAAUGGGAUUUGGGCAUUAUGUUUUGUGGCAGCCUGUCUGCUUUUCAAAGUCUGCAUGGAUACACUAGGUUUAUUUCUGUUUAGGCUUCUGUCUCUUACAAGCCACUGGCCUUUUUAUCUGCUCCACCGUCAGCUCGCUAUAAUAAUGCGAUGAAACAAGUACGACAGGCACAUUUCACAAAAUGAGUGUCUGCAACUGAAACAGCUGCAGCGCAUUCUCCCACAUGAUUUACUGUUAAAUUGUCUCUGUGCAGUCGGGAGGCAUGUCCAUGAACUCUAAAUGUGAAGAGGUUACAGUUCACUUCGGAGCUAAGAUUUGUAGUAUUAGGAGAAAUUCAAGAUAAGACAAGAAGAACUUCAUUUAUUCAAGAGGGGAAAUUCAAUAAUUCAAGUCAAUGUCAUAAUUCUUAAUAUACCAUCUCGAAUGUAUUUACAAACCAAAGUAUAACAGCGGGAUGUGCCCUUGUUAAAACAGUCUAAAGGCAGUUCAGUGUCAGAUAGCUUCAUUCCUGUGUAACUGACCUCUCUGGUGCUAUUUGAGUAGUUUUAAGUAUAAAUCCUUGACCGAUAUUUGACUUUUCUUUUUCAUUAUGAAUCAAUGCCUAAACAACCUUUAAACUCUCAGAUGAUGUUUGUGUUCCUCAGGGUUCCAUCUUAGGUCCUCUGCAUUUUGAAAUUGGCAUGAGGUAUCUUCCAAAUCUAUGCUAUUGACACAUGACACUGGGAGAGAAAAGAUACAUUCAUACACACUGUUAAUGUUGAAUUGUUUUUUAUUUUUAUUUAUUUUAUGUUAUUUUAUUUAUUUAUUUUUUACCAGUUUGAAGUUUUCUGUUAACUUAGUAUUGAGUAUAAGGUCAUAUUAUUGUAUUUUAAAGUUCUUAAUGGUUCUGACUCUAAUUGUGUUAUCUGUUUUUAUCACGCCAAUUUGGCCUGGGUGUGAGGUUCAUUUGUUUAUCGCGCUAUUGAUUAUAUUCUACCUUUCAGUCUGACCUUAGAUUGAGUUUGAAUUAUUAAUUAUUUUAAUUUCUUAGUUUGUGACUGCAGUGAUGGAGGUACAGAGGUACAGAGAUGUACUGUGUUAUUCAGCCAGUACCCUGAAGGACAUGCAUUUACUGUAACACUGUACUAAUAUCUUUUAAAGGAUAUAGUUAGUCUAAGCAUCAGUACAACAUUAAACUCAAUGCCAAAAUUAAGUAUGACUUUGUGAUUUUCCAAAUUGCAGUCAAAUAAAAGGUAAUCCAGAAAGUUUCCACUGUUUGAUAGUCAUAUGGAAAAAAACAGCGUCCUGAUACGAUCUCUAGUCUGAGUAAUGUUGACGAUUUCAACGCCUUUGUUGCUCUUGCUCUGGCAUCAGGCCUCUGAGUUCUUCCAACCUGUUUCUUGAUUUUAUAUAACAAAUAGUCCUCAUAGCUCGCAUCACAAAGCCAUCAGUUGUUGACACACGCUGUUAUAAAGGACCACGAUAAAACAUUGUAGAUAUGUGCCACAAAAUGAGGAAAAAACAUGUAUGGCUAAUCUGACAAUUGAAAUGACAGUAUGGGAGAAUAUAUGUCUGCACUGUUGUUCAGGCACCAAACAUAUUGCUGUUCAUAUUUCAUAAAGAAUGCAUUGUCCACUGAGAUAUGGAAACUGAUCCGUUUAUAGAUUGGCAAACUGAAGCGGAACUGUUCGAAACAACCAUGUCAGGGAUAUCUGAAAUUGUUUUGACAUUUAUGAUCUUUUUUUUCUCCCCAUAGCCAGCAGUGAGAGAUGCUCUGCUCUGACUGCAUGACACAGGGGGUGUGCACGCUGGAAAAACUCAACAGAGCUCAAUCCCUGACAAUCUGAUAGAGGAGUGUGCCCUACCUUAUCAGGCAGAGUGUAGCUAGUGAGUCAUGACACGUAGACAGGUUCUUGUUCUGAGACUUGUGCCUUUUUCUUACAGCCAUUUGGGUUACUGCAUAAAUCACCUCUAAGUCGCCUUAAGUCCAAAUCCUCAUGAGCUUUGAAUGGCGUCUAGCAGUAGGACUAUGGGAUUGCUGAAAAUUGAAUUUUAGUUCUGCGGAUUUGCUUAUUGUUGGGGGGGUAAUCAUUCAUGGAUUUGGUUGGGGUUCAGUUGCUUUUUUAUUUGCAGUGGAGAUAGAGGGGUUUUAUAUACGCAUGCCAUUAGAGGGUUAUAAUGGGCCACUAAAGGCAGGUUUCACAAAUUUAAUGUCACUUGUAAUAUUCAACAUAAGCUCUCUAAUUGAUCUAAUGAAAACUCAGUAUGCCUUUCAGCGGUAGCCUUUUAAACGGAAUAAUCCAAAAUAAUUUGUUUAUUGUUCAUUUAAUAGGAUUCUAAUUAGCUGUGACAUAAAACACCACAAGUCUGCACAAACAUUCGACAUUUAUUGAAGAGAAGCUAACCAUUCAUAUUUGUGAGUCUGAGAGUAGGAGUCUGAUGAACUGUUUGUCAAAUAAAAUGAAAGUGUAUCUUAUCAAUAACACCUAAACCGUGUAGCGUGCAAUGAUGGCACACUUUUCCUUGCACUCCAGCUGCUGUCAGGAGAACAAAUUGCUAUUAGCAUAAUAAUUCAGUGAACUGUCAUACAGAAGGCACAGAGGUUAUGUUGGCAGGUAUCUGUCCAUUGGCUGGUGUGUGCCCAUUGGCGAGGCCUUUAAACUGACUGGGGCAGGGCAGCCAUCAAUAAUUCAAUGGGUGUGCCAGCGCAAAGGUAAACAAUGGCUGUAAUUAGGGGAGGUCUGCACUGUGGACAGGGAGAUUAAUGAAAGGGCAGUCGUUUCCACCAGUGCCCAGAGACAAGAGGUCUUUCACAGUGACGGAGGCACUGCCAGACUAAGAACAGUCCUACUGGGGUUCUGUCAGUGUGUGGGUUUAAUAAAAUAGCUGUGUUUCCAGACAUACACCAAGACACUUCACAGGUUAUUUGUACAAGAGAAACACACACACAAAGGUUGGAUAGUUAUUCUUAAACAUUAAUUUAAGUGAUUUGUAAGAAAAAAAAACUAAUCAUGUUAAAUGCAUUUUGUCUAAGAGUGCCAUUCUUUACAAUCCUUUGUCAGAAUCACUUCAGAAAGGGGCAAGAAAAGGAAGAAGAACAAGAAGUUUAUUAAUCCCCAAAGGGAAAUUCAUUAUACCUGCAUACAGUAGAUACUAUCAAAGACACUAGGCAUCCCAGGCCUGGUGUUACCAGACCCGUCAGCUAUCCACCGCUUUCCCCUCUGUGGCCCAAUCCCAGCUUUUUAUUUGAGAUGAUUUCUGUUGCUAUGUGCCAAAACACACUCAGCAUGAACCUGACUGGUCGCAGGUCUGUUUAAUCACCUCUAGAGGAACUUCCACAUACGACGGUUGCAAACGCUGCAAUUCACAGGUUUAAAUAACAAUUCCUGUCUGAGGGAUGAAAGCUUCUUUUGAGUUCACACAUUAUGUUUGAAUGCUUGAUGUCACUUUCCCGACUUUCCUUCUUUUUCAAUCCUCUGCUCUCACAAGUCAGUGUUCUUUUAUACGCAGUGCGCUCAGCGGUUCAACACACACAUCCAUGUGAAGAAAGACUGACACACUAAAGAAGUAAUCUGCAAAGGAGAAAAAAAACUCCUCUUUUUUACAUCGGUUGACCUCUCAGCACUUUUCCCUCAUUUUUGAAGAAAAUAUAUUUAAUUUACACAGCAGCUUGUUCUUGUUUGCCCGGUUGAUUCAGUCGGCAAGAACAUCCUCCCUGUGACCUUGUCUCUUUUCACUAAGACUUUCAUCAAACUGAAAACAUGGCUGACCAAGCAACCGCUGCAAGCUGCUCAGCUCAGUUCACUCUAGCAGAAAUGUGUGCCUCCUGGUUUGUGUCUGCAAUGGUGAGAAGGAACAUUUUGGAAGCACUGUGAAGUAUGCAGUCCAUGGGAAAGCUAAGGAUGUUGAUCGAAGAGCACCGUAUGCAAAAAAAAAAAAAAAAGAGAGAGAGACAGACUGUUUUAACUAGAACUACCCAGAUUCAUUGGUGAUUACAGUAGGUUUGAUGAACCAUGGCACAUAAAAUCUCUCUAAAUCAGCUGAGAGGUGGCUCGGGAUCCAAAACCACAGAUACAAAUCCUGUAAAAAAAGAAAAAUAAAAAUAAAAUCUUUGAACCACAAAACUCCAUCUGAACUAUCACCUUGUGGGUUGUUUUUGAUGUGAUCCAGUGAUUCCUUUAAAACAACAGUUGGCCUCUGUGUUUCCCCUUUGCUUGAAGGCGCCCCAGAGACCUAUUUCAGAAGCUUUAAAAGGUUUGAACUAUUGUUGAACUGAAGUCUUUUUUUAUUUAAUCAAACUAUUGUAAAAGACUGUUUGUGUCUUCAGAAGUCCACUGUAGUCUUUAAGUGUCUUUGAGUUUGGUGGUUUCUGCUCUCAGAACAGUUUUCUUUUUUAAUUUAUUUGGUGCAAUGCAAAAUUAAUUACAAAAAAUUUGUAGCAAAACUAUUUUUUUUCUAAUUGGAGGAACUUAAAUGAAUGACUGAUCUUUUAACCUUUUGUUUGUUUUCUUUUGGUUUUGAGUGGAUGUUAUUCCUCUCAAAAGGUGUUGGGCGUAAUGAAUUUUACCACAAUGGGUGUUGAUUUUUCCACUUAAUUACAAGUCCUUUAAAUUAGCUGUAACAUGAUUAGCUUAAUUUGUUAUUCCAUAAUUAAGAGGGAGGGAAUUUGUUUGUUUUUUCAAUCUAAGAGUUAAAAGGUCGGGAGUUUUUUAAUCUCCCUCUAAAGACCCAAGCUUGUUGUCUUUGUAGAAGUACAGUGGUUUUGUAGAGUUGUGUGUUUUUAUUUAGUGUGCAGCCAUUUUAAGUGCAACCUCAUAAAGAUGUAGAAAAGAGAGCUGUUUUAUGCAUAAAAUAAUUAAAUUAUGAUGAUACAUAUGUGACAAUUAGAGGAUUACGCAUCACAGCAGCUUCUUGACUUUAUUCUUCGUCUUUCAAACGCUUACUUUGAACUCUGAAUCUGAAUGCAUCAACAUUGUCGUCAUUUGUUUGUUGGUUUCUGUAUUGUGUGUUCACAUACAUUAACGGGAUUCAGCUAAAUAGGUCAAGUGCCUUGAGUAGAAUGAAAUUCACUUCCUCUUCAGCACCAUGGACAGCACCAUGAAGAGCCUCACGCAAGCAUCUGCCCUCAAGUGUUGUUCAGCGAAAUGUGGUUGGAGUUUUGAGUGGAUUUAUAUGGAAACUCUGGGGAUUUAAUUCCAGUCAACUUGGCAGAUGAGCUGUCUUAAUUGAUUCUUGAUCAAAUGUUUACCACAGCAACAGUAAAUCUCCACCACCUUUUUAUUUUGCAGAGGGCUGGACCCUCUCUAAUGACCAAACAGAGCCUGAUUUUGAAUAAGGAGAAAACUUAUUGACAUCUUAUUUUUUUUAUUCAUGUUUUAUUUCUAUUUUUUAGGCACACACACAUGUGCAAAUGGAUUUUCUGUUUUGAAGAAAAAAAAAUCUUUUGCCCUUUGCGUCAUAGAUUAGAGUCUAUAUUCAUGUUCUACUGAAGUUUCAUGUUAAUCCCAUCACACUCGGCUAAAUCACUGAGAGCCAUGUGUUCCACAGAUCUUUGUGUGCCCAUGUGUCCCCGUUCAUGUGCCAAGAAAAAGUCCAGCGGCUGUGAUUUAAGCCGGAUUUCAAACAUCAAGUCUCCGCCUCUAGGAAACAAUGCAUUGUAAGCCACCACCUGUCAAACGUCACACAACAGGGGGGCCUUCAAGGCUGCUAAAAACACUGCUUCCUAAGACCUGUAGUUUGAGCUUUCAGCUGCAGGGGCAGAAGGGCAAAAAAAGGAAAGAGAUCCAGGAACAAAGCCAGUGCCUGUAUAUUCCAUGAUUCCCCCAUGUCAGAGCUGCCCUGGCUGGAUGUCCUCUGCUCCCCCCUGGCGAUCAUUCAUCAUGCCGUCACACGGAGCAAAGGGGGACUACGGCUCGUGUAUCUCUGCUGUACAGUGACUUCUUGGAACAUGCAUGGGGGCCACUGCAUAAUCGGUUGGUUCUUUUAUGCCUAAAAUACCUCAUCUGCAUCGACUUCACCGCAGCUGCUUUCUCUUAUCUCCUCUGAAUUGAUUUACUGUGAAUAACCGAGAUUGUAUGGCAGAUAAAAUCAGGUUCAUGUUUACAAAAUAAGCUACGAGACACAAUGCUUGAAGCAGAAGAUCCAGUGGGUUGCGAGAGUAAAUCAGUGAAUUGUUUUAAUAAGCGGCAGUCUGCACAUGUGAGGUGUUCGUUAGGAAUGUCUAUCUUUGCAUAUUUCAUAAUUUCAAAUUUAGGUCACCUUUUUUUAUGCAACCACUUAUGUCAUUGAAUUGUUGCGAUUAAAGGAGUUAUCUUUAUUACACAUAAUCCUGUAUCUAAACUGAGUGGGAGUGGAUAGUUUGCAUUUAAAUUUGUGUCACAGCAGUUGGGAGUAGGAUGUUUAAUGAAACCCUCGGGGUCUAGUUUACAAAGACUGAAACAGAAUAGAGUCUUUGUUUCAGAAUAUCACAGGAGGACUGAGCUUUACAUUUUCACAACAUCAGCCAGGGAUGGCGAUGGCUUGGAAAGGGAUUGUUCGUUGGAAGCCAUGUUUUUAUUUUAAGGAAGACUGAUCUGCUUGUGCAACUCUGCAAGAGAAGAUACGCCACUGACACCUCUUUGUCUUUGAACCCCUGCGUAUUUUCAGCUGCUGUAGUGCUUUAAAGCAUAACUCCAAGAUUUAUCUAUAUUAUCAGUCGAAUCCUGUGUCACUUUCUUGUGUCGGCUGCUGUGUUAUUUUCAGCUACAUCCUUGUCUAAAGCUGCUGCUGCUAAAGCGAUGUGUCAGGCCUUAUUCCCACACCCAGCAGGUUGUUGUUCUUCUUGAUAGCUCACCAACAGGCAUAUUACCAGUCCCGGCUGUUGUUGUCACUGAUGUGCAGCCCCAAGACACUGCCUUCCCCUGUUCACAGUUCCUAGGAGUGUUAUGUGUCAUGUAAUAAGAGUGUACACCUUUUGUCCAAGCUAGGUCUACAGGGGCCCUGAAGGUACAGUCAAGAUGGGAGGGGGGUUGAUGUUAGAUUGAGGCGACACGUCUGCUCGCUGUCCCUGGGAGACGAAUGGGCCGUGGUCACCCCGCGACGUCCCCAGACAUCCCCAGAUGUUCCGGGACCUUAUGCGGCCCGAGUGGUUGACAGGCCCGAGAGACUCAGAGUCACAGCGUGAUUAAUCACCACACACACUGCAGCAUGCAGCUCAGCUCCCGCUGGCCCACAGCCGAAUGACUGGCCACUGCGCCGCAAAACAUUUCCUUCAAUGAGAAAUAAUAGCGAUAUCUGCUGAGAUAAUGAUGCACCUAUUAAAGAAUGAAAGGGGGGAAUAAAUAGGAUUUCGUCAUGAAAUAAACUUCAGAACAAACUUUGGAAAGUCUGAGAAAGAGUUCGAGAAUUGUGACGUUUGAGAGCUGCUGUUAACAAACUUGUAUGACCAAUAGCCUAUACCAAUAAAAAUAAACAGAGCAGUUUGCUAUUGUGUAAUGCAUCUAUAGUAUAAUAUAAGGGACUGCUUCAAUGUAAAAACAUGCUGGAUACACAGGCCUACCACUCAGUGCCACUUCUUAGCGCAAAAACGUCCGUGGACAGAAAUUCUUUUGCACACAAAAACAACUACUGUCUUUGUUUUUGUUUUCUAACUGGUGCAUUGACCAUAUGCUGAAUACACUAUCAUGUAUGCUGCUAGUUUGUCUUUUAAUACUACUUUACAAAACAAGACGAUGGCCUCUACGGGGACCUGCUCUUGAAAGGUUAAUUUCAAAUUAACAAAAACAAAGAGAUUUACUUUUCAGCUGACUAUACGCUUAUUUAAACUGUAAGAAUCAGUUCUUUAGUUGACUGCUCAAAGACAACCAGAGAAGUCUUCAGUUCUCACAUAAACCUUUAAACCUCUACACAGGUAGAGUAAUACAGCGUUGGACUCAUAAUGACAGAGCUCCUAGGAUCUCCAUCACAACGAGUGCCCAUGUCCGGGUAUCAUUCCCAUUUAUCUUCUUGGGCAGGGAUUGCCCUGGACAGAGGUUGAACUUAAUACACAACCAAGAAUCAUUGGCCAGUUAUCUCUGAUGUGAACAGGUCAACCACUGUUCACGUGGUCUUACUAAAGUGUGCUAUGAAAUCUGUGUGUGUGUUGUUGACCUUGAGGCGCGUAACUACUGUAGCAAACCUGUCCGUCAGAACAAAUAGAGCCUCGACAUAAUUUACAGUCCACAUUACUCUGCUUCAUGUCCGACCUCAAAAUACCGAAAUACCUCCACACCACCGACGUUUUCGUCAGUGUUGUUGACGAUGUGGUCAUCUGUUGAGCCUUCAUGGUCAUUUCUGUCGGGGGUAGCACUCAUUUUCUUUUUCUCUCACCAACAGUGCUGUUGGCUUCACCUGUUUAACUGCUAUGGUCGGGUGUAGCUGCUGUCUGCUACGACGCAGUUGUUUGAUACUUGGUUCUACUUCAGCACAUGAUUGGUUCAGUGUGAAGUGGACCCAGAGUAACUCCCAUUUUCAUUGGCUAUUCAUAUAGUCUACCAUGGCAGAAUGCCGACUAUUGAAAAGCAUAUUGACCGUGUUUUAUAUUGAUAUUGAGGGAAAUUAAUUUUUGAUAUAUAUCGUUAUCAUUUUAUCACCCAGCCCUAAUUGUUAUGUUACAUCUUUUUUUUUUAUUCCUCUUUCGUACAGCACUUUGGUACAACUUAAUUGUUCUUACUUAAAUCUGCUACAUAAAUGAAUUGGAAUAGAAUGAAAAUAGACCUCGUAUAGGUUUCACCUUUUACUUUUUAAAAUCAAAAACUCACAACACUUUUACGAACUUUUUUGGCAGAGCACAAAACACCAAAGGGAACAGGACGGCACUGAAUGUUUAUGUGGGGAAUAUCUUGCACCGGCUGAAAUGUUGUGUUUUGAACUUCACAGAAGCAACAACCGCACACUGAGACUUGUGCAUUUGAUGAUAGAAUCUGACAAUGUCACACAGACCUUCACAGUAUGCAUUUUUAUACUCUCUUGAUGCGGCUAGCUCUUCCACAUCCCCUUCAAACAUGCGUGGGCGGUUUAAGCUGUCAUUUCAUUCCGAGGGGCAGUUUGGGGUCACGGAAAGUGAGCAGAAGCGUAUAGAGGCUUCAGAAAGUAUAAGUGCUCAUGGAUGGUUUGAUACUGCCGGCCCACUCUGUUGGACAAUAAUUAAAGCACAGUCAGCUAAUGAGUUUCUUCUGCCUUUUUGAACCUUUCUCAUCAGGACCACUGGCAUUUUCUAGGGUUCACUUACAGAGAGCAGCUUAGGACAAAAUCUGAAGUGAUAUGAAAGAAAUGCUUUUACUCUCUGUUUUACUGCAUGUCUAAUUUACUUAUCCACAAUUUGACAUCACACUAGGAUAGGCAAUUACAUUUGCAGAAUGGAUAUUUUUCCUUCAUCGUUCACUAUCUCUGCUAGUUUCACUUGAUGAAUAUAGAGUGAAAUUUCGUGUAUAACCUCAAUAAAACUGAGUUUUUAAAGGAAAGUCAUUUAAAUAAUACAUUUUAAGGUUGUGUGCACUGGUCAUAAACGCUCUUGUGAGGAGUUUUUUGACAUUUAUGAAAUGGUUUACUACUCAUGUUGAUAUUUUUUGAUGAUAUACAAAACAAAUAUCAUUUUUAUAUUGUACAUUCUAAUGCCUGAAACUUGCGCAGGAGGCAAAUAUUCACAAUAAAUGAUAUGUUUGUCUGCCAGGAGUCAGUGGGAUGAGAAUUCUUGUCAGAAAAUACUACUUAGGCAAGAAAAAGACAAGUUAAACAAAUUCCUGCUUUGUCCAGAGGGGGCAUCAGAUUUGACACAAACUGAAAGUCACUGACUGGAGCUUUAAACACAUUUGAUGUAUUCACUAAACGUUUUUGGCAGUAGUUUUUCCUUGCAUGACUAGCAGCUUAUGAUGGCGAAUGUUAGCAGACUUUGAAUGGGGUGAUAUGAAUGAUCCUGUCUACUGACCUCAAGAUCAAGAUUUUUCCACAAAAUUUUUCCAUGUUUUACUACAACUAACUCUCUCCAUCCUGAUAAGGGGCAGUCACUGUUGUUCCACAUUUCUUGUAAACUUCAUUUGGGAGCAAGCUGAGUACCUUGUUUUCAUCUGUUAUCGCCUUCUACAUGAUUUGCACAACAGUAUCUGCAGCAUGCUGCAGAAAGGCAAGCCAGCUACCUGGUUCCUGAAUUCUUCUUGGACAAGAACAGCCUCAUCAUAAACAGAAAAGUCUGCAUUUGAAAACAAAUCAUUGCUCAUAUGAAUGAUUCAUAUGCACACAAGUCUGCAAAAACAACAAAAAUCACUGUAAUGAGCAUGACAGACCAGUGGUUGCCUGUGUAACUUAGUGAUGAAACACCAACACUGAAGAUUACAAAGUACCUGCAGUAAAGUUUUAACAGAGCAGUGAGUAUAAACAAACUCACAAGAAGGUGAUGGCAAACACAGCUGAAGAGGUGUAAAUCAACUCGGCAGAGUCAACAGCACAAACCCAGCUCCACAGUUCACUGUCUGCUUCAUUGUCCUGGACAGCUGUUUGACCGGGAACAUACUAUCCUCAUGCAAAUGGACUAUCACCGUUUUCUGAAGAGUUCUGUAUUUGGUAGUUUCCAUGAGUAUAACGGGGAAAGCUUUUUCAAAAGACUCCAGUCUGAAUCCUAAAGAUAAAAACGUGCUUUUAGGGCCUGAUUUUCUCAGGGUUUGUGUGUUUAAAAAGCAAGUGUAAACUUCAGAACACCAGAGGACUCUCUGUAGCUUCAACAAGUUAAACACGGCAAACCUUCAACUGAAUACCACCUCCUCCACAGUCUCAUCAUUCCUACUUCAUCACCUGUAAAACGCACAACAAACUGUGCAAUUUGUUAGGAUGUGCAUGCAAUUGAGUGUUAUUUGGGAUCUUUGUAAAUCAGGCCCUUAGUAACCCAAAACACAGUUUUGUGUUAAAAACAGUCAGAAUGCAUCAAUAUUUAAGCUUCUUACGUGUUGAAUAAUCAGCCUCCGAGUCGUCUCCUCCUGCUGCUUCAUCUUUGUCUUCUGGGAAUUUGUCUUUGUCUUCUGGGCUCACCAGAGUUUUUUUAGCUGCACAGUAACACCGAAUGCUUCAUCUUUAACGUUAUAUCAAUAUUCUAUUUCUUGAAAAGAGAGUUACUGUCAAUGGGUCCACAGUCCUAUUAGUUUUUAUUUUAUUUUUUUCAGAUAUUUAGAGCAGGGGAUAUACGAAAGCAGUGAUUUACACUUGAAGAGUCCUAACAGCCUCUGCUUUCUUCGUGUCUCUCUUCAGAUUUGCUGUAAACUAAGCACCAUUAGGAUAUAAAGGAUCACAUUUAAUGUCCCCGUUCUUAUUACAUGGAAGCUCCAGUAAAAAGAGCUCCAGAGGCAAGCAGGAGAAUUUACUCUCCUCAGUCAUUACUUACAUAAUCCCCCAUUGUUCUCAGCUUUUCUGUACAUUCUGUGUUCCCUGAAGGAUGUUCAACACCCUUAAAGCAUCAUGACAUUAUAGCACAUCAUCUGACAAAACAAACACGCCACACAGAGCAUAACUGCACCUGUAAUUGACAGAUCAGUGAUGGCUCAUUAUCCCUUUAUUGGGUUACAUAAAUGACACUGAGGAGGAUGGUUGCGGUAACUCGGGGGAUUUCUAUGUCCAUCUGUUCAGCCGUCACAGAAUCAUUCAAAUGCAAAUGUUUUCAGCACAGGGUUCUGCUUUCUGGCUAAUGCUGCAUUUUUCAUCCUCAGACGGUCAUUCUUCGGUCUGGCCUUUACCCAAUUUUAUCAAAUUAGAUGGUCAAUUUAAGGGAGAGUGCUUUGCUUUUUUAUGAAGCAUAUGCCUCAUACAUUUCCCACCAGGAUCUGUCAUAGAACAAGAUGAGGUAAGUAUCCACUGUCACACUGUAGCUUGGCUCUAUGCAAUUUGAAGAUGCAUUGAGUUUGCUCUUUCUUGUUGAGGCUGAAGUCAACCUCUUUUGGCCAUUUGUUUUGCAAGUCUCAGAUCAGUCAUCAAAGCUCGGCCUGAAAAGAAAGGAUGGUGUGUGGCGAUGGUUUUCAGUUGGAUUCCUCUUUUAAGAUGCAGAUGAAAAAAAAAAAAAACAGAAAAUGUGGAGCAAACAAAUUGAGUCUGCCUGAGAAAAGAAAAGCGCCAGCCAGCACAAAGCGUAUACUCUGUGCUGUCAGGUCACUUUAGCAGUAUGUUUUGACAGAUAAAAGGUCAACAUGACCCAGUUCCUGCCCAGGAUGAGUGAAUGGAAGAAGCACAGGUCACAGUCAGUGACGGUGAAAAAGUGAGUGUGUCAGAGUGGAGGAGAGAUAGAGGGAGAGACAAGGACAGAGAUAAAAACCUGAAGCCUAUAUUCCAACCAUGUACUAAUAUCUGAUUAACUCUUUACAGACAAUGGUGAUCGACUGGUCGGUCAGACUGUGAUCACCAUCACUGGUCUUAAAAGUCAAAUGCCAUCUGCGGUCUGGACAUCAUCAAAUAACAGCCCAGCACUUGGUAGUUUGGUGCUUAAAGUGAUGUUGAUGUGGAUACAGAUAAUGAUAAUAAUGAUGAUGAUGAUGACAUUGUGAUUUCAUGUUGCUGAUGUUGAUUUAUAGGAGUUGCUGCAAUGAUGAUACAGUAAAAUGUAAAAGCUUUUUCACUGCGUUACUGCACUACAACCAAAUGGACUCGAAGCAGUUUGUUGCAUUUAGUCGUGUCGUUUCUUCUUGUCGAGAUCUUUGCUUGUGUUAUACUGACUCUGAAAUGUACGUUGCUCUGGAAAAAGUGACUGGCACCUUCUGUUUUCUUCUGACCACCUUUACGUGUCACAUGCAUUCAUUUGAACAUAACUGUAGAGGCUUCUUUGUCUUUAACUAUUCCCGUUCACACACUGUAAAGUCAUUAGAGGCAGGUUGGGGUCAUGUCUCACCCAAGGACACUUUGAUAUGUGGACAGCAGGACCUGACAUCUUCUGAUUGUACCACUGAGCCACUGUUGCUCCAAGCAUUCUCAGGUGGGCUCCCAGGAACAGACGAGAUUGGGAGUGUUCAGGAUGGUAGGGCCCUGUGCAAUAUGACCACAAAUAACAUCUGGGAAAUGAAAAUCCAUGUUUAUUUUUAUUUUCCCAUUGAAAAUCUGAACGCAUAUUGAUCAGACCUACUGUAUUUUUGCACCACAGAACAUUUCUGACCGGACGAGUUUCAGGUAUACCACCUGUACCUGCACACCCUAAUGUAAGUGAGCGCAGCAAUGAUUCCAGUCCCAUCCAACGUAUGGAAAAAUGAACAAAGUCGCGGAUGAAUGUGCUUUGAUUGGCUCCAAUGUGGAUGGGCAUUUUUGUUUAAAAAAAAAAAGAUGGAUGGAAGCCUAGAUAUAAAUAUAGUCUCGAGCAAAUUCUGCAAAAAAAAAAUUGCAUAUCCCCGCAGUGUGUCGAGCCUCCGGUAUCACCAGAAUGCUAAACAUGUUGCAGCUAGGGUGGAAGCUAACGUUAGUCGGGCUCAGAGUACAGAAACCCACACCAGACCCACACUCGACUCCACAUUCUGUAUUAUUCGUUCCUAAAUCUGCUGCACCUUAUGGCAUUAAAAAAAAGCACUGAUCUGUUAGUCUUGGUUAAGUAUCACCUUGAAAAAAAAAUUAAUAAACAGGUUUUGUUUGCUUAAGCUAAUGUAUUCAUUUAUUCCGUAUUCAUUGAUUCACUUGUUUACCAUUUAAAAAAAAAAGAAAAAACAAUUCUCACUGUCCUCAGGUUAAAUACUUAUAUGCAAUUAAAACGCAAUUAAUAAAUUACAAAGCCUGUGAUUAAAAUAGAUUGAUUCUUUUUAAUUGUGUUCCAGCUCUAGUUUUAAAACCUUGUAAAUAUGAGUAAUGUCUAAAAUAAAGUCACAUUAUUGUCACCUCUUUUUGUGCAAAGACACUCUCAGAUUGUUAUGAUUUUGUUAGUAAUGGUUGCCUGGGCUGCUGUACUGUUUUGCUGCUCAUUAGCAGCAAUAUGUCAAAUUACUGAUAUUAAGUAAAGAAAUUAAUCAUUUAUGCUCAGAAAAGUUGCUUCAGUAAGCGCGUUGACCCCGGACCCCAGUUAGCAGACUGUUAUAAUCUUUUAUGCGACACAACAGCUGGAGUUUUCUCAUGACUUGCGGGCAUCUUCAGACAGCAGUUAUCCUCAUUUCCUACCUCUGACAUGCCACUCACAAAUGCCAGGACAUGGUUUCGGGGUGCUUGAUCAAUUUCACGGUAGUCUGCAGAGUUCCCGGCGAGGGAGUGAGUUUGAGGGGCUGUGAUAGCAUCGGGCGACCCCUUCCUCACCCACGCUAGGGCUGUCUAAUCGGCCCUCCAGCUGCAUCCAGCCAGAUGAAGGGAACCCUGUUGACUCCUAAUCUGUGUCGCCUGUGAUCCGUUCUCCACCUCGGCGGCACGUGCGCGACUGGGUGCGGGGAAGAGAGGCAGGGAGUAUACGUUUGUUUUCUUCUUGUCAUUGUGGAGGUUAAUGGAAGGAGAGCCAUGGACCGCUUGAGGAAACAGAAGACAUAAUGUUUGGUUUCACUUUGUGCGAGCUCUCUUUCCUCCUGUCAUCUCUCCUGCCUCCCUUUUUGCUACACCCUCUUCCUCGUCUUUUCUCCCUUACCGUGUUUGAUUCCAAGAUUUACAUUUUUUAUGCCUCCACUUUUGUCUCCUUCUCCCACUGACAUAGACUCAGGAAAGAAGUUAGCAUCAAUUAUUAAAGGAAUUAAAGGACUAUAGAAGUAUAUUUUGUAUGAAAUAACUGUUGGAAAGGUGUGACAGCCAUACUUUUCUACAUUCUGUAAAACUGGGCAACAUGUGUCAGUCUCCAUAGAUACAGUGUUCAUAUGCAUGGAAGGGUGACAGUGACAGUUGUUCCAACUAAUCAUAAUUUAUUAAAUGUGUCAUAAUCAGUUCUAAUUAGCUGAAUUAAUCGACAAAGCGCAUUUCCAAUGUUUCACAGCUUUGUAUAAAAAGAGCCUCAGAUUUAUCAAUCAUUAUUUUGUUUUUAUAAUUCUUAUUUUCUGUGUUAACGCCUUUUAAUGAGCUUCAUGUGCCUGAUGCUUUUUUCAUUUUCACUCAGCUCAUUGGUUAAUAUUUCCCUGUUUAUACGCUGAGUGUUUGGAUUAUUUCUUACAGGGAACGAGGUGUUAGCCCCCAGAGUACCAUUUGCAACACUGUAAAACAUUUAACAGAAGAAAAACACGCUGCUGCUGCUGCUGCUGCUGCUGCUGCAUGGUCAUUGCAUAAUUUAUUUGAUGGGAGAGCCUUGUGUUAUACAAGGAUUAACUCAUAGUAAGUUACUAGAAGUUUUACAAAAGUUUCCCUUUAAAGAUCCGUUCCGAAGAAAAUCAUUGUUGUCUACGUAUUCGUGUGGUAUUUUUCUGAUGCUACAGGACAUUUCGAUAGCAAUGACCACGCCACAGUGAUGUGCAUUUGAAUAUUCAACAUGAAUUUGGGAAUGUGUAUGUCUUGUCUGUUGUGUUAUGUGUGUUGUGAUGGAUAAUGAGGCUAAUGAAGAGUGUUGAAUGUCUGGUUGGUCUGGGAGGUUCUGUAGAGGCCCGGCAGGGAGAGACCCAGGACGGGGGUUCCGUCUCAGGCGUUGUUCUGCUCGAGCUUAGUCCAAUCCAGACUGUACCUGAAAAUGGAUUGAGAUCAGAAAGAGGUGGACCACGAAGGUGGUAGAAGCAUUACUGUUGAAGAGGGACGGAGGGUGGGUCUAAGAAUAGCAGACAAACAGACAAACAUAUCACGAAAAAAGCAAGUGCAAAACUGCAUUUCUGAGUAUUUCUACAUUCAAAUCGUUGUGAAGAUUUACUGAGAUUUACUAUGUCACAAAUCCAAGCUCCGCCCCCAGAGCCCCCACAAUGCAGACCUGACUCGGAAAAGCAGUGAGGACGAUCACGGAACAAGCGUGUGCGUUAGCGGACUGCAAUGCUAGUAAGAAAGCUAAAUAUGAUUUUAACUUCAUCAUGACCACUAAGAACACUUUAAGUAGUGAAAAUAAAGGGUUGGGCCGGGACUUUAAACCAAAAACUUGACAAAGGCCUCUGUUGUGCAGCAUCCUAAAAGUGCAAACAGUUAAAAAUGGCGCCUUAUUCCUCACGGUUUGAGCUUUACCAUCAGAUACUCAUUAGUCAAAAUAUAGCAAGUUCAAGAAAAAAUAUGCACAUUUGUAACCAUUGUCCUGGGAAAUGUAGAAAUAGAGGUUUCACUCAGGAUGAGUCUGUUUUGCAUUCCAACCUUGGCUUGAAAAUAAACCACUCAGGGAUUUGAAACACUUGAAGAAGUUGACUAAUAGCAUAGACUUUCCUGAUCAAAGCUUUAAGAAAGACAACUCUAGUAAUUAAUCCCCCUUUUCCUUAUGUGAACAGCUGCUAAUUACAUCUUGUACAUACAGAGCCCCCUCAGCCAGGACUCAAAGUCCAACUCUCGUUCUUAAACUCCCAUCUCUGACAAAUGUUUCCACAUCUCAGCUCAUUAAUCGUUCGAAAGAGUUCAACUUCUCCAUCUCUAUUCAUCUUCAUCCCACAUUUCCCCGCCCCAUAAUAUCCUCCUCUGAUAGAGAAACCUGAUAGCAAGGUUCAACAAAGCCAAAGGGACAAGUGUCUCAUCUUCAAACAAUCCAUAAAUAAAAAACUGUGUCGAGAGACUCAGUGGAAAAGUCUGGACCCGUGCGGCCUCAUGAGCCGUCAGAGGAGGUAGCACACAGCAGGUCAACUGGGUGUUUUGGUGACAGCACAGCAGCCAGUGACUCAACGGGUUUUACUUUAUGUAUUCACAGAAAUACAACAAAUAUACCUGAAGUUAAACUCCAGAAAUGCACAAUCUGUACGGAAGCUCCCAGAGCUGUUUUCUUUGAUAACAGCUUUCUGUGAAGAAAAGAGGUUAUCCUCCUCUUCUCUGCAUUUGAACCAUUACAUCACAUCUCUUAAUCAUUAUUCAAACAUCAUUCCUGCAUGUUUCCUCUUUUGAAUGAGAGAAAAGCCGGAUAAAAAAAUCUGAUCCUUGUUGUUUUUCACUGAUGUCAUCAACCAGACAGCUAAAGGCGCUGAUUUAAUUCAAAAGGAGUUGCAAUCCAUUGAAAAUGAGAUGGUAAAUAAAAAGGAAGUGAGGCUUUGUACUCCAUGUUCUCUCAUAGUACUUGACUUUAAACAUGACAAUUUCAACAAGUUUCUCACUCUGUUAAGAAAGAGCUGCAGUAAAACAAAAAUUAUAUGCUAUUCCUGAAUAACAGUUUUCAUGUUUUAGCAGGAAGAGAAGAAAAAUGCACUUUUAGAGCUCUCCGAACUGACAUGGACCAAAAUUAUCCCUUUAUCAAAUGUGAUGGACACAUUUCCUUCGUAAGCCUCUAUCUUUAAAUGCUGCAUUAAAUAAAGGAUGUCACAUUUUAUAAAUGCCUUUGGUUACAUGUGCAAAGACAAAAUAGGUGUCUGAAAUAACUGUAGGACUGAACUCACUACCAUACCUCACGAAUAACUGCCUGUAGAUGAGAAGAUUGUGCAGAUGACUGAUAAACGCUGUAGUGUGAGAGAUUUAUACAAUAAAAGAGAACAAAAGCAGUGCGGCUCACUUAAAGCGUUUUCAUGUUGUAUUAAGUUUUAAUGCAUGUGGGAACAAAGCGUCUGGGUGUAAAGCUCCAUUAAAUGUUAAAGUGACAAGAAGAAUAUAGAUAAACCAGCGCCACCAACCAACCGUUUAUACUAACCAGAUUUUUUUUGUAGGUGCACAUAACCCCAUGACACGACAGAGACACAUAAAUAAUAGUUCAUCAUACUUUGAAUUAAAAUUUCAGUCCCUGAAAUUAGUCUCUUUUUUUCCCUCAUUAACUAUUUUGCUUUAUGUGCUCAGACUAUUUUCGCUCUUCUCUGAUCCCUCUUUAUGCAUACGGAUACAGACGAAGCCUCCCAUUAGUUCUCUGCAUGUUACUCUCUAUUAAUAUUUCUCAUGUUCUCUGCAAGCUUGCAGAAAAGGACCAAAUGCAUCAGUCAUACUAAAGAUGUGGGAGCAGUCAGGCCAACAGCUCAAACUACAGACUUUGUGAAGCUCUAUCCAGGUGUAGGAAUUAAACGGCAUCACAGACCCCCACGUUGGGGAUAUUAUUCUUUUACACCUUUACAACAAAAACUAAUUAGUGUUCAUACUACAUUUAUAAGGUAAUCGUAUUUUGUCUUAAUCUUAGAAAUUAGAUGUAAACUGUUAAAAACAGUACCUUGUGAGAAAAUAUGAGACUCACUAAAAUGAUUGCAUCAGGAUAUUUUUAUUUUAAUACAUCAGAGAGAGAAAAAGGACUUUUAAAAUCUGAAAACCGUGUAAAUCUAUGAAAGAGGGAUGAAAAAAGGAAGUGUAGUUUGAAAAUGCAUAAUGACACAUCUUUAAUCAAAUAUAUCUUUAUUAUCAUCGCCUUUAUCGCCUUCAUCGCCUUUAUUAUUAUCAACUUCUGACUUCUUAUUUUUGUAGGUAACUUUUGAGUCUAAACUUCUGAGUCUUUUGAGAAUUAUAGGGCCUCGAUAAUAAAGACAGUGAUCAGAGGUUAAAGACAGCCCGACAGGCACUCGUGGAGUGAAACUAUGGUUUUUGGGAGGCACAACAAAUGGAGGAAAUAACAUGAAGCUUAGAGUUAGAUGGACAUCAGAAGUGGAGGGUUGAGGUUUGAUUUUGCUUGUCCUGUAAAUUCUGCCACAAUAGAAACUGACAUGUGGGAGCGAGAUUAACAUAAAUUGUAAUUAAUGCUCCAGCAGCUAGUAACAUUCAACUCGACAACCAUCCCAUCAUUUACCAUGAUUAUUUACUUUAAAGUCUCAUUAGACUGCUGAAAGAUUUUCACUUUUUAAAGUUUGGACUGUAAAUAAAAAUAUAUAUAUCUGUUGUCAUGUGUAAAGUCUCUGAUGUUUUCAAGAUUUUGAUACUUAGGUAUAGGCCAGUCAAUUUUCAAAACAGGAAAUAAAUCUACCCAUAACCAUUAUAUCAAACUAUCAUAAUGACAGUUACAGUAAUUAAUGCAUAUAUGACAUGGACUGCAUCUGUUUACUGGAGUUGACAGUCCCUUUAUAGCUAACCCAUACAGAACACUGUUCUGCUCAUAUACACAUAAUGUUGAUGCAGGUUUUUGUUUGUAUCCCGGGAAACAGUUUUUGUAGAGAGCAGAAACUUUGGUCAAACUGCGGUCCAGAAACCCAAAUAUGACAUCAUUUCCUUAUAGACAUCACUUGGACACACAACCCCAGCCUCCGUGUAUAUUAAAGUAAGCCUUCAAACUGUGAUGAGUGCACAAAAACAUUAGUUGGCUCAGACAUCCCUGAUCUGCUGACUCUUGGCCACCACUGAGACCCUGAAAUAUGGUCCAUCAACUCCAGAGGCAAAAUUGUCACCAGGACAGCUGUUGGGUUCUGAGAUCCAGGCUGCUGAUAUUGGCUUUUAGCCGUCACAUGUCGGUCCAGCUGAAGAGAUUUGUUUUGAGACAUUUACUCUGCAGAUGAGGCAACAGCGAUGUAGCACCAAAUCAGGAGUAAUUUCUGUCCGAUACUCGGUGGCAGAUUUUACACUCAGUCAUUUGUAUUCAUAAAGACAGUGGGAUCAUGCUGCUUGGCUUCCAAUAGUUAUUAUGACUGGUAAAUGCUUGGCUUUUUACCCAGAUUUGGGGUCAGAGUGGUAAUGUCACCAAUUUUACUAGAAUAUUAAGGCUUUAUGAGAGGGUUUGUCGAUGAUGUAAGCUUGUUAAAGUGCUGAGGAAUACAAGGAGGAAAAGCAACACAAGGACACCAAGGUUUCCAUUAGACAAAUUUGAAUCAGUUUUCUGAAUUUUCUUCUGCUUAUUGUUUAUUUUAAGAAAUCUGUUUUAGUAACCACAUCGGUGUGGAUCCUUCAGCGUUCACGCCUCAGCUCACCCAUGUCUUGCAGAUAUUUCAUUUGAAUUUUGGCUGAAAAUAUUUAUGGUUGAAGUUGAGGUGCAAGUUUUGGCUGUUCACAGUGUUGUGUAAACAGUGAUGUAGACAGUGUGGCCUGCAUUAAUCAAACAUGUCCUUUUGAGUGAAUAGCAGACAUGUUGAGUUAUUUUAUAAUCAAUUCAAUUUAAAAAGUGUUUUCUUUGUUUUGGUUUUAAGUCAGAAUAAACUGUUUUUUUAUUUAAUUGAAUGUUUGCCCCCCUUCUGCAGAGUCCUCUACACAUAGACUGUAUAUAGAGUGGACGACAUCUGCCUCCUCGCUGGGUAAAGCCACUGUGAGAACAGCACCCUCUGGUGACAGGCUGCAGUAUAGGUCAUAAAUCCCGCCUCCUCCAACAAUCCCUAUGGAAUAUAAAUUAUAUAAUUUUUCUCCACCCUUGGAUGCGAUGUUGACAUGUAGUUACUGUAAGACUGGUUUGUGCUCAAAUCCUCUUUUUUCAGUGCAGCGCCAUUUUUAAGACUCUCAGCGACUCUCCCGCCAAAUGGGUGCAAUGCUACUGCGCAAGUGGUGGUUCCAGGAGGUGGAGAAAAUCACAGAAAUGCUGAGAGCAAUUCAGCUUCAAAUUCAUUUCAUGACGGAAGGUGGUGCCAAGUCGUCAAUAGUAUAAACAGUCUAUGCCUCUCCAUUUGACUGUCAUGUUUCUACAGUUUCUACAUAACAGAUAUUUUGCGAUUGCUGUUAUGCACAAUGAAGAAGAGAGAGGUAGUUGUGUGCAAAACAGUUUCUAAUGAAAGAUGUUUUGAUACUCAACACUUGUAAAUGGAAGAUCACACUUAGCCCUGUGUAUCACCCCAGCUUCUUGUUAUUGAAGGCCACAGUUACCUGGGAGGCUCCGCCAGUGCAACAUGACAGUACUUACGAAGGCUGUCUAUGGGCGACCUGUCUCACAAUGACCUGGAAUAAAAGCGUUUUGUGCAUUCUACAUUCAAUAGGAUAGAUAAUGAUAUUGUGUUUGUUUCUUCUGAGUGACCAAAUUUAGAGGAUUUUUAUAGUUAUGGUGAGAGGGUCAAACUUUAAAUCGUAUAGCCUGUGGUCCUUUCUCCCGUGUCCUUUUAGAAAAACAAGGUUUGUUUUGCAGGUGGCAGCUGCUGAAAAAAUAAGGCUGACUGUGCUCAUGCAGGAAAAUGUUUGCUGAAAUUUGACAGAAAGAGAGAGAGAGAAAAAAAAAGUUAUAUUAUCACUUGUACAGAAAACAGUUAUUUCUGUGGGACCUUAAAUGUUGACCUCCCCACAGUUGGAGUAUUAUUUUCUGCAGGGUGAAGCCAGAGCGGUAUAUUAAUGCCAUUUCAUUAAUUUGUGGUUCAGACUUGACUUGCCUCUGGCAUCUUUUUCUUAUAUAACUGAAAGUGAUCUGCUCUGCCCAAGGAGGCAGAUCAAGUGAAGUCAGAAAACACAGCAAGAAUGAAUCCAGCAAAGAAAAGUAAUGAUCGUUGUUCAAUCACAUUAUAAACACAUGCUGCUUCUCUUCUGUUUAGUCAUUGCAAGACUUUACAAUUACCAUGCAGUACUUAAAAAAUGGGAUGAUCAGUCAAACAUUUGGGGGAUUUACCGAUAAAACUCAUAAUAAGACAGAUAUCACAUUCAUGAGUGAACACGUCAGUGGACUCUGGACCGGUUGUGAUAAAUUGCUAUCUCAGGAUCUCAGAUUUUUGAUUUAUUGAAAAUACAUGAAGAAAAGUACUGUGCAUUGGGUUAGCAUGGCUGUGAGACAAUAUGCUGCUUAUUGCUAAACAUAGCCUGUUAAUCAGUCAGUAAGGUCACAAAGCCUAAGUAGAAAUAUCACAAGAUGUACUCUUAAAGGUCCCUUUUGGUUAAGUGGUGCUCACAGUCACUGGAUGGAUCGUACUAGUUAACUGUUCUAUGUCCAGGAGCAGGUGAUGCAGGAUAACAGCUGUCACUGCUAUAAAUGGCUGUAUAAUCUGUUAUUACCUGCUGAUGUGGAUUAAAGUUCCUGGAACAGAGGAUUAGUUAGGUGAAGUUUUUUCAGUGGUAUCACUUAUUGCACUUUAAAUGAUCAUUUUUUGUUUUUAUUUUUAAUAAGAUGAGCAAUAGGGACCGUUUUAAAAUGGAGAUGACCAAAAAAAGCCGAAGGUUUUCUUUCCCCCUUCUAAAAUUUCCACAAGAAGGAAAAAUAGCUCUCAUUUAAAAACUAUGAUGUCUAAAGAAAUUAUGACACCAAUGAAAACAGGAAGUUAAAAUGACUAAAAAACACAUUUUUCAGAGAUUAUGACUGAGACUAUAAAACUCAGUUUAAUUUUCUUGUUAAAUGUGUCAUUGCCUCUCUGUCCACACAGUGGGAUUACAUCAGUAGUUGGCUUUAGCAGCAUCUUUGGGAAGACGCUGAGACAUAAACCUCCUCAGUGAGGUCUGAUUUUCUGUUUAUGGACUGCCAAGUUAAAAGAAGUGUGGUCAAGCACGGAGCAAUUAACACGGUCAUAACCAGAAAGACUCAGCGUUGGUCUUUAAAGACUUUAAAGCUUGUUUUGUCUAGAUAGCUGUAAUCCAAAUUUGCAGAGAGGCUAGUGCCAUUUUCAGAGUAUGUGUGUUAAAAUGUAAUGGACAUAAAAUUUAACAAUAAAGAAACAGCAUGAAAAUGCAAAUAAGCAGAUAACUGUGUGAGUAGAGUUUUGUUGCUCAGGCUCUCAGCGUAUCAAAUGUCUGCUGCAGGGGUAGAGGCACAUUGAGAGGCAUCUAAUGAAGAUAGUGUGACUACAACGUUAUGUAAUUAUCCGGCUCAUAUAUUUCUCACAGUUACUGUUAAGUGUUUUGUGUUAGUACACAACUUUCUCGCCCCUUUUAACAUUUUCACGUUUAUCCUUGGUUAAACUUGACUAGUUUCCUUUAGAGUUUUGACUUCAAAUUAAUUAAUGGAGGAUACAGAUUAAAAGCCACACAAAGACAAGGCUGUUUUUUUUUUAAACAAGAAUGUGGAAGUUGGCAGCACAACCAGCAGUCAUUGUAUGCCCACAGUUUUUAAUUAAGAUGUGAGGGAGUGCGCAGUGAUUGCCUUUGUGAUAUGAGCGUGCAGAAACAUCAUUUCCUUUGAGAAGCUCCUCAAAGACUCUUGUAACUCAUGACUGGAUUUUUGGCAGGGCUCUUUUUCAAUUCCUUCCCAUUUCUCCCCUUUCAGAUGACUGUGGUGGCAGAACCUCCUCGGGGCAAACUACAGGGAGACUUUUGAAGUGGGCCACUCUCUAAAAAUGGUAAUACUUGGUUUUAAUUUGUAGUGGAGUUUAGCCUGAGGGAUGAGCUGUGCAGAGUAAAAAUGAGAAUAAUGAAAUCCUCAACGCGCAUGUUUGAUAUUCUGUGAAAUACAGAAACACGAGAAAGGAAGAUGGGUGGAGAGAAGGACAGCAGGGGACAAAAUCCAUUUGUUGAAAGAGAGCAGAGCAGGAUAUCUGGGCAGGGAAUCAAUAGGAUAAGAGGUUAUUAGCUGAGAAAUGUCACUUGAAACAUCGAUCAUCAUCUCCAUUGACUGUGGGGACAUGUAGACACACAGGGUCAAAGCAGCUUAUCAGUCAGCACUGAUGGGAAACUAUACAGUGAGGAAUGGGUGUCCGAGAUGCAAGGUUUACACAAACCCAGAGAAACGGCCACAAGAGCCCAGAUUACGAUCAUUCACGUAUUCUUCUCUUGUCUCAGUAAAAGUUGGCAUUUUGUGACAUUAUUGGUCAAGGCAGGAUAAAGGUAAACUCAUUUAAAAAUAUAUGAAAUAAAAAAAUCAAAAUAACUCAUACCACUUGCAGCUUUUGUGAGGAACUUGAGCUUUAUUGGUUCUGAUGGACACAGUGAGACCUUUCAUAUCCUUAGCCCUUUAAUGCCUUUUGUAUCAUAUUUGAUACAUACUUUAAUGAUACUUCUAUCAAAUCAAUAUAAUCGACAAAUUACAAAGAAAAAAAAAGAAGAAAAAACACCUCAAUACAGACUGAUAAAUGAUAAAAAUGUCCUCUUUUGGUUUGUCAAUUUCCAAAAACAUCUAAUGUAACAAAUGAGAUCAAUAUGUGUGUGUGUGUGUGUGUGUGUGUGUGUGUGUGUGUGUGUGUGUGUGUGUGUGUGUGUGUUAAAUUUUAAGGACAUUUUGAAAUAAAUGAAAUAAACAAUCCAGCUCCCAAAAAAAUUUGAAUUUUUUGGCCAUAAUUUGUGGUUUCAGGCGUUAAAGGGUUUAGUGUGUCACUCAGUGUGAAUAUCUGCCGUGGUAGUAAACAAAAAUGCAUUUUCUCUCGUCGGCUUAAAAUCAUCUGAUCUGACUCAUGCCCCUUCACAGUGGUCCUAGAUAUUAAAAAUUACAACAGAGAACUGAUCAGUCCGGUUGCUGAUGGUCAGUCAUCACUUUCAGUUGCAGUCUGUUUGUCAACCAGUUAAAAACUCCACAUGGUGGCUUUUACCAGUUACUGUUUCUUUUUAGGGCUUGUAACCAACUCAGAUGUGCAGUCGCCCCCCUUGGAGCCCUCAUGUCUGAAAAAAAAAAAAAAAAAAAUCCUGUCUUGAGCACCUUUUUGUAGAUAUAAUAUUCUGAAAUACCACCUCUGAUGCCCUUGCAGAAGAAACCAUGAAGAAAUGUCUUUGAAGGUGCCCUGUGGUUGGCCCUCCAGUGGAUAAAAUGUGAACAAAGUGCUCUAGGAAUGCACUGUGGAUGUUUUGUAAUAAUAUGCCCUAUGAGUAAAUUUAGCCAGGGCCUUUGAAUAUCAGAGGAGAGUAAACAGAGCAUUUCCUCUGCGCAUGUGUGUUAGAACAGUAGUAAUUGACUCAGAUUCAAAUCUCUUAAAUACUAAUUACAGUUUUGUCUUUCAGCAGGUUGAGCAGCUUACAUAACCGGCGAUGAUGCACAGAAAAAAAAAACUACAAAUUGAAAAAUAUCAGCUGUGCAACCAACAACAGAACAUGUCCCCACUCCCUCAUCCACAGUCAAUCAGUGCUGGAAUUUCUCAGCCAAUGUAACACAGUUGACAACCAAAGCUUUCAUUAGCUUUCCCCUGGCAACUCGGCGAGUGGCAGCCUGUAAUCAAAUCUCCAACUUAGGUAUGUUGUUAGCACUUUUCUCACAUUCCUGCCUCCGCGUGUAGUGAAGGGAAAUCUAUAAUUCAUCUCACAAAUGGAAGUGGCAUGUACAACACAUUCUUGUGUAGGAGUUUCGCUUCGUCCUCCGGGGUGCUCAACUCAUCCAUUCAAUCACAAGGAGUGGCAGUGUACAGAGAGAAAAAAAAGAGAGGAGCAGAGAUAAGGAGAACACGAUGGGAAGAAAAUGUUGCAGGCACGUUUCAUUUAAGCAUUACUUAAAUGAAAAAGUGCAUUAGAUAAAUGAGAGGGGCAUGGGAGAUAGUGAUAAGAAGGAGACAAGAGAGGAGCAUUUCUUUAGGAUCAUUAGAGAGAAGAAAAUGUUCAGAGACUCAUUAGCAUGAGGCGCGGCGGGAGAGACCCUGUCUUGAUAAAUGUUCUAAAGGAGUUACAGAGGUAAUAACUGUUUUAUACGACAUAUAUACAGAAUGAUAGCCCAAACAGAAGUUCAGACCUGUACACAUUUGAACUUUUUCCAAACACAAACACAAACAAGCAGUCGACUAGCAGAGGUCCUCCACCAAGGCCCAGUCAAUCCAUCAGAGGCAGAAGUGUGCCAUGGGACAGGGCAGUGCCAGUCACCUUGGACACGGGUGUAGGCCAGUUUCACGGCACAGUGGACAUUAAUGCUCCUCCCUCGCUAGAGGUCAAUAACUCAGCUCACUCCAUCACAUGCACGAGGAUGUGUACAUGCACGAGCGUCGGUAUUCACCCUGCACAGCCCUCAGUGCACUCACCUUUACAUUCAGAGGCAGAAGGAGGGAGUAAUAUGGAUGGUUGGAGUGCGAACAUCACCUUUUAGUGGGCAGUGGUGAGUUUCCAUACAGUUUUACAAUUUAAUCACACAGUGUAAGGCUUCAUCUCUUCUUAAUCUUUCUCUGUGAGUAUUGUUUCCUGUGCACCAAAGUGGCUUUACCUUCACUGUGGAGAAAUAUUGUGACCCACAUUACUGCAGCGUAAUCCAUUCCUAGAUUAUGAUGUGCAAAAGCAGCCAAGCGGGGUGCUUUAAUCAAAGCAAGUGAUCCAUUUCCUGCACCAUCCAUCUGACACAGCAGCAAAUCGUGCUUCAUCAAUUUCAAGCGUUAAAAAAACACACUGAGAAAUGGCAAAAGGAAUGUUGAAAAGAAGUAAACAGGCUUUUGUCGAGUUGGGGAGAAGAAUUCAGUGAGGAGAGUGUUGGUGGGUUACAAUUCAGACAUUUGGUUGGGUUUGGCUUUCAGAAGUGUACUAACACUUCAGUGGUGAUUGAAACUGUUUUAGUACCAAGAAUGAGUCAGAAAGAAUGACUAAUGAAAUAAUUUCGCCUUGUAAUCAUCACAGAGAAAAAAAGAGCCUCUUGAAAAAUGAAUUAACCAAACGGAAAUCAAUAAUUCAAACAAGCAUAUUCAACAAAAUAUGCUUUAAAAUUUAUUUGGAGUUUUGUUCUCCCUCAAAGGAAAUGAUGCUUUAAAUAUAUUAUACAGCUCUGCCUGACUGCUCAUAUGUUUGCGCCCUGCUUUUUCCAGCGCUUCAAGAAACAAUGUUGAGUACUCAUAUACAAGCAGCACAGCAAAAGUCACAUAUGAGUGAGUCAGUUUUAUGCUAAUGUGCUGCAUUAUUCAGACAUAAAAGAGCCUGCGUUGUACCUGUAUUGUCAUCAAUCGCUGAUACUGUUUUAAAAAUUCCCGACAUCUUGAAACUCCCACACGCUGGAGUUUUGAGAGGGUCAGAAAAGGCCAAAUCAUGCAUAAAUAUAUUCUCAUCCCUUGUGGUCUCUAAACAUGCACACAGCUUUAUGCGCUGAACUUUUGUCUCAGAGCUGCCAACCUGAUCCAGGAGCUAUGAAUAGUUUUAUUUAUACACAUAAACUUCCACAGUGAAUUGGACUUUUUGUCUGAUAGAAAGUUGCUGUAAUGAAAACUGAAAACCGUGUCUAGAUAAUGGUGGAUGGGACAUUGCUUUUGAAAAGAUAAGCUCUCUGAGACAGCAGGAGUCGAGAGGAAGUGAUCUUUCAAUACGGUUAAAACAGCGGCUAAAUACUCAAUCCCAAGUGCUCAGCACACUGAAAAUCCUUAAAUAAAGUCUGGGAUUAAAUUAGUCGUCAGGCCUCAAACCAGGUUUCACUUCAUUGGCUGGGACACUGAAUAUUUCUCUCAGAACUUGUCACAACUUCUGUUCACCGUGAUCUCCACCACACCAGUCACAUGUUCUGUACAUCCAGCAAACAUGAACCUUCUGCACCUCUCUUUUCUAAAUACUCCAUCUUACCGAUCGACAAACUCAGUGUCUUUCACUCUUGUAUGUUUGUCCACAAAUUCAUCAAUAACAAACAAGCCCUUCCGACCUUCACCUGUACUCAACACGACAAAAUGGCCAUCUUCAGUUACCUUCGUGUCCAACUUCUAGUCAUCAGUCUAGCAUCACUUUUAGAGGUCAGAAACUGUAGAAUAAUCUGGAUGCAUCUCUAAAAUCAAUAUCAUCCUUUAACUCCUUUAAAAUAUCAUUAAAAUCUCAACUAAUCAUGUCUUAAAUGCAUCAUUAUUUGUUAUGAUCAUGUUUCUUUCCUCUUAUGAAUACUUUAUUGUCUUUAUCGCUGUUUGUUGAUUAGUCUGUGUUCCAUUUAUUGCAGUUUGUACCUGUUUGACCUUUCCCUAAUCAUUGUACAUGUGUAACCUGUCUAUGUUACUUAGUUGUCUGCACCUUAUGUAUACCUUUGUAUAAGCCUAUCGGCUUCGUUCCCUCCUUGCACUGUUUUUAAUCUGUGCUAAAUAAACAAAUACAAAUACAAUUACAGCAAUGCAAGAUUGAAAGUGAACUAUGUUGCCAUCUCUGUGCAGUUGCACUAGUUUUUCUGUUCACUUUAGCAUCCCUUCUCUCUGCUAUAGAGAACCUGUCUGUUCACUCUCAUUUAGACAGUGCAGCAUUACAUCCACACGUAUGUUGAGGGGGAUCAGAGGUAACAGUUCCUUCUCUGCUGUGGCCCCCGCACAGUAAAACCUGUUACUCCACUACAUGAAAUCGUCCAGACCUUACUACUGUCUGUCAUGGUUGUGCAGCCUGUAUGUGCAGGGUUGAGCUGCAGACUGAUUUAAUCUCCCAGUAAUGUCAAAGUGAUAUUUACAGAGUUCAUGUACCAUCCAGAUUAGGUCCUCUGGGAGUGGAACUGUUGUCUCCAUCACUGAAGAGUUUGAGUAAAACUAUGUCCAUGAGCACUUUGGAGCAAAUACCACCAGCUCUCAGCAGACUGUAAAAAGUUCACUUCAGCUUUUAGCACAGGUGUUAGUGAAUUAAGUUUUUUUAUUUUUUAUAUUUUGCAAUGAGGCACAUUUACUUGGAAAGAGGUGUAUUUUACAACAGAUGAAUGCAAACUGGCAAAAAUUCCCUAUAAUCAUCGGCUUCCUGAGUCCUCCAACCUCCAGGAAAUACUCACAAAGCAAUUAAUCAAUAACCAAGUAAAACCUGAUUAAAUUAUUUCCUUCAUUUCCACCAGGACAAGACUAAGCGUGCUGCAUUUAAAGGGAAUUUACUAUCCUCACAGCUAUGGAGGACAAAAAGAAACAGAAUGAAACAUAUUAAUAAAAAGUUGGAGCAGAUCCUCUGGAGACGCUCUUCACACUAGAUCAGCAUUAGUCCCGCCCACUGACUUUGAUGGGUGAGUUUGACAGAUAAAAUAAAUUCAUGAAGCACUGCGACACAGGUCCAUGAAAUAAUUAAUUAAAUAGUAAAAUAAUAAUAUAUGUUUUCACAUUGAAUGAACUGGUAUUUUAAUGAAUUAAUGACACAUUUGUGUAUUUAGUUUCCAUUUUUACUGACUAAUGACAUAUUUAAAUAUUUAUUUAAAGAUGUAUUUAUAUUUCUUUCUCUUUUUGUCCUCCAUACAAACCUCAUAUAUGUAUCUAGAUCACAUUGAAGUGUGGGCGCAAUCACUGUGUAUAUCAUUCAUAUAUUUACACAUUUAGCAAUGAAUCUUUUUAUUCAUAUUUAUUCUGCAUCUCCCAUUCGAACAGCUUGAGUACGAGCACCUGCAGUUCCUUAGACGCAUAGCCUCUGUGUGCCGGCUUAAGGGCCUUGAGUGUCUCAUCUACAGCAGGGAGACACGCUCCUUAUAGCUUUCCAAUAGUGAAUAAAGCCUGUCCUUGUUCUGUUGUUCUCUCCAAUAAAAGGUAGUUAUCUAUAAACCUGGUAGGCUGGAUCCGGGAAAGGUGCCCUCCUGAGACAGAUUAUAUGGUGCUAACAGGAUCGUCAUAGGUGGAUGAGACCAGAGAGGAAAAUAAUAAAGAAGAAGGCCCUCUAUUACCUGUUCUUCUGUCAGACCUGCUGUGUUUUUUCACAGAGCAUCUUGGGUGAUGCUUGGGUGAUGGAUUUAAUGUUUGUCUGUAUGCAACGAUGAAGCUGAAUGAGAUCUUAAAGUAAAAUAAUCUAUUCUUCACAAAUUUCUUUUCACCACUUCUUAAAAUGAAAACAAUACAAGGAAUGACUGGCUUGCAAAAAUAUUGCUUUUUCUCAAAUUGAACCCCCGUUGCUUCAGUCUGGUCCGAGUUGAGUCCUCAUUAUUGUUAAUAGGGUGCCGGCAUUACUCCAAACUGUUCACUGUAUAAACCUGGACUGGUGGUGCUGUGGGAGAGUUUUGGAUUUGUAUAAAGCACAUUAAUUUCUUUAACGUGAGACUCUUUCUGUAGGAGUGUAUGGAAAUUUCAAUAAUGAAGUAACAGUGCUGUGUGUUCUGCCGUUGAGGAAUUACAGUAUGUCCAGUUAACCUAAAAACACCCUCAAUCAACCGACUAUUAAUCAGAAUUUUAACAAACCAACAUCUUGGUUCAAGUUACUGAGUCACUGUAGUCGCCAUGACUGACAGAGUCAACGGUCUAAAUAGACUAAUUAGCAACCCUCUUACAUUUCUGGGUGCACCCUAAACAGACGACUACUUCAGUCUGAGCUCGUCCUCAUCCCCCCUUCAGUGCAGUGCCCUUACUUACUUUAGUGAAAAAUCAACAUUACACUUGAGGCAUCUCACUUUAGACAUCCUGCCUCUAACUGCAGCUGAACAAGAUGGUGUGUGAUCGGGUAUCCAUGCAAACAAACAUGCCGGCCCCUUACUGAGGACAUUAUCAGGGCCUUGGAUUAAAAUGUUAACAACAAGAAUAAUAAUAAAAAGCCUCAUCAGUAUAUGAGCCCAAGUCCUCCUAGCAAUCAUUGGAGCACCGGUCAAACUAAAUCACCAGUCCUGGCAAUCAGGACUUUAGCCAGGCUGGAGUACAAUUGAUGCCUGCAAAGUUUCUCACUGAUGUUUUUGAUGUUUGACUUCCUGUUUCAUCUGUGUAAUCCAAGUGCACGAGAAAUGGGGAAAAACUGGACACGGAUGAUUUUUCAGAAUGCAGGCUAUAACUACUUUGGCACAUUUUAAUGAAGUUGAAUCUACAAUCUAACAUUUUUAACCUUUUUAUUGGAUUUUUGCAGUCCUUGUCGGGGAAGCAGUGAUUUAUUCUGUUGUCCUUUCAGCGUACUACUAAGAUUCUAAUGCAGUCUGUCCAUGUCUCCAACUUCAGGGACUCUCUUGACACAAACACGUGUGGAAAUUCUUGUGCCUGUCCUUGACAUGAAGGUUUAAAACCACAAAUUGAUGUCUCUGUUUUUCUAUGGAUCGAUGGAAAGUUCAGAUGUGGUAUAGAGCUACCUACGAGGGCUGGCUUUCAGCCCAGGUUCACUGGGCUUCUGGUGCUUCCCUUCGAAGUCCACCCAGCAGGCAAGUGGGGUUUCAGCUGAGAUCAAAAGACCGCAUAGAAUGCCAGUGGAAGUUCAAACCUGCUCUUUUACUUUCUAUCCUUUGCAACAUUUGGAGCAGAUGUCAGUGUGGAGAUUAAAUACAUCUGCUGUUCACCUUGGCCAAUCUGAAUGCAAAGGACACAGAAACUGAUAAACACUUUUGGUUGGUGUAUUUUCUUUGCAAAUGUAAUACUCCACUCUGUAUUUUUUUCACAUUCGAUUUCGGAUAUUAUAUAAACUGUUUAGAAAGAACUUUGGCAUCCUCAUUAUUUGGAUAAUUUCAUAAGCAAUAAAGUUUGUUUGACCACUAAGCCAAUGGCUCAGAAGGAGGACUUUAAAUCAUCUCUUGGUUUUGGCAAACAGCGCUCUCUUAUCCACACAAUGCAUAAACAAGUUGUCACUCAAGUCAGCAGUCAUUGCUAAUUAGAUUGGAGCUGGCCUAAUAUAAUGUGUGGGACGCUUUAUGGCCAGUUACAUUCAAAAUCUCAUCAGAGCCCUCCGAGGUGUCAAACCUUGAGAGAAACACUUUGAAACUGUCAGUGCUUAAAGAUGGCUGUACUCUUACAGAUUGAUGGAGCAAGAUCUUGGAUCUGAGAGGAUUACUGCACACUGAGAGGAUGACAAUCAACUGGAAUAAGAUGAGGCCGGGUUACAAAAGCUCUCUUUGUGUCAGAUCUCUCAAAGGAGUCAUACUGAGCUACUGUGUAUCUAUGUGGAGUUUCAAGCAAGUGGAAAGAUAAAAGUCAGCCUCGGAAUUUUGCAGGAUUUGCCAGGCAAAGAUGAACCGGAUAAUUGCUAUGGAAACCAAGACUGAAUUUUAAAAGAAAAACCUCUUUAUGCUUUCUAGUACAGAAACGCACCGCCCUACUUGUUUGAACUUCUUACUCCUCCACUUGUACCUGCAGGUCAUUCAACAAGCUGCUUGUCCACCCACCAGGGAUGAAGCUAAAGUGAAGAAUCAAGCCUUUUCUCUGGGACUGAGAUCCAGCCGUGGCUCAUUCUGCUGGACCAGCUUGUGACAUCUAAGGUGUGCAAAUGCCUCCAAACAAAAACCUAUUUUUUGACGUAUAGUACAUUUCCUUUUUUAUGCAUGUUAGACUUUUGGAAUUGUACUCUCUCUGUUAAAUGCCUGUUAGACAUAAACUGCUGACAGUAUUUGUUUUCUCUUCUAUAUCGCACCAUGUUGAGCCCGAUGAAGAAUUAUUGGAUGUAGAAUCCUGUCAAGCAAUUCGGUGAAAGUGGCAUCUGCUAUGUUCAAUUUUCAACAGGUAUCACCGAAGUUGAAAAGCCUCAUUUAAACCAACACCUUCUUUAUUUAUUUUUGGCAGAAAGGGAAGUCAGGUCAAGGUGUUCCAUUAAAUGGUAGCAAUUUAGAAAAGUGGAUUGAACCUGGCUUUCUGAUGGCCCAUGUGGCAGCAGAGAGCUACAGGGAAAAGUGCUUCAGACUGAGGUAGGGUCACCUUUGCUUCCACCUCGAUGUAAGGAAUGAAAGCUGCAAGAAAAAAAAAAAAGAAGAAGAAAAAUCUCACAAGGAAGUCGCUUGAUGGUUUAGACACAAAAUGGUUUCGUUCAAUAAACCAUGACCAACCACCACUCCCUGUGAAAGGCCUGGAUUGAUAACACACUUUCAAGCUAAAAUGGUUUAUCUUGGGGGGAAAGAAUGCUAAUGUCUACCACACAGAGGGGGUGAAACCACCAAUUGAGUUAUUUUUUAUCAUUAAAGCUGGCUGAACCUGCCAUGUCUCCUUCUAGGCUGGAUCGCGCUAUCCACCCUCUUCCCUCUUCUGAUCAAAUCAUGGAAGUCUCUGGGUAAAAUGUUGAGAUGUGCACCCUAAGAAAGUGGAGAGUGUUAAGUCUGAUGAGUUUUCAUGAAAAUACCCCGAUAUUUGCAAAGAAUCUAAAAUUUAUCAGCUAAUACAACUGACUAUGCACUGUAAAAAUUACAGAUUUACUGGCAGCAGUGAUCCAAUAAAAUACUGUAUAGAUUUCUAAUAACAGUUUUUUGUUGUAAACUGAAUGUUUUAAAUGUAUGUAUGUUUACUGUAUUUUUAUCUAAUAAUAAUGAUAAUAUUAUUAUUUAUAAUAAUAAUAAUAAUAUUUAUUAUUAUUAUUAUUAUUAUUAAUAAUAAUCAUCAUCAUCAUCAUAAUUAUUACUAUUAUUAUUAUUAUUAUUAUUAUUAUCAUCAUUAUUUAAUUGGAAAUAAUGAUAAUAAUAAUAAUACAAUUAUUAUUAUUAUUAUCAUCAUUAUUUAAUUGGGAAUAAUGAUAAUAAUAAUAAUACAAUUAUUAUUAUUAUUAUUAUUAUUUAAUUGGGAAUAAUGAUAAUAAUAAUAAUAAUACAAUUAUUAUUAUUAUUAUUAUUAUUAUUAUUAUUAUUAUUUAAUUGGGAAUAAUAAUAAUCAUAAUCAUUAUUAUCAUUAUUAUAAAUAAUAAUAAUCACCCUCACAAUCAUCACCAUUAAUGAUAAAGAAAAAAGAUAAGAGUAUAAUUUUUUUUUAAAUGUUUCUUUAUUGACAGUCUUACAGCGUUGGACAAGGUUUACACUGCACAGUUGUACAGACAAGAGGAGUGUGGCAGGGAAGCUAAGGUACAAAAAACAUAAGUAAAUUGAAGGUAAAGCAAAGAUCAACAUUUAUGAGUGCGCUCUGUCACAUUAUGACUCCUCACUGAUUUGUAUGAACUAAGUAGUUAAAUCUCUCCUCUGCUUUAAAUUUAUACCACAGUUGAUACUGUUACUACAAGAAAUUACAAGAACAGUUUAUUACUAAACCUCACAUUUUUUCAGAGAAGAUUAAUCUGAUCAAAAUUUGAGGGCUUCUAUUUUUGCCUCGUCCAGCCAGGCUUAUAUUCAGUCACCUGAGUCUAAUUUAUUCAUUUAUUUAGACAAGAAAGUGGGUUGGAAGUGGUCUUUAAAAUUUCUGUUGUCAUACUUUAUGUUGUGUGAGGACAAAGCUUAGCAAUUUAGACUGAAGUGAAAAAGCAAAUAAAAGGUAUUUUCAAGUGUCAUUGAGGAAAUGUUUGCCCCAGGUCUCAAAAACUGUCAAGAAGAAGAAGAUUAUAGUAAAUCCCACUCAAACUUUUAACUUGUUUUGAGUGUUUGCUUCUUUUUUCCUCUCGCUGCCCUCUUUGAAGCGUUCUGUAUUGAUUUCUUUUAUUUCGCCUUGUCUCUUUUGUCUGUUUUCUUAAAUUGUGCACAUGAUUUUGCGAUAUCUCCGGGGGGGGGCUGGGAAACACAGGAUGUUUUAACAUAAAAUAUCUGAGAUGGAGGACAGUCAGUACUUUCUGUUUGAAAACUUCCCAUACUCUUUGUGAGAGCUCGGGUAUAAAAGUAUGUGAAAAACACACAGGCGCACAUCUGAGGCAGAAGAAGGUACACAGAAAACAAACAUAUUUUAGACUGAAGCCAAACCCCAGUGCAGACAAACUCAAUGUGCAGCAGCACUCAUAAUGUUGUUGAACUUGUGCUCCCUAGACGUGUUUUUUUUUCAGCAGAAUAUGAUUAGAGCACUUGGUAGUGUCCAGGCUGACCUUUGAGAGCUUGUGAGGACAGAGCCAGGACAGCGAUUGUCUCAUAUGGAACCCUGCACACACAGGCAGGCACUUUGAAAAUGACAAAAGGCUUGCUUUGGAAAUGUCAUGAUAGUAUCCAGCAGAUUGUUUACUGUUGUGAUAUUAAAAGGCCAAACCUCAGUCAUCCAUCACUGCGGUAUCAUCGGUAUAGAGUCGGUUAUUAAUGAAUUUACUCCAUUUAGAAUCCAGGGCUUCGUCCAAUUAAUUGAGACCUGUCAAUAGAGACUCAAUUAGUCUGAUCUGCUCUGAACCAUUGGAAGAGUGAAGAUAAAUCUAAUUGUAUAAGUGGGAUUAUAGAAGUCUGGAUAAUAUUAAAAUCAAUGAACGGAGGGGGGAAAAAAAACACCAACAAAGCAAAAUAGGCAGACGUCCGGCAUCUACAGACUUGCACUGCUCCUCAGAAAAUCCAUUUAGGGACCUUGGGACACAUCAUAAUUCAAAACUGUGGGGAUUAUUUCCUGUGUGCUGUUCUGGCUAAGAUAUACAGUCCUGAGGCCACGUAUAGGUCAACAUGGUUUUUUUAACUACCAACUUGGGAAAGGGCUGCGGCCGGUGCAAAGCUUUCCAGGCAGUCAUUUUCACCUGCAGAGAGGGGUUGGCGCCAUUUACUGAUAGCAGCUGCCAGUUUAAGGAUACAGGGUCGAAAAUAUGCCUGAAAACACAGCAGGGGAGAUGGAAAAUUGUAUUCAGCGUGAAUACAUCUAGUCCCAUGCUAAAAUGCCUGGGGUAAACGAAUGCAGAAUAAUCACAGGUUGGUUGCUUGAGUAAUACCGCCAUCGCCGUAUGGGCCGUGAGUGAAGCUGGGCAGUUUAUUGCUUGACUUCAUAUACCGCAUUUGUAGUUAAUCACACCUCAGAAUUAAUGCAGAGGUAGGGGUCUAUGACAAAUACGAUCUCUAUACGCCUCGCAUGUAUAAAUGCUGUUUAAGUAUGUUGGAGGUUUGUGGAUAAAUUACAGCAUAGUAAAUUGGGAGAGAUGCUGCGUCAUGCUGAGGGGCUGUAGGCAUUCAGCAGCAGUGAAUCCUCCUCCACAGUGAAAACACACCUGCAAUCUAUCUGAUUUAACGGCUGCUGACAGAGAGACAGAGGAGAAGGUGGGGGCUGGAAAGAAGGAGUUGGGAGACGUUGCAUACAGAAAGAGUGAAGGGGGAGAGAGGUGGCAGAUAGGCAGAGAGAUAAAAGGAGAUUGAGUGCAACAGUGAAAGGGAGUCCUCUUGGAAGAUGGCCGACCGUUUUCUUGUCCAGGGGAGAGGAAGUCAGUGAAGCGGAGGAGACACCUUCCCCUUUCCUGCCCCUCCUGGAGCUGACACCUUUCUUCACAUAAAGGUCAGCCUCCUUUUCCCACUUUCAACUAAGUGACUGUCACUCACAGAUAUCUUCUUUAACACUGCAUGUCUCGGUUAGUCCUUAUCCAUUUCUUACUCUUAUGCACUCUGACAGGAACAAACCUUCCACCCCCAUCACUGUGACCACCUAAAGAGUCCAUAUUUAUUCUGACUCUGGAACUCUAAACUCUGUGUGCUAGCAUGUUCUGUCACAUCAUGCUCUAUGAUGUUGUUUCACAUAAAAAAAAGAUGAACUUUUCUCUUCCUCUCUCCAACUCCCAAUCGAGAAUGCUUGCCAAUAGUUGCAGGUAUACACACAGUACAGUCAGGAUCAGGAAUAGAGUGUAGCCAAUGGAGAUGACCAGAAGAGGACAGAAGAGGUUCAUGUCUUAUAACUCCUGUUUUAAAGGAGAACAUGACAAUUCUGACUCCCAUCGGAUAAAUUAAGCUGAGCAAGGCUUCAACAUUCUGAGGACAUGAAACUUUAAUAUUUGUGAUUCAAUUAACACUAAAAUUAUAACCUAUUAGCAACAACCAGCUGACCGUGGUUUCUGCUGGUUGAUUCAGAUUAGUCACUAGUUACUGAUUAAUUCGAUACUCUGUUGACAAGACUGGGCUCCUGCAGCUUUCUGUAUUUGCAGAGUACAGGAGUUAUGGUAGCAAACACCAACAUAAGGGCCAUUAAACUUUCCAAAGUCAUGCAUGUUUGCUUCAGCACAACACAAGAAUGUGUUCUGUGUGGAUGGCGCCCACUUGAGGAAUCUUUGACAUUUUGUUGGGAUGUUAAAUGUGUGUUCUGGUCAGUAGAAAGGCUGUGACGUCGGUCCUGUGACUCGACCAGCCAUGUCACGAUUGGCAACACCUUGGCUGAACUAGUGCAGUGUGUUGGCACCACUGAGGUGGUUCCAUGUCUCCAUAUCUCAUAAUGAGUUGAAAUAAAGUGACAUUGUUCAUUAUAAAUAUAUAUAUUUACAAAAAAGGACAAUGUGGGUUCAAGUAGGUUGCAUUUUGCACAUAUUGGAGUCCAUCAAUGACCCUUUAAUAGCUUAUUCAUACUAAGGGGGUGGGGGGGUAAUAAUAAUUGUAAUAUUUAGUGGUAGGUUGGUGGUUGGUUAUAACUGUAAUGGGAACAUAAUGGGCCUUAUCUACUAAAGGUUUGCACGUGCAAAAACACGUGAUAGCGCACGCAAAGCUGAUCUACUAACAGGGUGCACCGAGGAUUGCGUCUGUCAAAUGAACAAAAACAGCAUGCCCAAUCCAUUUAGCGUGUUUGCCUUCAUGAAUAUGCAGAAUGUAUGCAGAUCAUCAGAAUUUGCUAAAUACUGGGAGGAGCAGAUGCAAAUGGAAUCAUUUAGCACCCGCAAUGUGAUGUAUCAAAUCUGAAAAACCGAUUUGCGGUCGCUGUUUUGCGUCUAUAUUUAGCACGUUUGAAAGGCACGUGCAAACUGCCUAUUCAUGCCAUACGAUCCAUGCAAUCCAUGCAAUAUCUCCUAUUAAGAAACAUGGCAGGUCUUAGGGACAGUCAAGUCUUGGAGACUGGGGCUGACUGCUGUGAAGCUCCUUGUCUAAAAGCUUGUGAUUUAUUUUGUUUUUCUGGUAAAUGAUGGUUUUCAUAAAUGAUAAGGUCAAAACACAAAACAGACGAUUAAAAAAAUAUCUGUUUUUCUUAUUGAUUUUAAAUUGUUUUAAUAUUUUCUUGCAUCUGUAAUGCAUUUUUCAUCGCCUUGUGUAUAAAUAUUGCUUUACAAAUAAACUUUCCUUGCCUUUCAUGCAGAUCCCCAAAAUGAUAUGUGCAACUCCAUGGUUUCAAACUUCAUUUUUAAAUCUACAAUCACUCUGCUCUCACAAACUCUCAAUGGUGACAGCCGAUGGUGCUGCAAAAUCCUCGUUUAAAGAGGGCGAUCUGCUCCACUUUUGCACCUGUCAUCAACUGCGCAUGCAAUGAUAGUAGAUCACCAACAACAUGCCCACUAAUAGCACUUGCAAUUUUUCAGUUUGCACAUGCAAUUUAGUGUGUUUAGCUAGUUAACCUUAGUAGAUCAGGUCCAGUAUAUCUUAGCCCUGUUUUUAGCUUAUAUAACUUUUGAUUAGGGGUGUGUUUUGGUUGAGGUUGGUCUUUCUCCACUCAACAGGUUUAAGAGGGUUCAAAAAGUGUUGAACUGAGAAAAACUGGAAUGCAAACUACGAGCCAGACCUCACUCUCACGCAGCAUCAAUGGUUGGUGCGGUGAAUGCUCUCAGAGAAAUAUCCAAUCAGUUUUCAAUGUUGUUUCCUGCCUCAGAUCAAAAUUCUUUCUCUUCAAAGAAACCUUGAAACUUUCCAGGCCUGCAAGUAUUCGAUGGUCUACUUUUACUAGUGACUGCAACACGGUCGUUAAAAUGUAUUUUAUAUGGGGAAAACAAAAACUUCACAUUUCUUUCCUUUACUUUCUAAAGAGUUCAUUUACUGAGACUCAAAUUUCUUCUUAAGUCAGUUCAUAAGAGAAGUCUAAGGUUUAUUCUUCACCAAUCUUUGACUCUUCUUUUGCUCUAUUAAGGUGGAAAUUGCACAUGAUUGAAAAAGAGAGGGACUGAAGAGUUGUGAAUACAUGAUGCACAAGGUGAAUUUUUCUAUGAGGCCCAAUGGCUGAUGUUGUCUACACCUGAUCUUAUUUUUUCUAAUUUUUCAUAAUUUGUGUCCUUAUAGGAUCCUUCUAUGAAGAGUUACAGAAAAAAGCAGCAACAAAAACAGUUGUAAAAAAAAAAGUAUUGCGCCUCCAUUUAACUGUAAUGCUAUAAGAAGCACAUUCACAUUCUGCUGACUCAUACAGAUUUAAUGAGCCAGAUGAUGCACAGGAAAAAUAAAGGUCACUAAAUUACCAGUGAGUCAUACAUGCAAGUCUCCACUGCAUGGGUCUUUUUUGAGAACGCUUAUACAGCCACAUCGUUUAACAAUGUACAUAGUGUUGCACUGAUACACUAAUGGUAAUAAUAGGUCAACAUUGUGUUUGGACUGAAAUGUAACCCUUAGAUACAGUGAUAGUGGUUUACCUAUUUUGGUCAUUGGAAUUGUAGGUUAAACUCGCGUGGAAACAAGAGAGAAUAAAGAGAUAUGAUAAGACUAAGCUGUUGUCCUUCAUUCAAAUCGAGCAGUUACUUUGAGGCGUUCAGAAUUGAGUUUUUCCCUUUCAAGUACCUGGACCUGUAGCUCAGAUGAGGAACAUCUGGUUAGUGUCAAUUUUGGUGCCCCCUGAAGAAAAAUUAUAGUUGGGAUAAAGAAGUCAGCUGUGACAACAAUUUAGGAGAUCACCAAAAGCGACUAAGAUUCACUGCUGAAAAUGAAAGCCUUUUAAAAUGACGAGGAUUCAUCUGUUUUAUGCAUAUAAUUAAAAAAAAGGUAAAUUCUUUGCCUUACUGAUGAAAAACUCUCACAGACAGUAAGAUUCAAUGAUGAAGACAAAAUAUUUUGUUGAAAUUCAAACCAUCCAUCAUCUAACGUGUUGUAUUCACAACAGACCAGCCGAAAACCAUGAAAAACAACAACAGCUCACUUAUUUAUUCUCUCUCUGUUUUCCUGUUUUAAUGAAAAACUAGACGCAUUUCAUUAAAACUGUCAUGACACACGUUUAAUUUAAUUAUGCUUGGAUUUGAAGUUGUGAUGUGCCUGAGUGUGAGCGCAUAAACGCACUGACCAAAGAGAAAGUUUUUCUGCUUGUUUUUUAAUUAUCUCAGUUUCUAUUUCUUUGUGUUUAGUUUGUAAAUCUCUGUUUGAGGCAGCAGAGACAACUUUGAUUUUUCUCAAAGUUAGCAUUGAGUUUGACUGUGCACAUGCAGGAGAACAUCAUUUGACUCCACAUAGCUACAGUUAUUUGACUCACCAAACAGCUCAAGCUUUGAUUAUGUGUCACCAUGUUGUCUACAAAGCAGUGCAAGAUUCACCCACCAGCUCAGGCGGUCCACAUGCUGGAUCAGGCACGACCAAUCUGUUCAUUUACUGACAGAACACUUGUGCAUGUAUUCAUAUUCACCUUGGAAACAAAUCUCAAAGCUGUGAAAUCUGGCAUCUCUCUUUAUGGUUACACAGAGGUCCACAGUGCACUUGUAAUGAGAGCCCAGUUGGUACCAAUUACAUGGAGAGAUUGAAAUAAUUUGGUGUUGUUUUUGUCUCCAUCAAUUUGAAAUGCCAAUCUUAGUCUUUUAUUCAUUUUGGAUAAUCAGCUGAGCCAUUUGAAGAGAGGACCGAGAGCUUCAGAUGCCCAACAGUUUAAAGCAGAGACUGAAAAUGUCACCCCCAGAACUGAUAGAAAUAUAACUGUACAGGCUCUGUCCUGCAUUUGGAGCCGAGGUAUUUCUUUGCUCCUCUAUUUUCCCGUCACCUCAGUAUAUCUAUUUAUUUUUACUGAAUUUACAAUUCAGUUUGCAGAUCCUGAAACCUGCUCGAGAAGGUCACACUAAACACAUUUGUACAAUUUCAUUUCUUUAAGCAUAAACGGUAGAGGUGUCAAGGACGAAGAAAAAUGCUGUUUGAAAAAACUUCCUUGCAGGAUUUAGACCAUGGAUGCCGAGUUUGAUGUCUUCAUGUAGGUUGUGAGUUCAGUAAUAUGAGCUUUAAUAUACACUGAAAAGGCGGAUAUUGAAGUGACACCUAAAAAAAAGGAAAGGUUGUCUUAUAGAAGAUACAGUCCACAAAAGCAACUUUUGUUUUUGCUGAGAUUUUAUCCAUUACAUUAAGAAUAAAUACCCAGAAACUAGUGAGCAACGUAUUCAGAGACUUGGUAUCCCGUCAAGACAAACAAUUAACGUUGUUGUAAAUGACUCAGAAUGACCAUGUGUACUUACGGACGAAUCCAGAGCAGACAAUUCGUAACAUCUGUCAUUUCUUUGUCCUUUUCUGAAACAUGCUAUCAUCCCAAAUGCGCUCGCUAACGUGAGUAAACCUCUCAUUUGUUUCACAUUGAUGAGAUUGGGACUGCGUAUAAUUCUCCAUUUGCAGAAGCUGACAUAGCCGUGUCUGAAGACGCUCCGAGAGUGCUCCUUCUUAAAGCCUUUUUUUUUUUUCCAAAUUCCAUUAAAUUGCUGAGGUAAGAAUACGGUUUGCUUAAAUAGAUAGUGUUGCCACAGUUACUCUUAAAAAGUAAUUUGAUUACUGAUUAUGGACUACGCCUUUAAAAAGUAACUUAGUUACUUUACCGAUUACUUGAUUUUACAAGUUCCUAAUGUAAGAUAACAAGUUACUUUUUAAGUUACAUUCACAUUUUUUAAAUAUAAAGUAAAGACAGUCUUUAAAAUAGUGGCUGUAUUUCCGUGCACCUCUCUCCUCCCUCCAUUGUUGGUUAUGUUUGUUUUGCUACGGCUGCUAUUAGUACACAUGAGUGGUCCUCGUGCUGAAAACAUGACUUGUCGCCUACAUAACUGACAUCACUCCCCCUAGACAAAAACAAAUCUAUCGUUUUUAUUUUUGAGGAAAAUGAGUAAAAAGUAAUGCACACAGUGACUUGGUAAUGUAACUUAAAUCUAAUUACUGGUUUGGAAAUAGAAACACGUUAGAUUACUGAAAAAAGUGGACUUAAUAGAGUAGCAUGUUAAAGCAUAACUGGCAUCAUUGUAAAUAGAUGAAUGGGAUCUCAAAAUCUGGAAACUAAGAUUUUCACCCAACUCAGAAAUACCUUUGAACAUUUAUAUUUCAGUAUAUAUCCAAUGCUAAAGAGAGUGACUUUGUAAAAUGUGCAAGAAAUGAACCAUUUUCAUCUUUACAUCUAACAGCCCAGAAAGUCACUGACCAACAGGUUUACGGUUAAUUAUCACAUGCGAUACUUCCUAACAUAUCAAAUCUUUUUUUCCACAUCGGCGUAGCAAGUGAAGCAGGGAAACACGCCGAGGAACAGGCUGAGAAAACUGGAGGAGACGCAGUGGGAGAAAAUAAGUGAGAUAAUGUUCAGAAAAGGUGUUGUGCUACAAAAUGAGGGGGGUUCACGGUGAAAAUAGGACUCUUUAUCAAGAACAGACCAAACUAUUCCCAGAGGCAUUUCAAACCAAUCUUUCUCUUAUAUUCUUGAAUUAUUGUUAUUUUUUAAAGGGCGUUUUUAUGCAUUUGUCUAUUUUUAUCAAGAUAUCCCAGGUGGUGUUUAUCCUACUCUAUAAUAGUCUGAGGAGUUGUUUCUGUCCGCCCUGCCUCCUCGCCUGUGCUGCUGCCAUUACAUCCAGCCCCCGUUUGUCUCCACAAAUGUGCAUCCUGCAUACGUCUUUGUUAAAAUGAGUUCAUGCGGUUGCGUAAAUGCAAAAGCUGUUUCUGGCUGUCAACCUACACCUUUCCCCCUCGCUGUCGUCUCUUCAGGCACGCAGGAGCUGGAGCGUGAAGGCGAGCACUGCUUCCCUCCUCAUUGGGGAUGCCAGUCAUCUCCUCUGGUGUCCUGCAGGCACAGCGGCAGCCGACAGACGCCAAAGAGAGGGGACAGGGGAAGACAUUGAACUUGUAACAACAACAGCAGCGGUAACAAAUUCAGGAAAUGGGAAACAUGUUGGCCCUCCAGAAUCAUUUCAUCGCUUACUUUUAACAAUGUUAAAAAGGGUGUGUGUGUGUGUGUGUGUGUGUGUGUGUGUGUGUGUGUGUGUGUGUGUGUGUGUGUGUGUGUGUGUUUCUACCAGUGUGUGAAGGAAAAAUAGAGGGACCAAAAGAACCCUCUGAGACAAAGACAAAAUGAGGAGUAAGUAUGAGGAAGUUUAGAGUUGUGCCAACACCCACAGAGGGAUAAGGAUCCAGUAUUUCUGCCCUCUUUUUUAUCACACUAGUUCCCCCUCAGAGGGCUGGAAUGACUAAUAGAAUUAGGCAUGAGUCUGAGCCUGAUCUAGUUGGUGUUAUGAACCAGAAAGAGAAUCACAGCCGCAAUAUGCACUUUGAAAAGGAACCCAAAAGGAAUAAUGAAGUGACAAAAAUCAGCCUGCUACAUGCAGGGUACUUAGCAUGUGGAGGAGUAUAGAGAUGGCUCCAUUUAACACUGAAAUACCAGCUUUUCACACACAGUAAAACAUGUUUAUGGCUCUAUAAUUUAUUCUAAGUAUUCCCUCCUUUGGAACAAGAAAGCUCGGCUGAAUAAGGACAUGAGCCAAUUCUGCCCAAACAUCUAAAUUUCCUUAAAGGGACAGUAUGUAGUUUUCAGCUAAAUUUGGUGAAAUAGACUUUUUAGUGAUGGAAAAAAAAAUAAGAAUCACAACUUUGUCUCAAAUAAACUGAUAUAAAUAUAUUUUUUAUUUUUUUUACUUCUAGAGCAUACACUUUUUUAUAUUUUAUGAGAGUUUCAAGACAGUUGUAGUUGUUGUGCACUAAAGAAUUUGUAAUGAUUGACUAUUUUAAUACUUUGAUCUUAUGGCAGGUUCAAAAUAUUGCAUAUAUCAUACAUUAUAAGAGCUUCUUGUCCCCAGAGAGCCACCAUAGCUUUAAGGAAGGGAGGGGUGAGCAUUUUAAUGUAGAAUCUGACUGAAAUGAUAGUUUUGUUUUUCUUGAGGUUCUCAACAUGGGGGCCACAUUUACACUUGACAAAAAACUAUGGAAAAAGGAGCACCGUCCCUUUAAAAGUCCUCUUGAUAUUUUUUUGUUAAACUCAUUGCAAUAUGCCUUAAAGUCUGUGUAGGUAAACUGGUUUUAGCUCAUGGACAGCAUUGAUACACUGUAGAUGUAAAAUGACGUCCAACAUGACUGUGCAUCCUACUCUUCCUUCCUCAUCAAUUUCCUUGCCUCGUGCUUUUUUUCCCUCAUCUGCCGUUGGACCUUCAGAUAAUGUCACUUCCUUGCCUGACAAUAACAGUAAAAGGCUGGUCUGAAGCAUGUAUUAUUUGCAGAAAGCAUGCUUUUACUCUGCUUCUUCCUGCUGACAUUAUCUCAAAUUCACACUAGUCCAGACAAAGAUUAUAACAAGGAGAGAUUACAUUUAUUUCCCUACUGCCAGAUAUCCGAGAGAUAUUUCCCAGUAGUUCGACUCCACAUCCCGCCUCCCCUCUCUCAGCUCGUGGAAGGAUCAAUGUAACAUGCCAAAACAAUGUUUUUGCAGCGUCCUUGUUUUCUCACUUCAUGCACUAAAGUCUGUUUCCAAGAACGAAAAGCUAAGCACUGUGGAGGAGCUGGGAGUAUACCUGGCCCAGGACUUUAAUCACUACAAAACAGAUUUAGCUGAGACCAUUUGUUUGUAUCUGAUUCAAUCAGCAUAGCAAAGUCACACCAGGCAAGAGUUUUGCCAAACCUCCUCCGUAUUGGCAUCUAAGAAGGCUUUAAAAUACAAGCUAUGGCUGGGCUGCACCAAAAGGGAUUUUACACUGAUUUUAUAUCUGGAUUAAGUUUGGAGCCAGAAGCCACUGCCUUUAUAUUCACUUUUUUAAUUUCACAGGGAUACUCGGAUGUAGUUACAAAGGAAGUGUCUGUCUGUACCGUGCAUCAUGUCAUGCCCGUAAGUGUUUCUAAUUUCAGACAAUCAACCUUUUGUAUGAUAGAGAGAUCAUUAAGGAAUCAAGUUAAAUUACAGAAGCAAGUAAAAGAAACAAGAUGAUAGAUUUAUAUUGGAUAAAAAUGAUUUUCUUUAAAAAAAAACUUCAUCUGAUCAGAUAUCUGUGUGGUUUGGUAGAUUUGAGACGUUGUAAUGAUACAGGAGAUUUACACUCAAUCUUGUGUAAAUUGCCUUUUCUGGGGAGGUUUUGUCGUCACUCUGCUCUUUGUAAAGUGGGUCAGGAAGUCGUUUGUCAGCAAGCAUUUCCUGAGACUUUAUUUUACAAGUCUUCUACUGACGAAUCAGUGUUAUAUAUAAAGCAUGUGUUCUACUGUACUUAAAGAUUAAUUCAUGAGAAGAAAAUAACAGUUAUACAGGCCUGUAACUUUUGUCGCUAGCACUUUAAAGGACAUUAAGCACUAAUAACAAUCAUCAGCUGUAGUCAGAGAAAAUGCAAACUAUAGUAUUGAGUUAAUCUUUGUGUUUACUCUUUUCUUUUCUGUUAUUUGCAGCUUAACAGAUGAAACUGUUUUAGAGAAGUGAGCCAUAAAGAAGACAGUGUCAGAUGUUUUCGUGCAGCAGCCAUGAUUGCUUUAAAACGCUAUCAGGUCAAGUAAUACGGUCCCUGGAGACGCCAUGAAUUUAUGGGCAUCUCUGAUUCAAUCUACAACAAAUAUAAUUUAAUCUGCUUAUACCAUAGUACUCACAAGCUAUGAAGGCAGAUGGCGAAUCAGAGUUGGUAAAUACAAUAAAGUUUAAGGCUAGAUUUUCAUAGUAAAAUCAGAGUUUGGAUUAUUUCAUUAAAGAGCUCCCCUGAGAAUUAUUCACAAAGGAAUUUUCUCUGAAACUUAUUUUCUUUUUAAUCACCUUUACCAGAAAAAAACUCUGUGGUUUGAGUUUUGCUUCUGAUGACGGAUUGUGCUGAAAGCUCCUGAAAGCACACUUGUGUAAGAUGUGAACCAAAUUCCCCAUUUCCUAUAACAUAUGAACAAACUUGUUCAUUUAUUUUAUCUUCCAUAUCCUUGUUUCUCCUGACCUCCAUUUCUUGAAUUUUCUUUCACCUUCUACCAUAAGAAUGUAUCAGACAAGUUGGUGGUUUAAAAACAUCAAAAAUGAAUUUACCCCAUUGGCCCACAUCACUUCUUUAUAAUCAUAGACUCUUUCACAUCUGGUCUUGCCUUGUCCUUUUUCAAACCCACUGCUGUUCAACAACUCUUGGGAAAAUCCAAUCUUGACCCUUCACUCCCUGAAAACUACAGACCUAUAAUUAAAUUGCCUUUUGUUUUGAAGGGAGUAAAAAAAAAUAAAAAAAUAAAAAGGGGUUGUACAGAAGCUCACAUCAGUUCUCAGUUCAGUUCAGAUCAGACAGCUUUAUUUGUCCCUCGGGGGCGGUUUGGUUUUGGCAGUCUGGAUGAGGAGGAUAUUUUAGAUAAAGUUCACACUGGCCUCCAUCUGAAACAUUCAGCUCUACUCAGGGUCAUGGAUAAUCUGUUGAUGCAUGUUGAUACAUGGGAGUGUUCUGUACUGGUCCUUUGGACCUCAGCACAGUCUUUAAUACUGUGGAGCACAGUCUGUUAAUUCAGCAGCUCAGACAGUAGAUGGGUGUCUCUGGAAGAGCAUUAGACUAAUGCCCAACUAAUGAAAUGGGAAAAACAGGUGAAAGGCUCCGGAGCUCCGAAGAGAAAACUAAUACCGUCUGAGUUAGACGAAGAGAAAACUAAAACCAUCCAAGAUGGACAACGAGGAAACUAACACCGUCCGAGAUAGACGAAGAAAAAACUAAUACUGUCCAAGAAAUAAGACAAAAAAAAAAACAUCACCGUCUGAGAAAGAUGAGGGAAAACUAGUACAACUAACACUGUCCAAGAUGGACAACAAAAAACGUAACACUGUCCGAGAUAGACGAAGAAAAAAAUAAUACUGUCUGAGAAAUAAGACCAAUGAAAAAUUACCGUCUGAGACAGACGAGAGGAAAACUAGUACAACUAACAUCGUUCCAGACAGACUACCAAAAAAAUCAACACCGUCUGAGAUAGACACUAAUUACCAUCUGGGGAGCCCCAGGUCUGAAAGCUUAUGACUUAUUUUGUUUUUCUGGGAAACAACUGUUUUCAUAAAUAAUCAGGCCAAACAUGAAACAGACAAAAAACAUCUGUUUGUCUUGUUGAUUUUAAAUCAUUUUAUGUCUUUUUGAUUUAAAAUUGUGUACUUCCUUUUAAAUUUGAAUUGUUUUAAUCUCUCUUUACUUAUUUUAUAUGUAUUUCCUUGCAUCCAUAAUGCACUUUUAACUGCCUUGUGUAUGAAUGGUGCUUUACAAAUAAACUUGCCAUGCCUUAGACUGGCUUCUUUCUUAGUUGUUCAGAAUUACAGUUUUAGUCACUUCUUCUAAAUACGCUUCGUUGGUGUGGGCCCUGCCUUGAGGUGUUCCACAGGUUAUUAUCACAGGCCCUCUGUUUUUUCCUCAUGUCUGCUCCCACUGGGAUAUCUUAUCUUUGGUAUGUCUUUGGUGAUCGUUCAUGCUUCUGUUUCGUCUCACUUAGAUUAUUGGAAUUCUUUAUUUACCAGUCUCGGUAUCACUUCAUUGAGCCACCUGUAAAUGGUUCAAAAUGCUUUUGCUGAGCUUCUGACAGAAUCAUCCAGACGGCCUCAUGUUGAACCCGCCCUGAGGUCUUUGGCUUCCUGUUACAGUUAGAAUCCAGUUUCAAACUCUUGUGACUGUGCACAGAGUGUAGCACGGUUAAGCUCCAGCUUAUAUUAGAGAGCUGCUGAAGCCGUAUAACUCCAGCCGGACUCUUGAGUUCUUCCAGUCAGGGUUUGCUGAUUGUUUCUAGACUCAAAGUAAAGGAGACUGUGUUUAAAGUUGUUGCUCCUAAACUUUGGAACUGAGAACUGUGAAUAAAAACAGUUACAUACCAUUUUUAACUCGGCUGUGCUUGAGAUGUAGUCUUUUAGUUAAUUGAUAGCUUAAAAGUCUAGCACAUGUAUUUCUUUAAUGCUAAAAGCUUGAGAGUGAAAAUAGGCCCAAAGUCCUCAUGUAACUCCCCUGCUGUUGAAGCUCCAGGAGUGACUUUCCCUUUCUCCUGCUGUUAAGGAUACCCAGUAUUUACAGCCAUACAUCAGAUGUAUGGAAGCGAUCCAACAAGAAAACACCAAACAGUCUGAAAUGUUUUCCCUUAUUUGACAGAAGACAUUCAAUUAGAACGUGCAUUAGUGUGGCCCUACAUCUGUAGAUUUAAAGGAUGCAUUUCAUUCACAGAUUUUGUGUUGUUAUUAUCAAGACUGAUUGCAUUUGUCACUACAACAGCACUUUUACUGUUUCCAAGUAAUUUAAACGUUUCUGUGUAAUGCACACAAAUGAUCCUCUCCACCUUCUCUGCUGAUGCUUUCAAGACAGACUGAAGUAAUAAAGCAGAACAAAUAACAGAUAAUAGUCAGAUCACAUCACAGAUAUUGUACAUGAACAGAAAACGUACGUUACAACAUCACUGAUGUCUGUUAAAGUUCUCAAACUUACAGUCUUCUAUUUUUUUAAACUCUGCUUUAAAAUGAUUUUAACUCCUGAUUUCGACAGUACUAGUGGACUUGAUGCCGGGGUUUAGUUUGCUGACAGCCUCUCUAGGUGAACCCUUGGCUGACCUCCAUCCCCUCUGUGACUGUCAUGUUGGCCACAAAUCCCUGUUUAUGUACCUUUUUGUGUUUGUCUUUCCAUAAGUGUAUGUUUGGCUUUUUUUUUUCCAUUGUGUUUUUUUCCAAGUUUUGCUCGCAGAAUUGUUCCCUGGGUGAUUAAUAUUAAUAUUGACAUUGGUGAUAAAAGGAUUGCUUUUCCAAGUAAUUUCCAUCUGCCCUUCAGCAGGCGAGACAGCGAGCAGCCAGCACGCUGGCUAAUCCCCCCAUCUCUCCGCUCAGUCCUGCUUGUUCAGGUGAUGGCAUUAUUUAGGCCAGCUGACACGGCUUAAACAUUCAGCUUCCAAAUAGUACACAAUAACCAGGUCACACCAAGGUGAGUGGGCUGGUUGUGAGAGGUGUGACGGGGCUCUGAGGGGAGGAUACCACUGACCCCCGUGGCCUGUUGUUGUCAUCGUUUGUCAUAGAGCAGGACAAGUGUACUCGUGUUUCCACUCACCUUAGCUCUGUGGUCAAAACAUCCAUUCAUUCAUGCAGCCAUUUAAAGAGUGACCCUCCUCACAUGCUAUUAGCUGCCUUGAUUCAACCAAUGAGUUAGAAAGUCACAAAUCCAACAAAGACAUGGUGUUGAAGGAUUAUUACAGUUCUAUCAAUAACACCAGCAGCAGAUCCUCAUCGGGAGAAAUCUUAGAAGCGCUUACGUCAUCUCUCAUCACAUCAGUUUGAUUGAGUGGACCAUAAAGACGAGGCCCGACCCUGACAAAUAAGGACGUUUCCUCCAUAGAUGAUGUGUUCCUGGGGCUGUAUCAGAGUUUUCUCGUUUAGUUUUCUAGAGGCUUUCUCCACUGUUGCCAUGCUAAUAAGAUUCCUCUAUUACAUUAACAGCGGUUCCUCUGUUUGGAAUAACAAAUUAUGAAAUAUGGCCAUUUAUUUGGUUCUGAAUUUGAUUCAGAGAUUUUAGGACCUGAGAAAAUCCCCAGUAACAAACAUAGACUGUAUAGACCCAGUGUAUCUCCUCGCUGGGUGCGCUCUCUGGUGACAGGCGGCACUAUAGGUUAUAAAUCCUACCUCCUCCAGUGAUCUCUAUAGAAUCGUUAACAAACUCUAGAAAUUAAUCACACAGAAUAUAAUUUUUCUCCCUCAGUGCUUGUGAUGUCGACAUUUAGUUGUUGUAAGACUGGUUGAAAAUCCCAGAAAUACCGAGAGCAAUUCGGCUUCAAAUUCGUAUAAUGACGGAAGGCGGAGCCAAGUUGUCCAUAGUAUAUACAGUCUAUGGUAAAAAAUAGGGCCAAGGUUGGCUAGAUCUAAAAGUGAGGAAGGCACUUGCAUGGAGAGCCCUGAACGGCAUGACCAGUGCAUGGAACUCCAACCUCCCCCGCCAAAUCAAACUCAACUUCUUCUACGCGACAGUAGAGUCCUGAAGCCAACCCUGGAGAAAUCCCUAGAUGGGUGCUACACCAGGAUGUUGCGUGCAGUGCUUAACAUCAGCAAGAACGCACAUGUAACCAACAGAACGCUGUACGAGGGAAUACCAAGGGUGAGCGAGAAGAUUGCUGUAAGGAGAAUGAGACGAGCAGGACACUGCCGAAGGCAUCGGGAACUGCCAGCCAGCAAAUUGGUGCUGUGGGAACCAACAAAUGGCCAUCGGUCAAGAGGACGUCCUACACUAACAUACGUGGACAUACUCAAGAAGGACGCAGGAGCUCAGAGUACCAACGAACUGGAGAGAUGUAUGGAGAAUCGGGAUGACUGGAAGCGACGAUAGAAGGCUUGUCUGAGGACGACCUAGAGAGUAAAAAAUAGAGACAAAGUAUUACAUUGAGUUUAUCUACCAGUAUCAAAAACUGAGCAAGUUUUGUCAUCCUGGGAUAACUCCAACACACUGACCUUACAAUUUGAAAUGUUCAUCCCUUAUUUUUACUGGAUAUAUGUUUUUAAAAAAUGAAUACGCUUGGGCCACCUUUAAACACGCUUGGUUCAUUUAGUAUAUGAAAAAUUCUUUGUUUGUUUCUGCACAAACAAUAAUGAACCCCUCAUGAGAUUGUGUUCAAUAAUUGCUGGGCUAAAACAACAGAAUAAACAGUCGUCUGGCCAACAAAAAAAAUUAAACAUAAAAGCAGCUGAGACCUGAAAACAACAACAACAACUGAAAUGAUGCAGCAGGAGACAGGACUCCCAGGCCAACUCUGCACCUGCACCCACCGCCAGCCGCCAGGUAUAAACACUGCUUUGGAGCAGCAUCUGAGAGGGAGUCAGACACAGUCAUGCAAAAAUACACAAACAGCCGCACACAAAGCCACAGUCUUUCAGACAGCAAACAUGGUAGAUGUGCACAUGGAGGUGAGCAUGACUCUGCUUUUCCUUUAGCUCUCAACUCCUUUUUUUUAUUUUAUUGUAAUUUUUCACUGCUCUGGUCCAAACAUUUCAAUCUCACUUAAAGUGUGGGUCUAUUUCGGGAACAGGAGCUAUUUUUAUCGUCCAUUUUGGACAACUCCCCAUUUUUUUUCUCUCUCCCUCUCUCUCUCUUAAUGUUCCGACAUGCUCAUGUGGGUGUAGGGCUUUCGACGCGCUCUGCUGACUGCUCAGAUUAUUGCUAUCCAUCAUUUGUUUAUAUUCUCAUUUGGAAAAGGAGUGCACUUCCAUUACCGCAUUAUAAUUUCCUGCAAAGGUUACAGAAGGCCAGAGACAAGUUAAGUUUUGCCUUGGCUUUACCCCACAUCCCGCACUGCGCGCUUCCACUUCAUAGCAUAAUGCCAAUGCUCACAUGGCUCUGGCUAAAAGUCCUCCGCACAAUAGGAAGCUGCUCCCUGUCAGCACUACUCACAUUGCUUCUUUUCAUUGCCCUGUAAUGUCAAUACCACAAAAAGCCUUUGCCACGGAGGCUUACAAUGAAAAGAGGGCAAAGCCGCACACGGAGACUGCUGUUAAGAUUUUCACAUGUUGUUAUGAAAAGCACGGCUCCUCUGCCUCUAUGAGCAUCGACUGUCCAGAUACUUCUCUUCUCUUGUGGUUACAGACUAUUACGAUCCGACCACAACGAAGGGAAUGAAAACAUGUUUUCAUAUGUUCCAGUCAUGCCGUUUCCAUGUAUUUUGCUUAUUCUCACGGUCAACGAUGUUCCCUGGAUCCGGAUAGUGUUUGUCAAUGAAAAAUAGCUAAAACACUGCAUAUGUACUUUGCAGUAAUCCAAAGACAAACAUUUCAGUCACUUUGUCCUUUAAGAGAAACAAGUUUUUCACAAACUGGAGACCCUGAGGGAUAGAGCAGCAGAGUUACGAUGUUCUGCGUUGGCCCUGAUGCUGAACAGUAACAUCAUACACUUGUCGUGGUGGAUUCCAGAGGUGGCUAUAUGUCUUGUCACGUUAACAGCACGAUAAAUGGGAUACUAAGAGGCCAGUAUCCUCUCAGAUGAAACAUGUAUCCUCAGGAAUCCGGCUUGGCUGUGGAGUCAUUUUGUGUUAAGUCACCUUAACCACGGCUACAGGGCUAACGUGUUGGAUAAACGACGUCGUCCGCUGCCAGGGAGGCAGAACAGGGUCGUGACAUUGUCUGAAGAGGCCCUGUGGCUAUGUCAACACGCUCACUGCAGGGGCUUUUGCUCCACUCUGGAAACAGCCAGCUUUCAGGUGCUUCAAUUCCUCUUCUCUUUUCUCCGUCCUCUCAUUAAGGAGCCUCAGGGGACAAGCUUCUGGGCAGCUCUCCUCUGGCCCACUAUGAUAAUGUUGAUCCUUUAGGCUUUGAGCCAAACCCGGGGAACUUUCUAUACUUAGAAAGACCAUCAUAAGCAUAUCUGCAAUAACAUUAUCAACGUAGAAAUGAAAAAUAAGGCUGGGCAAAGAUUUUAGGGGUUAUUCAAGCUUAGUGGAGUUGUUAGCAUCUGCUGUCUGAUCUGUCUUAGGGCAAUAUCAUAUCAGAAUAAUGAGGGCAGAUAUGUUCUCCAGCUCUGAAGACUCUGCACAGCAGUCUUGGAAAAACACUCCCCUGAACAUCGAACUCAUUGGAUGGCUAACUGAGGACAAAUCUACUCCAAAUCAUCGAAUGUCACAAAAUAAUUACUUAUGUGCAUUUGGCAGGCAGGACUGCUAUAUCAUGACAAAGUACUUGAAGUAAAUCCACUCGGAUAAUUUUGUGGGACUGAAGCCUUAAAUUAAGUUUUAACAGAUUACUUUCAAACCUUUGCACUCUGCGGAAAGAGACGGAGGAAGAAAGAAGAGAGGAGAUAAGCUGAUCUUGUGGAGGAAUAAGCAAUACCAUCUCAAAAGAUGCUGGAGUUUGUAGAGAUGAAUAAAAAAUACACAUUUUAAAUAACUAUCUCCUCUCUCAUCAAGCAAGUUAAAGUAUAUGCCUCAUAGAAAGAGUCAGACACCGUGUAGAAGAUAGACUUAAGAAUAUCAGUACCGUUGAACAUGUGGAAGAGGAGCAAGUAGAAAAGCAGGUACAAGACGACACUGUUCACUGUUCUGUCAAGCUGACAGAGUGGAUAAUUUAGAAUAACGACCAAAAUGACAUCAAAUAAAACACUAUAUCCCAGAUAUUGCUGUUCAAUUGAUCUGUUUUGUUUUGCUGUUUGGGACUGAGCUAAUAAAAAAACAGUGUUUUGCAUUAAUUGUCAGCUCCUCUGAGGUUGAAUAAAAAAAAAGUCUCUUUUUCUUAAAGUCGAUUCUUGAAUGCCUCAAACUAGAAAAUAAUUGAUUGGAAAGUGUAGUAAGUCAUGCAGGCAUUUGGUUAAAAUAUGCUUUCAGUCACAAGCGUAUAUGACUAAAUUCUGCUCCUACUCAGUCUGUAUGACGAGACGAGAGGACCCGACCAGAUUAAAAAGUAACCAGAUGACAGGUAACCCUUGAAUUUAAGGAAACCUAGAGUUUCAGCCGACAGGCAUUCACACGCUGGACUUUCGCUUGGUUGGUAACAUUAGCAUUAGCCAAGCAAUCAUAGUAAUCCAAGGACAUAUUCUCUACACGCUCACCUCAGUAUUUAGAGGUAACUGUUGUCAUCUAGUUAACCAUACCAAGAGAGCAAUAUCUGGCACUGCUGAAUCUACUUCCAUGACACACAGUUUCUGGAAAAGUGAGUCAGAUGAUAAAGAUCUUAUAAUGAAAGCUUAUAAUAUACCAGAUACAUCAAUAUCCAAGCUUUCAGCAACAGAUUCCAACAUAAUGAAGUCUUUGUUUAAAUAAUCUUCCUAUGUCAAAGUUGUGUAUUGCAGUAGUUCCUGGUUACUGUAGAUAUCACCCUCCACCACCAGACCCUGUUGUGUAAAAAUUGAAUGUAAUGGAAAAGUUGGACGAGAUAUGAAAUCCUUAAGCAGUUCUUCAGUCCAGGCCAGAGUUCAACCAUUAGUUUGAGUGAGCCUUUAGCAGUCUGAGUCACACAAAACGAGUAGGUAUCAUCCAGAGUUAGUGGUUAUUUAGCUCAUAAUUCCCUCUGUGUUUUGCUGUCCCUCGGCCACAGCUCGGCGAGGAGAAAGCAGGUCUGGGGGACAAAAAGAGAGGGAACAAUGUCCUUGAAAUUGGAGGUUUAAAUUCUGAGUCUUCCUCAGUGGCAGUCUCUGUUUCCCCACACAUACUUAUUCUCGUGUUACACUGUUUUCUGAAUGUAAUGUGCUGACUUCCAUGCGUCACAUCGAGGCCUCUUUGGUACACCCGGCCCAAAGUGUUUUAAUAAUGCAACAGUGUCAUUGUUAUUUCCCAUGCCUCCCUCUCAUUAUUUUUACGGCCAGUGCCCACAUUGUGAAAACAGCAAAUGAACUUGUGCCCACGAAGGGACUUGUUGGGGUUUUGGUCUUGAAAUGAUGUGUGGUAAGACAAAAAAGUGGCGUGUUGACAACAAACUCCCUCACAACAUUUAACCAUAAAUGCCCCCAACUAUAGUGCCCACAGAUUCUGAUGAAGUCUGAACAGUAUCCAUUGUGCACGUAGUGAUCCAGAACCAGAAUAAAGUAAUUAAAAAUUAAAGCCCACUUUUCUUUGAUAAGGAUGGUUUAUAUGAGAUCCCCUCCAAUGUAGCUGCCGUGACAGAAGUUUCAAAUAACCGAUGGAUAUAAAGCUUCUGUGCCUUGCGUGCAAAAAUGUACGCACUUUUGGAAAGUCACUUUCAUUUCUAUUGUUCGGAGGGAUUGUUUCAGUGGAUUAAACAUCAAUCCAUACAUUGACGUAGCUCAUACAGCGACCUGUGUGUGUUUUCAGGCACAGCAGAAGGGGAGGGGGAAGUAAAAUAUACUGUCUGGAGCCGUGUCUAUUUAAUUAAAGGCUGGAAUCCGCAGUGUAGAUAAUAGUAUGCUGCAUGCAGUUGCACUCAGGUCUAAAAGGCAGUGACAGCACACACACACACACACACACACACACACACACACACACACACACACACACACACACACACACACACACACACACACUGAUUGAUUUGAUUCAUGUUAUGCCCAAAACACACCCUGGGAUUUCCAAGGGACCUCAUCCAAUCUGUAGACUACCUAACUAACAAAAAGCGGUUGGACGUGCAAAUUUUGAUCAUUAAAAUUGGGCCCUUACUAUCUCCACAGGGAUUUUAUUGGUGCCACAUCCAGCCUUAAAGUUUAAACAAAAACAACAAACAAAAAGAGAGAGAGAGAAAAAAGGACAGCAAACGAAGAAAUGCAUUGCAGCACAUGCAGCGUCUGUCCAGUGGACUAAUACAAGACUUACAUGGUAAAAAUUGAUUACAUCAGGUUGCAUUUACACAUGCUAUAUAUUCUUUUAUAUUAUACUCACUUUCCAGUGAGGAUUACUCUAUAAGCUGAAUCGUUAAGCUGCUUUCUAUAAUGCUAAAGCCUAAAAGCCUUGAGGCAUUAUUCUGGUUCACAAUUAAAUCUAUCCUGAGUACAUAGACAUUGGCUGUUGGUCCAUAAUGCGGUUUGACCUCUAGAGUUUUACAUAUGUAUUUCAAUCAACUGUGCAUAUGUUCUUUUUUCUAGUGUAAAUUAGCUGAAACAAAUAAAAGUCACAACCAAUCUGUUAGAAUUCACUAAAAACUCGACUACCACCGAGGGAGCCUUAAGGCAAACCCCCAGAGGAGCAGCUCAGUGUCCAACAGUUAAGACUGUAUCAGUGCGAGACAGCUCCCCCUGAAUGUGCCGUACUGCAUGAAUGUUAAGCAAGACUGUUAGAAGUGAGCCUGCAUGCUCAGCAAACCCUCUCUGUAUAAAUACACCUUAAAACAGAGAGAGGAAGACGUGUGACGAAGGUCACAAGACAGACUCCAUGAUCUUGCAGGUCUACAUUAUGCAGCCAUGCCAGCUGGGACACCGAGGCAGCCCAUUAAAUACAAUUUAAUAUAAAGAAAGAAACAGUAUUUCAGGGGCAUAAGCCAAGGCUUUGGCAGGGUGGGAACCGCAUUUCACAGAGUGCUGUGCAACUUUGUCAGGUAAACGUGACUGUUAGGGACAAGCGAAGAUUGAUGGAAUCUUUUUUCCCCUUGGCUCAGCAGUCUUUGAUUUCCACAGCACACGGGAGGAAGAAGGGGAGCGGCAAUGGAGUUGGAAUGAUAGAUAGGAAUUCAUGCCGUUUAUAUCCCUAGGUCAGUCCAUCACAUAACUGAGUGAGUGAGAGAAAGAGAGGGGGGAGAAAAAGAAAGAUGAUCAGGCAGUGAUGCAGUAUUGAAACUGCAAUGUCCAUGGUUUUUGCUACCUUGUGUGAUAAUUAUGCAGCACGCAUUCAGACAUUUCUAUGGGCAUUAGUGCAGUGAUUCAUAUGGUUGGAAUUAGCAUCUGGAUGUUUUGGCUGAUUCUUUUGGAGUCCUUCAAGCAUAACAGUGCGCUGCUUUCCAAUUUCCACAUACUGCUGCCUUGAAAUCUGAACAGUAACAUUGAGGCAGUACAUGACGAUGAUUUGGAAUUACAGGGAUGCUUUUCUAUGUAAUUGCUUCAGCAGGGACAUUGAUUGAUAAGAGCCUUCAGAGUUUCCAGGCGUGACUGAAUGACAGGCUUUAAAAAAAGGAAGGCCAUUGUGACCAUUGCAAAACAACACUGCUUACUGCAUUAUGUUUUAUUCUUUGUUGCCUUUCUCCUGAUAAUGCUUUCCUAUGGGAAAGGAGCCAUUCUUUUUCUUCUAUAGACAGUGUCUAAUGAUUUGAAGAUUUAGAGCCUCUGAGGUGAUAUGUUGAGGUCCUCGUGGGGCGGUGACCUCCCUCCAUAAGUCACUCUUUCAUUUGUCAGACCAAUCUCUCAAAGACUGUUAUUUUGAUCCAGAAUGAAAAGCACUGAAGAAUCAUCAAUCAAAACAAUAGUAAUGUGAUCAGUAAAGGGUAAAGUUAACCCUUUUUUAUUUACAGGUAUAGAAAGUUGCACAGAGUAUCUUCUAUUCUAUCUCUUGGCAAGAAGUGCUAUGGUGAAUUUGAAGACUUCCUACUUGAUAUGAAUUGUACAAGGACAUAAAACUCCAAGUGAGUAAAAUGUUGAUAAAAACAUAUUGUGUUUUUUUUGCAAUAUUACACCCCUAAUUGAAAAUAGUGCUGAUACAAUACAGCACAAGAACUUUAUUCAUCCCCAAACGGAAAUUCAUUGAGACAACAUAUCAAAUAUUGGAAGUGAAAUUUCUCAACAAAGUCCCUCAGGUGGUGGUACUGCACUUAAAACAGACAUGGCUCUGUAGUGGAAGUCACCCCAUGAGCUUAAAGUCACCCCCAAUAUUACUAUUUGUGAACCUACAGUAGUUUGGAUGCAGGUUAAACCAGAAGACAUUGCUUUCACGAUUUCUCGAACGAAUAUAGGAUUUGAGGGAAAAUGCCUCAUAUGCUGCCCUCCCCAAAAGACCCUGAAAAAGUUAGGGCACUAAACUGGCCUACCUGCAGCACCAACUUCUCUUCCAUUAGUCUUAUUUAGAGCACAUGAAAGUGCAACAAAGGGUCCCCAAACAACUUAAUGCGUUCAUGUAAAAUGUUCACACGGUAUAUUCUUUGUCUGAACUAUGAGAACAAGAAAUGCAUUCAUUAUUCUCAUUCUUUACAAUUUGAAUGAGAAUUAUAUUAAUCAUAAAAACAAAAACAUUGAGCAGAAAUUCAGUUAAUCUUCAAAAUGUUCAAAUGCAGAAAGUCUGUAGUUUUCCCGUGCAUGUACCAGAAUUAAUUCAUCAGUUUAUCUCAGUGAAAGUUACUUAGUAAUCACUUCAUGAAAUUGUGUUAUUCUACAUCACUGCUAUCAGUUAUGACUUUAUUUUUCAUCUGUUACUGCUGAGCUGUAGUCCUGGCAACAGGACUCAGCAUUUCUGCUCCCCCCCCCUCCGCACCCGUGUCUCUCUUUUCACUUUUAAACCUCCUCAAUUUCAACGUUUUCCCUCAAAAUGAUCGCCCCCAACCCAACCCUUGAAGCUCCUUUACUUCAAACUUGAGAGGAGUAUCACUCAAAUGCAUUUUUUGUCUUCCCCUUAGCCUUGUUCAUACAUUCCCUUUUCCUCUUGCUCUCACUCUCUCUCUCCCUUUGUGCCUCAUCUCCCUCUCUGUGUAUGAACCUGCCUGACUUCCUCUGUUGAGUGACAUGCCUUUCAAUCUUUGAUGGAUUUUCUUUGCUUUCUGUCCCUUUUUUUCACAUCCUCUCCUCCCACACACACAGAUUUUGUGUCUUAAAGCUGCGAUUUUACAUCUUACUGUAGCAAAAAAAUUCCCUGCAUGCUGUUACCCAUCUAACCCAUUCACAGUGCAAACACAGGAUAUGUGCUCCAUCCAUUCAAUUAAUCGUCUAUUUCCUCUGCGGUUUGUUCAAACAAGUUUGCAGUUAAAUUUGAGGUUCAUAUUUACAGGGGGCAAUCAAUUACCACAUUACGGCACAACAUUACAGCUGCAUGUUAAAUGUCCUGUCAUUUCUAUCUGUGGAGCCAAAUCCUAUUGUUCCAGGGCCAAGCUAAUUCUAUGUAAACCAUUCAAUUGGAUCCUGCUGAGGACAAAACCCAUGAGCUAUUCUUGCACGUGUUCAUACACAAGACACAUUACUCAUCUCACCCAAAGACUUAAGGCAUCAAGCAUUCCCCAUAAGUGAACAUUUUUUUUUCUUCAUAUGCAAAUGCCCCCACCUCUAAUCCUCUAUUAUUCUGUAUUUGCAUGCUGUUCUGAGAAUGCAUCAACCCUCCCCACCACCACCACCUGCCUUUCAUCAUACAAAACAAAGGUGUUUACACGAGUCAGUGCAGCAACUGCUGCAAGAUAUUUGAGGCACUGCAGAGAUGCAAAUGAGACACCAGUAAAUUUCUGUAGUCUCUAAUCCAUUUUUUAUGCAUUUUCACACUGAGCAAUGUCUUUCAUGAAUCAGAAUAAAAUGUCAAGGCAUGAUAAGACCCUCGCAGACUCCUGUGAUUGCUCUGAGCAGGACAAAUGUCCAUGAAAAAAACAUCAAGUCAUCACAUUAAUAAGAAUGACAUUAAUGAGCAGACGUGGCGUGACUGCACACAUAAAUUUAUAUCAUGACACAUUCACAUUAGCUUUCACUCAUCAACAUAUUUACACAUGCAGUCUCAGCUUACAAACAAAUACCUGCAAAAGGAUUUUAUAUAAAGUAAGUAUAGCUGCAAUUUUAACACAACGUAUGGGACCUUUGCCCAAACUUAAGAUAAUUUGUGCUCAUGCCACACUUCAGCUAAUGAUAUGAAGGAUCCUGAGGUCCUCCUAAUGAAGAGUCCAAAAGUUCUAGAUACUGUAGGUGAGAGCAACACUUUCUCUCAAACUUUGAUUUCCCACAUACUGAAGCUUUAAACCUCAACAGUAACAGAUCAAUUGGCAUGCAUAAUGUUAGAAACCAUCAAAAUUUCACAUCAACCUAAAAGAAAAUGAGACUGAAAUGUUUCAAUCUUGUUUUCAAAUCAACAUCUCAGGCAAUAAUUUGGUGCGUAAGAGAAAAAUAAAACAUUAACUGCAUCAAUGAUCCGGCAUUUUAAUUUAAAUGUGUUCAAGCAAAAUGAAAAAACUAUUUACUUUAGUGUGUUCGUGUUUGAAAUUAUUGCUUUUGGUCAAAAAGAUCAGGUUUUGUACAGAUUUUUAAAAACUCUUAAAAAAAGAGAAGCUAAAACAAACGUUUCAGUCGGAUGCAGACAGGAAGUGUAUCGUUUGAAAAACAUCGAGCACGAUAUCCCCUCUUAAAAGGGUUCCUGCUUCUGCAACCGAUUCCAAAGAGCCUCUAAAAACAGGUCAAUAAGGAGUUUGUUUUUGUGCUCUAUACCACAGGACGGAAGUGUAAGCCGACACACGGUCUGGCCCAUCCCCACAGUGAUAUGAAUAGUGCUAGAUUAUUGAGGUACGGCGCCACCUGCACUGGUAUUCCCACACACAGUUGGCGGUACAUUCUGUAUUUCAUCUCAGCUGAAAUGUGUGCACAUAUGUGAGUCUUUGGGUGCUAUGCCAACAAACACACUCCUAAUUAGCGUAACAUGGUGAUUGAUUGGCUUAAAUUACUCCUCAACUCAAUUCUACUGGUGACACAUUUAGAUUUGAUGAGGCAUUUAAUGGCCCUUCACAACUUGUGUAUUUAUUGUGCAAGUUUUGCAUUCAGCGUGCGUGUCGGCGCUUUAAAAGCCUUCAAUUGUUCUGUUGCUAAUCGCUGAAAUAAUAACGACGAUGACAAAAAUAAGAUUUGAUUUUGUUUUAUUGAAACAGAUUACUGCCGCGGUGUUUAUAUUCGUCCCAUGUCCUCUUCAGCAGGUGUUUUCUACACCUGAAAAGACAACACUUGACGGAGGGAGAAUAUACACUGUGCCGAUUUGUCAUCCCUGUCGUUCCACUCGUCUGACUGGGAUGAGGAAGGGAUGGAGUAACAAAGGUGGAUAUCUCUGGAAUAUCUGUUUAACAUCCUAAUUGGAAAUGACAGGCACAGUGGCGCGUUCAGCCCUGCAGGGGAGAUCAAAGAGUUGGAGCUCCAUGAGACAGAGCGGUAUGGAUCGGAACCAAACCGAUCCCCUCUCGCCUCGGCUAAUUAACACCUGGCUCCUACUAAUUAACGAAAUCCACUAGCAUCCCAUAAACAGCACAAAAAUAGGGAGGAAAAAAAGGGACACUGUGUAAGAUUUACAACCCUGUGCUGGCCCUCAGUUACGUCCCCAGAGAGUCUACCUGUCUGAUGGAGCAAAUGUAGGAACAGGUGUUCUCCUCCUCUCGCCGCGCCGCUCAGAGCGCCGAGGAGAAUUGAAGUUAGGUGUUAGAGAUUUUCAGCCAAGUGUUUUGUAUCAUAGCUGCUGUUUCUUAAGUGGUCCCAUUUGUGUUUUUUUUUUUUUUUACUCCAUGUUUUUAACAGUCAGAGUAGAAAUAAUUGCACCAGUUUCAGCAUCUCACUGCUUGGAAGAGAAUCGUAUCAAAUAUGUUUUCACAUCUUGUCUUGACAACUAAGUUCAGUGAAAUUGUCAUAUGUCUCAGUGAAGUAAAUGAUCAAAACCCGACACGUUUUUUUUUUUUUUGUUAUUGUUGCCUUAAAAAACUGACACUAGAGGGUUUCUUCUCUCAAACUGCAUUCAGCACGAAUCCGCCCUCUAUUAAGUUUGCAUUGAUAAUCCAAAGCAGCCUUACAAAAAGCCUCAAGGCUGAGCAGGAGACAGGCUGCAGCAGCAAAACAUCUCCUCUUCGGCUGCCUUGGCAACAAGAAAGCAGUAAUUAUAUCAAAUGAUAUAUCCCAGCAGGGUGCUCUCUGCUACAGCUGAUACACUUUAAGGUUGAUCAUCUCUGAAAAAUCAGUAUUCUUCCAACAAGUGCCUGAAAUACAGUAUGACAGAUUUUACUUAAACCAGACAGACGAUUGAGGAGAACUAUAUUAAAUCCACUCCAGAAUAACCUGACACGACCCCAAACAGGAACAAAAACACAACAUACCAGUAUUUCUAAAGGAUGGUUCAGUUUUUAUUAAGUGGGGUUUAUAAGAUACUUGUCAAUAGUAAGUGUAUUACCAUAAGCGUAUCUCUGUCUGCUCAGCACCCUCGCUAGAAAAAGCUGGCACAGACGCCGCGGCCCAUUUGUUUUUGCAGUUUUCACAGACAUGACACAUACCUGGUCCUCUGCCUACAGUGCACCGAUCAGCCGGUUGAGUCUGUGGGCUUUAAAAGAGACAAAAAUACUAAUAAUACGAAUCAUCUGAACAACAACGACCAAAGUGACAGCAACACCGAUAUGACAUUUACCGUGGAAACAAGAGGCCGGCUUUAUGAGCUGGCACUCUUCGAGAUAUUGCUCAGUGCUUUUAUGCUCCAGUGGCAAAGGAUGAUGAUACGCCACAGGUAUUUUAUGAGUACAUAUUUGGGUAUUUUAUUUGAUGCAUGUAUCAUUCAACACACUAUAUUCUGUAAGUAGACAUUCAUAUUUAACCGAGUGUUAAGCAUAUUUAAAAAUCGUCAUGCUCUGGACAGAAAUUUCUACACAAAUACAAGAAGAAUAAAAACAGAUCUGUUGAUUCUUGUGGAUUAAAUGAAGGUGAAAAGGGGCGCGACAGACUAAAAGAGAGGACAGGUGAGAUCCUGAGUUACCUCGUGGAGCCGGUGUGUCCGUGUUGAGCAUGUUCCGUCAGCAUCAUGACAGACACCUUCACAACACCUUUAGACAGAGUUAGCAGUUCUAGGGCCUGUUGGGGUCCACAUGGAUCAGGCGCUGACCUUCAGAUUGUUCUGUGUUACUGAUAAAUCCAUAACCAGGAAGUAUUUCUCAUCUACAUGAACUCAUACACAGUCGGGAGUCCACAUAUGGUGCGCGGUUUCCAUGCUUGACAUCCUGUCUAGAUUGAUAUUCUCUGUGUCGAUUGAGAUGUGUUGGGAGCGUAGAGCGAAAGACUCGUGAGUAUCUUUAGCAGAGCCACGCUCAACACGCUUCUGAGAUGGAGCUGCAACACGUCCUGUGCGAUGCUGCACUGAUUAGAAUGGCAUCCUAUUUGAUGCGUGAUACGUGACGCUGACUGAAUUCACUCAAUAAGGAUCCGUAUGUUUUAGGACUGACUAAACCUGCAAUUAGAGCAAAAACAAAUUGUAUUUCUAAAAGCAGAAAUAAAGAGCUGGACAUUUUCUGAAUGUUAGUGUUUGACUCAGAGGGCUCUACUUUCGUGCUUCGCCAACGUCGUGGCGCAGGCGCAGGGUAAGUCAGGUCCGCCGCGCCGACAAGGCGUUCCCGAGCACUAUUUGGUAUUUUGGUGAGCGGCGCAGCCUGAUGUAAGUAUCCCCUCCUCCCUAACGCAGCUCCUCCCAGCGGCGUAAGUCAUAGGGAGGGAGGAGAAAGGGUGUGGAGUGGAUUUAACACAGCUGAGACCUGUGCGCUGAAAGCUGACCAGGUUUGAAUCGGCAAGCUUUCAGCGCACUUUAUAUGCCACCGGCGAGCAUGAAAAUGUCACUGCGCCAGCUGAUUCUGUCGACACCUCCCCCUGCCGCGCCACCACACCCAGCUUGGCGGACCUCGGUGCGCCUCAGUCUACGAAAAUACCAAACUGGCUGUACGCCGGGCUCCCCCAGACAAAAAUACCACUGCGUGGGGUCCGCCAACCUUCGCCGCAUCGCCGGCGGACACGAAAAUAGAGCCCAGAGUUUCUUAAACUCAGCUAAAUAACUUGGUAGAGCUGACCCUGGUUGACAGCCAUUCUCCACCAGGUUUCUCAAAGAAACAGCGCCUACUUGAAUCUGUGGGAACACUUACUGUGGAAACGUACCUCACACAAACCCACUUGAUGUGACUGAUGUGUUUUCUCUCCUAUUCUUUCCCUUGUCCUCCCUUAGAAGUUGAAUCUGAUGUUUACCUAAAUGAUGCAAAUUGACUUACCCUUCAUUUGCUGUGUUGGUUUAACUAGACACCGGGAAAAGUCUAUUGUACCACUGACACUUCAGGUAAUGAGUGAAACGAUAGUCACUCUGUUGGCUGAUUGCAGACACUAAUUGAGACACUGAUCCUUAAGCGGCUGCAGGCAUCUUGUGCUCAGAAUUCAUCAUCUUUACUCUCUGCAGUCUGUUUUUCUUCUUCUCUCAUAUCUCACCAGGGAGACACUUACACCGAUGCCGGACUGAGACACUUAACGCAGGUUAUCAACUUUGAAAACAACUCUCCGUUCCCCUGUGCCAUGGCAAGAUUAUGAAAUUUUGGCUGAGUCACAGUUUCAGUCAGGAGCUUUCAUCUGUCCCUCCAUCCCCGGUCAAUCUGUUGAGCUGUUUGUUUGUCUGUCUCAGCCUUGUCAGCCUCAUUCUCCAGUUAAUCCUCCUUUGUCUCUUUCUUUCUAUUCUUUGUCCUCACUCUCUCCUUUUGCUGCAGUGCCCAAAAACAACCUGAGUUGGCUUCAGGGACUUCUUGCAAAGCUUUUUCUUCAAGUUUAGUUUUGUAUUUAACUGCAAAGUUCGCCCCUGUCCAAUAUUUGAAAUUAUUUUCCGGACAGUGUUGCAAGGCCAGAACUUAAUGCAUCAUGUCUCAGCUUGGUUGGAGCAUGUAAUAUGAUGUGGUUGGACAAAAUCUCACCCUCAAGACAAUUUUUCUGACAGGAGCUCUCUGGACUUGAAAGAAAAUAUGACACACCUUAUAAAUAUAGAAGCUUCAGUGACAGCUCAUCAAAUGAUUAACAAGGUUUAUGCCUGAUACGAGAUGAAUCUCUUGAUCUUAAAUCCACUUACUGAGGUUAUGGAAAAACCUGAUUUACAACCAAGCAGCCCAAAGUGCUUUACAUAAGAAUGACCACAUAAAAAAGACAAAGUUGUCGACUCCAAAAAAAUUACUAAAGUAGAAAUAAAACACUUUAAAAUCAAUGAAUAAAAAUCCAUUUCAAGAUGGACUGAAAUAACAGCACAAAGAAAAGCUGCUGUACACUCAACAAAGACAGACUCAGACUUUUCUCCGAUUUAAACGGUUCGUGAAAAAAGUGUUUUUAUCCCUUAAAAAAGUUAGAAAAACAGCGAGUUCUUCAUCCCGGACUCUGAGUGUUUCACUGAUACAGACUACAAAAACAGAGGGAUAAGGCUUUUGUGAGAAACAUAAAAUGAAUUAAUGUCUACCUAUAAGGAUGAGCAAGGUCAAACAAAGCUUCAUGGACCUAAUUUAAGAUGAAUCAUAAAGAAAACCGAUAGGCAGUGCUCUCUCUGUCUCUCUCUCUCUCUCUUUCCCUCUUCAUAUAUAAAUUAGGUUGAUAAACGACGAUCAAAUCAAUCUGUGGAACGUUUCCUUUGGCAUUUCAAAUAAAUUACCGUGUAGGCAAAAAGAGUCCAGCUCACCCUGUCAGGUCACAAGUCCUCGGUGUAAAGAAGGAUCUCCAACAAGAAACUGAAAGGCACGUGAAUUUUGGUUUCAUUUCCAAGUAGCAACGUAAAUCUUUCAGGAUUAAACCUCGGAAAGAGUUUGAGAGUUCACAGAAGUUAUACUUACUGUGCUGAUGUAACAUAACAUCAAGUGUGACGCAGCGCAUCAACAAAGAUGGGAGAGGAGGAUCCCAGCAGACUGCAGCAAGUGAUCAGAAGUUUGAUAAAGCUUUACGAGUUAAUGACACAGCAAAGUGCAACACCUGUGGCAAAAACGUUACACUUCAGAAUGUGCCGUACUGCUCGGCCACAGCAGGAGGAGCAGAGCUGCAGUACACCAGCAGAAUCGAAAACGGGAUUGAUAAGAUCCAAGUAAAGACCAUCUGCUCACUUUGUAUUGCCUCUUACUUACUUACUUACUCUUACACAAUUCAUUUUAAAAAAAGCUUGAAGAAAUACUUGAAUAAAACCAAAAUACCGCUACCUCCACAGGUUUUGCACCACACACUAAUAGGGCAUUCACACCAAGCACGAGUAAAAUCAUUUGCACGAAUGAAAUACAUGUUGAGUGGCUGCAAAGAUGCGAUUAGACGCUCGUCCUACUCUGGCGGCACAAAUUGGGUGGCGCCAAUCAUGCGCAUUGAGUGAGAUAUUCACGCAAAUUAAGCGGACGCUCAAACUCGUGAGGGUUGAAAAUAUAAACACAAAUGGACAGGCGCUCUGCAGCUGGGAUACAGUGCCAGUAAUUGGUAUCCUAGAGGGAUAUCCUGGCACCCAAUUUGACGACCCUCACCAACAGGUUGUCAAAUUGGGUUUGGUAACCCAAAAAUACCGCUGGACACAUCUGUCAUCCAGGCGUGGCUAUUGGGGGAGACCCACACAUGGCGACACCUACAUCUCUGACGGUUGUUGGCCUUCCACAACAAAAACGAAGCAGCAGAAAUUCUCUGAAUGUGGUUCACUCCUAUCAUGCUUGAUGGAGACUGUCCCCCUCUCUCAUAUCCACAACUUUUUUAAAAAUUUUUUUAACAAAAACAGAAAUAAAAAGGAGCUCACCUGGAGGAAAGUGAGUGAGGAGGUCCGAUUAUCUGGUAAGUCGUGAAAAACCAUUACCUGUUACUUGAAUUGGCCAGGAUCACUGUUGAAAUUCACAUAAACUAUCUAAACUAUCGGCUAUCUAUGGGUAUCGGGAAUCUUGCGAAAAGAGCAAAUCAUUCACGGAAAUGAAGAGAGUAAAUACUUUUCAUUCACAUGUCUAGAUACACGAGAAUAGAGGGAGUAGAUUAUCUUACUUGCACCUGGUGUGAACACCUCAUAAUGAAACACGCAAUGUUGAAUGUAGAGGCAGUUAAGUGCUUGUUAUUUGAAAUCUUAUUAAAUCAAGUCCAAUGUGACGAGCAUCUUCACAAAAAAGAAAAACAAAGAAAAAAAACAAAAAACAGUGAAGGUUCUUUUAAAAACACUAAGAACCAACAGAAUGCCAUUUAUAUUUUUGCUUAAGCCCUUAUCCACUUUCAGUGUCCUCUGUCAGAUCCUGUCCAGUUAAGACCCAUCUCUUAAAUUCUUCUUCCAAGUUUGUAACAAGGAGACCAUCCCAAUACCCACGAUGACAGUUUUCACAAUUAUAACGCCUAUUUGUCGGAUAUAUUCCCUGUAAAUGUCAACUGUGCCAAAGUCCCCAUUAAGUCUCAAGUGUCUGGAAGUUUAGCGAAUCACUCUGGGACAUGCCUGGUUAAUCCCAACCACAGGCAGACAACACACGGCUCAAUUAAUUCAGAUGCAUUGUUGUUGGUUUUUGUUAAUGGCCAAAUAAUGAACAAUUAAAAAAGGCUGGGGGGAGAGGGUUAAUUAAAAAUAUAUAUCUUAGCGGAGAAAUCAGAUCAAAUCCAGAUAGAUAUACAUAUGUGUAUUAAACAAUAAGGAAUGAGUCAGUCUGAUAUGUUUUAUUUAACAUAAUUUAAGGUUCAAAUUUUUGUUAUGAAGAGAAAACCAACUGCAAAAGUUCAGAAAUGAAAAUACUGAGGCCAGAUCUAACACGGAGUCUUUUCCUUGUAAAAAUCAAUUAUCAAUUUAACUACAAAGCUUCAAGUUCAGUGGUCUGCGGCGCCCUGGAUCAGUAAAAGUGUCAUGCACCAGUCUGGCAUCAAAGCUGUGGUCUGUUCGGGUGAGAGGGUUUUGCUGCAUAAUUAUGAAUAAUUGUUACUGGCCUAUUCAGUCUCAUCAGGAUAGGACUGUGAUGUUUUACCUUUCAUAAGAAUAUUGUGAACUCAGGUGGCAGGUCAAGUAGAAUUAGUCAGUUCAUGGUGACAAAAUAACAAUGUCCAACACUGAUGAAUACAGUCUACCUCGGAAAUAGAGUCACACGGGCUUAAUGUGAUAAAAGUGAAAUUACAAGACUGAUUAUGUACAUUGGCUGCAAAAAAGGUUUUCGACCAUGUGACAAAGCUGUGCUAACACACUAGCACAGGUAAGUGGCAGCAGAAGCAGCAGCUUUGUUAGCUACUGUUACGACCCGGAAGAACGGUUAGGGGAAGAUGGGAAGUAACAAUAACUUAAACCGGUCAGGGGAGACGAGAUGAGGAGUAGGAAACAGGAAAUCAGAAUAAGUGAGUAAUUUAUUUACAAGAGUCAGUGCAGCUGUGCCUUCUUCUAUCCGCCCCACUCAUCACACCAAGCAGGUUCACCUGACACACCUGGGGAGGAACCUACCAGAGAGAGACACACACAGCAGAAAACACAGGACACACCCACACCCACAACAGCAACAAAGUACUGAAGUUUAUGGUUGACCUGAUAUCUGACAAGAAAGCAACGUUGGGGGUGGAGAUGGUCAUUUGUUGCAUUGGAGCUAGCAGUGGGGGGGCAGCACUGUGUGCAUGUUCAUGUUUGAGUGUGUGAAUGUGGCGCCUAUAGACUGUAUAUACUAUGGACAACUUGGCUCCGCCUUCCACCAUUAUACGCCGAAUUGCUCCCGAGGAGGCCGACUGUGUCCAUUCCAUAUCCAGUCUACGGUGGCGCCCCUGUUGUGUGUUAACGAUCCCUGCAAGUUAUCCUACAGCGCUGAAACAAUUUAAUAGUGACACACUUGACGGCUGAACUCGAGUGCGCUCGCAGAAUUGUGGACUUGUGUGAAAGGCUGUAAUUACAAACUUCUUACACACUGAGUUAAGUGUGUUGAGGCCGAGUAACAAGAUACCAAGCAGACAACGUUAAACCAAAGGUUACAUAAAUGUUUUCAAAUUAAAAGUUUAGUUAAAGUGUUCAUAAAUGAAGUAAACAAUGGUAACACCAAUGGAUGCCGAAGUCUGGAGGCCUACCGGUGUUAAUGACAGACAGACUCUUGGUUUCAAACUGAAAAUCAGCUCACUGACCGGUGAGGAAAUCAUCAAACUUCAUAUUCAGGCUGUUAUUAAAAACACUCAGAGACAAGCAGAUGCUAUGUGACGUUAAUUGGUGGACUGGCCCUUUACACUUUGAGAUGAGUAGCCUAAUGGAGUUCUUUGAAAACAGUAACCCUUCUUUUACACAGUGUCAAUCUUCUAAUUGUUAUGUCAUCACUGUCAUCUGACUCUUAUUUAUUUAAUGCAAUAAAGUGGGAGCUUGAUUUGUGGCCAGCACAGUCACAGCCAUUGUAUUAUUAAUGAGUGGGUAACUUCAAACAGACUAAUAAAUCAAAGACAGCAGGGGAUUGUAAGAUAAUAAAAAUGGAGAGAAUUACACAACAGUGGCUCAUGCCACCAACAGAGCCUUCGAUGUGGGGGUCUUUUAAUAUUGCUGUGGUGGCAUCCUGGAGAGGGUGUUAUGGAUUCUGAUCUAUUGUACUGCUGGUUUCAAGUGCUGCUCAUCCAGCAGCAUUAUUACCUGGGUAAAUGUAGCGACACACAAACGGCCAACAAAGUCUAUCUACAGACAACAAGGUGAGGCGCUUUCUCUGUGAGCUGGUGCUCUGUGACAGUAAUUGGGAAAUGUGAUGCAUUCACAUCCAUGCAGUUCACAACGACCACAACAAAGGUUUUUAUUUUUUUUUUUAAUUAAUUUUAAGUUUCUUAAAAGGAGUUUGACAAAUCAGCCUUAAAAUACAUGCAUUUUAAAGACAUCACACAUCUAUAGCUCUCUUUGUAAAUCUGGCUUUCCAAAUAAAUAAAUAAAAAUAAACAGCCUCUCCGUGUUUGAUAACUGUGUGCAGACUGAGCUUUGCAACUUUUAAGUGGUGAAACGAUGAGAUCUACUUGUUACUCUCCUGAGGCGAGAUUCAGUGCUUUAGAAGUUACAGUCAUUGAUGCAAACGAAAGCUUCACCAAAAAUAACAUGCAGCAAACUUUCAAAGACUUAAGUUUUUCUGUGUGUUUUCAAUUGAAGUUCAGAUCUAUUUCCUGCGAAGAGCACGUGCAUUUUGAGAGACCAGAGUUUUUGAUGGCGAGGGAGAAGAGAGAAGAGAGAGGAGCACUCUGGAGCUUUGUUGGCAAAGACAGAUUCAGGACGAUAGAGGAUUUCAGUUCUUUUGUGCCCUUGAAGAUGACCAUGUGUGACUUACAGACUGCUGUCUAGAUGCUGGAAGGAGAGUUGUGAUGUCCUCCAUUGCUUUAACUGUUAUCCUCUUAAUUUAAUUUCUAAGUAUCUGUCAAUAGAAAUGUCUCUUAGAAACGGAUACUUAGCAUGUAGAAUUCACACAUGAAUAAAAUGUGAUCUAUUUCACAUGCUGCCAGUGCCUAAAUAGCGAGGGUGGAAGCAGAACCUCGUGGCUUCAAAAGGCUCAGUGACAUACUUUUAAUCAUCUCUCAAAAGGGAAAGAUGAAACAUCUAUUUGGGACACAUCUAAAUGCUCCACUUCCUUCCUUUUAAAGCCGAGUCUUUGACGGAGUAAUCUAAGACAACUGCCUUUGCUCUGCAAGAGCGAACAGGUCAGGGGCCAUGCAUCUUCUUCAUGGUCUUUUUUCCGCCAUUUUUUUCCAUCCGGCCAUUAGACCCCAGCCAGCAUAUUCCCUGCCCUGCAGAGACUAAUGUGCCUUGAUAAAUUUAGCCUAUUAUGAAUGUAAAUGAGAGGCCUGUAACAGCUCGGCGCCGCACUAUUUGGAUAGCGGCUGAGAGCGAGAUGUCCAUCUUUACCCAGAGGCCGUUUUCUGAGCCUAUCUUUUCUUAACACAGAAAAUAAGUGAGGAUGGAAGUAAGAAAUGCUUUGAGUAAAUUAGAUUGACCCUCAAGACUUGCAUGCACUGGAACGGUACUUUGAUUUGUAUCAUGUAAAUGUUCAUCAUUAGAUCUGUUUUCAUGGGGAGAGCUCCAUGUUUCCGCCGGAUUAUUAUUCAAGAUGCCGUGCUUUUUGUGGGGUUCAUUCAUUCAUCUUUCUACUUGGCUUGAAUCCAACACGUCUGUCUUUAUUGCUCCUUGGAGAAAAACAAGAUUGCACGAUAAUGUCUGCAAUAGAAAUGAAACCUGCAGUGAAUGGAGCAUAAACACAGAUUUCCCUUUUUAAAGGGUGUUUUGUUGCUACUCAAUAUUCACUAUUUAUCACACCCUGCUUCUGAAUAAGACAUACUGGUCUAAAUCAGGUAUCUCUAACUGGUAUUAUUCCUUCAGGAAAUAAACUAGCAACAAGUAAACAUGCUCUGCUCCAGUAGAGGCAUUGUUACAAACACCAUUGUUUAGCACACAAGUAUUUUUGCUAAUUCUGUGGCUGCGAAUGAAUCUGUUUGUGCGUGGGAGGGCAGAGUGGCACAGCUCUGAUUGUGUGUUUAUGCAGAUAAGUGGAACACUAGUGACCAUUCUGGCCUGAAACAGCUAACCAGAAAGAAUGGAGCUGGGUUUAUGUUUUUCUGACAAAGUUACCCUCGUCCCCCGAUUGACAAUCUGAACUUCUCAGAGAAAUACAGCAGAGUCCCCUGGUACGGCAUUUAGAGCUGAUAAAACAAAUCUUUUGACAGGUGUUGAACUCAGGAGGGAUAGAUUAGAGUUUUGGGAGAUGUCAGGAACAAAGUCUAUUUAUUUAUUUAUUUAUUGUGAGACCAUCAUCAGGAUCAUUGUACAGCCUAACCCUUCAUAAUCCCUAACCUUCAAAUAUAUUUAUAAAAAUGCGAACCUUGACCCCAAAAGCUGCUAAGUCAAUUUAAGGAUUGUUUUUUUUUUUAAAACCCAAUUUUGAAGCAUUAGGUUGGGCAUCAUGAUUGGACCCAGAAAUGAUCAUAUUUGGCCCAGAUAAAGAUUUCUCAUUGUCAUCUCUGUAUUUUGAUUGACAGUAGGCCAUUGCAGUGUUCAGUCAAAUACAAGAGCACUCGGCUUAACCUUCCUCCUGUGUAAUCUCUCACAACGCACCCAUAAUGUUGACAUGUCGGUUUGGAGCUGUGUCUUAAAUCUGCUGUGAAUUACACUCAAAACAAUUAUCAUUGGAUUUAUUAUUCAGUUUGAUUCUCAUCUCUCGGUGGCCUUGAUCGGCUUCAUUAGGAAUAGACAAAGUAAAAAAAUCAGUUUAUUUGGUUCUUUUAUGCUUUCAAAGCCAAAAAUGUGUCUGUGCUCAAACACAGAGGGAAGGUUAAAGCAGGCAGAUAAAAAAGAAAAAUAACACUCAUUUUCCACAUACAUGUUUUCCUCUUCCUUUUACCCCUUUGAAUUGGAUUUGGUUCAUUUGGCUUUGGUCAUCUGUAGUUCUGACCCGAGUGUAGACUAGGUUAGGGUUACAUUUUAUGGUCAAUGGGGUGCAAAGACAGAAUAUACAGUACAUCGACCAAUUACCUCCAGUGAUAAGGUACAACAGUUUGUUUUAGUGGGUUCAAAGGGCCAGUUUCCUCUUUAACCCAAAUCGUCUGGAUGUAUGGACACACAGCCUUCGUACUGAGAUGCAGAGCAAAACAGGUGAACUGGGAUCACUGGAGUGGUGGACUCGGUUCACUUCCAAUUAAACCUUGGAGCGUUUCUCUGCAGUGAGAACACAAUCGACCCAGCAGCUGGAACAAACAGCUGCUCUGCACGUCACAGAAGUCAUAGCAGGGCAGCCGUAAUAUAUGCAGUAUCACAGCUUUGGGGCAACUGCAGUUACAACUGAUAGUUGACCUCAUAGCACUGAUAGUCUAAUGUUACUCAAUGCCUCUAUAUAAUUCAGUAUCAGCAGAGGACUGGCGAUGGCAACAUGCUGCUUGGCAACAUCAAAUUAGCCUGGCUGGGCCAUCUUGUUGCGUGAAUCGCUUGCCGUUCCUUCCCACAACAGUCUGGACUUCGGCCAAUUGGGAGCGAGUAUUAGAAAUCAGAAAAUAACCGGGCCAGUCAGUGACUGUUUUUCCACCGUUCCCCGGGCAACAGGGAAAGGCAGUCCCUGAUUGGUCCAUGUGUAGAUGGUGACGUCUUAACACAUGCUGCAGGACUUUUCAAAGCGCCGUUCAUUCAGAACGACGUUAAUUCUGCAGUUGACUUUGCAAAGUCGGCAGAAAUCGUUUAUAUCCGCAGAAGAAGACGUAAAAGACAUUGUUUGCUCGCACACGUUGAAAUAUUACCAAACCUUUACUUGAUGCUUGAGAGCCCAGCAGGGAACACAGCUGCGCACUGUGAUGACGUCAGAUGUUUGUUUGCAGUGAUUGGUUACAGUAGUCUGUCUAUCAAGGAAAGUACUCCGCCCACUUUUUUUAGGGCUCUGUCACAUGUAGUGUUGCCACGAACAACAAUCAAGAACAAGUUAGCAGUGUCUCACAACCUCCUGACAGAAAUCAUAGUAAUUUUGAUUUCUCUCUUGGCUCUCCACAGUGUGUAAAAUUUUCACGAUUGACCAGCAACAACAUCAUGCAUAGAAAAAGGCUUUUCUUAAGUUUUGAGAAGAAAUAAGAAUGAAAAUAAAAUCUAGGCUCGGACACCUCAGGUCUCUCAUUAGGCGUGAGGACCCAACUGUGAGGACCCAAAUGAACUCUGAAUAGUAUUCUUAAAAUAUUCAACCCUUUCUUAAGCCUUUAAAGAGGCCUUCAGUUAAAAACCAAGGUCAUACAUUUAUCAAAAAGCCACAUCUAAGUCUAUCAAGUUGGGAUUAUGCCCACUGCUCUCCUUUUUUUAGUCUCCCCCGUGACUCUAAAAUGUAUCUUUUAUUAUUCAUAAUGUGAGUCAAGUACCCUGGAGACAACUCUACCAAAUGCACUGGUUUCAACGUGCUCCACAGAAGAUAAAACUGAACAAUACUCACACGCACAUACCCAUACACACAGAGCCAAUAAGUUCUUGUUCUGGGCACUCGACCAAUUCAAAUAAGCCUGACCGCUCUUUCCGUUCGCACUCGCCUCCCUCCUUCCUUCUUCUCUUUCCUGACCUAUAACCAGCACAGCAUGUCUUAACAAACUGCACUGUGGACACAGAGCCAGAAACAUAACUAUAUUUCACCUAGAAUUCAGUUACAUGCCAGUAAUACCAAUUGGACACAGCUUCCGCAUCCCAUCAGAGGGUUAAGUCCGGCCAAAUUGAAAAACAUAUUGCUUAAAACCAAGGCUUGAUGGACUGAUUUGUUGGACAGCAUGGUCCCUAAAGGGAUAAAUGAAGAAUAAAUCCCUUUAUGGUUUUUGGACCAUAGGGUCAAUCUUCUGGAUUGGAUAUGGAGUGGUUUUGCCUGUCAGAGUUUAUAUUCUUCAUAACUCCUACAACUUUGCAAACACAGCCUGAAAAAUCAGUGUUCAAUAGAGCAGACUCUGUGGUACUGAGCUGUGAGGUUACACUUCAUCACGAAAACCUCACCUCAGCCUCCCUGAUGACCUUUAGGAAGAGCUUUUUUGGCUAUUUAAGUUAUGUGAAAUUGUAGAGCCAGCCCAAGAGCCAUUGUUGGGUUUUAAUACAAACUCAAAAUGUUCUAAAUAAUAAUGGUUCAAAUAAAACCAGCUGACUCAGAAAUUAUACCCCAAAACCAGAAAAGCCAAACAUAAUACACAAGUAAACUAUGUGUACUUGUGUAUUAUUUGAAAACUUGUGACUUUUACCCUCUACAUGCAAAAGAGAAAUGCGAUCUAUGGUGAUGCCGCACCUUUACCUCACGCAUGCGCCACUCAGAUCAGGCAGCUAAGCGUAGAGCUAACAUUGCUCAGAUAACAGUUAGGGUUCGUCUUCUUGGCAGUGGUAAUGAUGGUUACAGCAGAUACAGAUGACGAUUCCACACAGAGCACCCGUGGCCAUAACCCAAGUCUAUGUUUGGGAUUGUUGAAAUGAAGAAUGAUUCAUAUCGUUUUAGAUGAUCGCCACGCACAAACUUCAUCACUGCCUACAAAGACUCACCAUCUAUCAUCUGUCAGGACUUAAACGGGAAAAAAAAUGAAAACAGCAAUGGUUGUCUUUUAGUAGAUUCAGUCGUGUUUCAAUAGGCAUCUCUACAGGCUUCAUAACGUUUUCUACAAGCUUUUCGUUCUACAAGGUUCUACAAGCAGAUCAGAGCAUUCAGUCGGUUGGUUCAGUUAUCAGGCUCUGUAAAUUCAUUGUGGCGACAAUACAAUAAUACGCUGACAUAAAAAUAAAAAUGUAUUUUUAAUAUUUAAGUAUUUUCAAAAGCAGAUACUCCAGUACUUAAACUGAAGUAAAAUUUUGCCUGAACAACUUUCACUUGUAUAGAAAUAAAACUUGACCAGGAGUAUCUAUACUUUCACUUAAGUAAUUUAGUACUUUGUCCCCCACUGUUUUUAUAAUACUUUUUUCAUUUGUUAAAGAAAUUGAUGAAGAAAACUCAAAAGUUAUACAUUUGUAACCAAGGGUAUUUAAGUUUUCUCGAGUUUGUGGUCAUGAAAAAAAGGAAUCCCGCCUCUGACAUGGAGGUGGUGGGGAGUGUUGGGAGGUGGGGUGUCAAGUAACGGUUAUUUUCCAGUAAAUACUUGAUAGUAAAAUGCCCCAAACUGGCAAUACUCACAGUAAGAAUCAGCUUUGUGUUAUUACACUUGGAUUUUUGUCCAGGCCACAUGUUCCCUCCCAUCAGCCAAACCACUAAUACCCAUUUGCCCCACAUAAGAACAAUCUGUAAAACCAAUUAACCGUUGGAGAAAGUACUACUGUUAACAUCUGUGUUUUCAUCACAAAAUCUAAAAUUCCCUGCUGUUUUGAGCUUCAGAGAAAUCACUUUUUUUUUUCUAUCUCCUCUUGUGCUGUAUUGGAGCCCCUCUCUCCUCUGAUCUGCUCCAUUUUGCUCUGUUAGUCUGUAAUGAGUGAGUCCAUCUCUCGCUCUCAGCACUAAAGGCCUGGCCCAUUGGAGUGUUUUAGUGCAGGCUCUUCUCAGUAAAUUUUCAAAUAAUGCAUGAGCUUUGUGUGUGCACGGGUAUGUUUUUGUGUGUGUGUGUAUGUGUUCUACCUUGGGAGUCUCUACAUUUGGAAGAAGUACCAAUUUAGACAGAAGUGGUUUAAGUCAGGUAAGAGAGAUCCAGUUCUUUGGAGAGAUUGCACCCCAUGAGGGAGACUAAAACCUCCACACCAGGGAGCUUCAGAUAGUGUGCAGUGAAAAAAGUUAGACACUUUGAAACCCCCUGAGGGACACUGAAACCUCAGGCAAAGUGUCGAACUUGUUUGCAUGAGUUAGUGAAAUGAAGCAGCUGUUCUUUUGCACCUUGCCAACACAGAAAAUAACUUUGUAGUAUCACAACAUGUGACUAAAGUUUUUUUCUUUUUUCAAAGCUAGCUGUUAUAUAAUUUAAAAUCACUUUCGUUAUACAACACUAUCUGCCACAAAAAGUUUGAUGCUAAAGCUUUUUCAUCUCCUUUGUUCCUCUAGGUCUCAUGAGAUUGGAAGCGUUUGUUGUACAAGACCAUUAAAAUUAAUAAAUAGAUAAAUAACUGUGAUUCUAUUACUGAAGAUUUAUUAGUUUGAAUAAAUUUUACACAACUGCCAAAGAAUAAGAGACCUAAUCCGUCUUUGUAUCCGUGCAGUUUUUAUGUAAAGGACAUUACCUAUCAUUGACCUUUAGGUGCCGUUCAGACAUCAGAUGGAAGUGGUGGACUCUGCACCAAAUAAUGCAUCCUCUUGCUUUGCUUUCCAAAUAUAGCAGUGAGGUUGAUAUUAAUAUGCAACAUCAAGUUACAUUUUGCAAUAAAACAUGGGAAAGGUGUUUAACAUUUUAAGACUUGUCUACACCGCUCAAGUCUUAAGACCAGUAUGAAACCUCUAGUGUUGAAAAAUGAAGCCAACAAGGAAAUGCAAAAAAAACUAUGAUUCCUCGGGGGUGAGACUAAAGAGGGGUUCGUUCAGAUGGUCAUACUGGGUAAAGUUAUGGAGGUUUCUAACUAAGUGCCCACACGCUAAUAUGCUAACCUGUCCUGUUUGGUACUCCUCAGAGAGGUCCUGGUGACUGAGGUGCCUGGUGGGUUCUGAAGUGUUCCCUGCCUGACAUGUCACUGUUUUGUCGCACCUUUUGCAGGUUGGUUUAGAUAAGUCAGAUGGUUGUCAAUCAGAGUAGGUUCUGUAGGCAAAUUAUUUCCACAAGAGACGCCAUCAGCCAGCUCAGUUCACCAGGUGACUCACUCUCCACUCUCUCUUAGUAGAAAAAGAAGCUAACUCUGUAUAUUCAUGAAUGUCUGACAGGCUUGACAUUGGUGUACACUCAUCAGCAUUUAUUAAACUCAAUCAGUGACCUCCAGAGCCCUUACUCCUACUUUAAAUAUGCCCUGAAACUUCAUUUAUAAUGUAAACUCUACGACAUAUCAACAAAAGUUUUGACUGAGCCUUUUAAGUCUCUGAAUCCCUCUCUGUCUCCCCUCUCAUUAUGUUAGUGAAUCCUCAGGGGAAGGCGGCAGAUUAAGCUUAAGCUCAUUGCCCUCCCUUCAGGGGGCUGCAUGUGUCCCUGCUUCCCCUCCAUAAAACUCUGAAGCUUCGCUCUCUAGUGGAAAGAAACAUCUGUCCGGUUAAAGCUUUAAAACUGUUCAGGAAACCUCUGUGACCUUGAAUGUGCAUCUUCAAAUCUCUGUCUCUAAGACCCGAUGGCCCGGGGUACUGACUCUCCCUCCCUCCCUGCUCAGAUCCUGUAACAGUGGGUUGUUGCGCUGGAAAACCCUCGCUUAUUGCUGCCCUGCUGGCAUCUCGCUCUCAGCCGCUGCCCUUCGUCUCUGUGUGAAAAGAAAACCUGACAGGACGGUCUAAAGAUGUUGUCUUCACACUGUGGUUGCUUCAAAAGUUUCACUCUUCCGUUAAAACACAGAUUUAGUUUAGACAAAUAAUCAUUUAUUUUAUUCUUCAAACAAAAAACUCAAAACAAUCCAUAAUUUAUCGUCUUAUUUUGCUGUGUUUUGGCGACCACAGUUUGAAAUUUCCAAGGCUGUUUCAACUUAAUAAGACUUAUUUUGUCAAUGCAAUUUUGGUGCUGUUCAUAACAUUUAGAGUAGACAGUCUGUGCAGAAUUUCAUGAACAAUUUAAUGAAUUUUGUAUUUUUUCCCCCUUUUGUCUGCUUCGAGUUGAUCUGUUUUGAACAGAGGCGUACACAGACACGAGCAGAAUGCUACAUUUCAAUCAUUACCCGAAAAAUGAAUCUCUGAAAACUCCUAAAAGAAAGUGCUUUUAUAUUUCGCACACAAAAAGGCAAGACUGCAUGACGGCACAAAACCAAAAGAGAUCAGAUAGAGCCAGAUAUAAACUCUAUUUUUAAAUGGUGACUGCUCAUUCCAGGUCAAGGGGAAGAAACAGUGAAGAGUGUAAAAGCAAAAUGCCAAAGGGGGCAGGGAAAAGGCUCUCUUUGGCCUCCCAGAGAGGGCAACUAUUGUGGGUGAAAUUUACUUCAGACUGAAGAUGGAUACAGUUAAAAGCCAGAGUUGGUUGUUUGAGGACAAGACAUUUUACUUCCCUGAGGAUCUCCAUUACUUACAGUGGCUGCAGGCCUUACAGUGUUACAGAAAUCUCUACCUAGUUAAUAAGAAAAAAAGAAAAAGUUGAAGAGGCGGCAGAGAGGAAGUUACCAAACACUGAGAAACAAACUAAGAGCGUCUCAAAGCUGUGUAUUUUCUGCUUUCCUCGAGUUGAGAAUUUCAGCCCCACACCACCACCACCACCGCCGCCGCCGCCACGCUGCUUUAAAGGUCACUGAGUAUCAGGCUGUGCGUACUUACCAAGCCACCUGACCGGGCCAAUCAACCACCAGCCAUGGGCUCUUUCACACAGUCUGAGACGAGGUAGGCUGUGUGCAAUCAGCUGAAAGGAGCUGACCCCUCAGCCAUGUCAGACCUCUUUUUUAACCUUUCAGAUAAGGUGUACUUUUACAGAGGAAAAGCUGAUGCCCUUCAAACCACGGCAAUUUGGUGUAUUUGAUGUAAUACUACCUAAAGCAUUUCAGCCUAUCCAGCACAGUAUCUCGUAAUAUCAUGUCUAACACACACUUUAGAUACACUUGGAGAGUACAUGAGAAGAGCAGAUGUUGUUUAUUCAGCUCCUAUCGGUCAGUUAAAAGUGUUGUGUUGAUUCAUAAUCACUCCUGUUUCUCUAAUUUGCUCAAAUUAGUGUUACCAUGGCAUCAGCAGUAUCCAUGAGGUGUGAGUUAAAGGGUCACGACCAAUGCGCCAGCCAAGUGAUGGUAGAACGUCUGCAGGUUUAAAUGUUUGAUGAAUAAGAACUGCUUAGUUUCAUGACGUUUGUCCCGAUGGUACUCCAGAGGGUGUGUGUUCAUUGAGGGAGAAAAGUAAGAGAUAGCAAGACCUCAUGCCGUGAAAACUGCUGCGAGCCGGACUGUGAGUGGGCCUGUCGUGUUCUUCCAAGGUGGUGAUGGCAUGAUGUGUGUAUGUGAAGUGACAGCAGGCUGAAGCGAACAGAUCUUCUAUCUGUGCGACACCGAGGACGCUCCUUCGCUGAGGGUUGAACGAACCAGCUGCAUGCGUCAAGUUUACAUCCGAGGUGUUUGUGUGACAGUCGUGCCUCCCGAAAGUUUAUGAAAUAAACACUAACUCUGAAAUGUAGGUUAUGCUGUGGCUGUUAUUGCAGUUUGUGUGAAGUUUUCACUUUCCUCUGAGCCUGCUCGCUUCUUUGGUGACUCACUGUGUGCGUCAGUCGCAGGAGAGGUACAGUUGCAGGGAUGUCAUUAGUUAAAAGUUCUGUAAUAUCUUUUUAACUUUAGGGCUGAUUGCACUUUAGUGCCAUAAUAAUCAUUCAUAGUGGUGUAGGGCCCCAUUACACACAAAAUUAAAAAAAGAAAGAAAAAUCUCAAAAUGCAUCUGAACUGAUUUCACACAUGAAAAUGUUUUCAGAUGUUUUUAGAAAGGACGAUUUUAUGAGAACUUUUUGUUGCUCCAGCGUGAGUCUUAUGAUAACUUGAGGAGAUGUCAUUUAAAUCAGCAUUAACUGUGACUAAAAUAUGAGAAUACACCCAGAUAGCACACGCACAUUAACGUUUGCUAAUCACCACGAUGUUGCCAAGAUGUCAGCAAUUGAUCUAAAAUGAUCGACACAAGAUUUUUUAAUUAUUAAUCAAAGUUGUAGACCUCUAUCUAGAGGUUGAUGCUGUACUGUACCAGGACAAGUGGUGCUUUAGUGGUUACCUGUAGCUACUGGGUCCGUUUGCGUCUGAGAAGAGAUAUGCAACUUAAUUAACCAUCACAGAAAAGUUGUUUUCUGCCGAUUUCCGUCAGCUUACCUGAAAACAAUGGGGGAGAGUUGGCAUAUUUCCCUCUGCAUUUAACGGCAUGUAAUGGCGACUGCCAUCGGGUGACUGUCCAAACUGGAAGGUGGGGUCUGCCAGUUGACGCAAAAAUGACCUUUCGGAGACGUUUGAUGUACUGGGACAUUAAAGCACUUAAUCCGCUAUUGGACCGAUGCUCGUCAGACGUUAUAGGCCAAGGUGACCAGAUUUCUGUGAUGAAAUCCGGCAACAUCUCGGUACUACUUAGUAGCACGCCCCCCAUAAUAACCCUCCCCCCAAAAAGAUAAAUAAAUGAAUAAACUGUUGUUCAGGACUGUGUGCAACAUGGUUACUCGUGCUUCUUACCUACUUAACCCAGAAAUCGGGGACGUCUGGUCACCUUAUUAUAGACUGGAGGCCGAUGUGCCGUUCUGAGGCCGACGUCGGCACCACAUAUGUGUGCUAUCUGGUCAGUAUUUGUGUCUGUGUGACUGAUAACUACAUUGGAAAUACACACCCUGAAGCCUCAUUUAUGCUUCAGAUCAACUUCACUGCUGCACCAUCAUGAGUUUUACAGACGUCUGUGUUGUCUUCUCUCUGGUCCUGCCAUGUUCCCUCCUUGUUUGUGUACACCAUGGCGACUGAAUCUGAGCCGUAUGUAUUUGAGGAGCUACUGAAAUAUGUUGAGCAGCUGUUGAUCAUGCUGCAAUAUCUGCAAAAAAAAAGAAAAGACAGGAGACGUUACAGAGAUGAAACAACAGCUGAGGUGGAGGACAUGGAAUUGGUGGACUGUGUAGGAUACAGAGCUACACUUUGGCGUAUCAUAAAUACUGACUAAAAUAGGGAUGUUGGAUUGUGGGUCAAAAAUCAAAAACGGAUGGAUGAAUGAAUAAGGUUAAUUAGCCUAAUAGAUGGAUAGAUGGAUAAAUACUUGCCUUUGGUAAAUACUCACUUUCCUGACUUACGAUGCUGCAUCUUCCUCAUAAAGUUUGCCGAAACUUCUACGCCUGUAACUCAUUUCUGUCUGUGACUUACUCAUGUUGAUGGCAUGACCUGAACUAGCCCCCCGACUCUUGUCGUAUUUAGAGCCACACUGAUGAGCGUGUGACCCAGGUGGAGCGCCCAUCUGCACACAAAAAAAAGCAGAAGUGCUCUUCAGUGUUCAUCUGACUGUGCUUUACUUCCUGUCCCGUGGACACAGCGUGAGCGCUCACAUCUCUUGUCUGCUUUCCUGCGUAGAUCAUUUUAACAUCCAGGUGGCAACCAGUUUUAAAAUAGAAAUACCAAAACACAAAAACUGAACUCAAGAAGUCCAGCGACUGAAUAAUGGAGAAAAAAAAAGAAGCCGAUUAAGAGUUUUGCUCCAGUUUGAUAUAUUCCAAAUGUACACUUAUAACACAUACAUCAGAAUCAGAAUCAGAAUCAGAAUCAGAAGGGGUUUUAUUGCCAUUGUCGAUGAACAGGAUUCACAGACUAGGAAUUUUUUACUGCGUGAUGGUGCAACAUUAAACGGAGAAUAAUAUAUAAAAUACUAGAAUAGAAAGUAAUAAGAGCAUGCAGGAAAUAUAUAAAGUAUAAAAGUAUGACAGGCUAUGUACAACGACACAAUCCAGAACAGCAGUGCAGUGGGAGGAGUGCAAUUAAAAAACCAAGGUACAUUAAACUAAAGUGACCAGUGAUAAAGUGACAGAGUUAAAGUGACUGAGUUAUUAAGCGUUCAUGAGUCUUAACGGCAGAGAGGAAGAAGAUGUUCUUAUGGCGGGAGGUUCUGGUCCGAAUGGACCGUAGCCUCCUGCCCGAGGGGAGUGUCUCAAAUAGUCCAUGUGCAGAGUGAGAAGGGUCAGCUGCGAUCCGACCUGCUCGGCCCCGAGUCCUGGAGACGUACAGGUCAUGGAAAUAUGGAAGGCUACAGCCGAUCACUUUCUCAGCAGAGCCCACAAUGCGCUGCAUACAUACAGCGUAGAGCAAAGGUGAUGCUCAAUGGGGCUUUGGUACACAGACCAUUCAUGAGCCUGAAGCACUGUUUCAUUUCACUUGUGUGUUUGUGUGGAAUUUUUCUGUUGCUCUGAAGGCUGAUCCACGUGAUGUGAUCUGAACUAACAGUCUGGUCUGCAUUUCUUGUUCUUUGUGGAUCAUGUUGUUGUUUUUUUAGGAAACCCUGGUCAGGAUAACAACAGGCUGUCAAAGCUGCUGCUGACUGUGAUUUCGCUCACUCUCGUCGGCCUCUUUGAUUGUAGUCCUGCUGUAGCAAAAAGUCCAGAUAACAGUCAUUGAUGUUGAUUUGUUCGGAUGCCUGAAUGAGCUCGGGAAUGUCAUAAACUUGUCAGUUACAGUCAGUCCUUGCAGAUUCGGGGGUUUCACAUUUGUUGACGUGUUGCAAUGCCAGCAAAGAAAACAAUGAUGAACACUAUACCAUGGAAACCCUUAAUAUAGAGCAAAAAACUGAAAGGACAGCUGGGCAGAUCCAUAAUUUUAGACAGAUUUGGACACGAUGAAAGUCCAGCUCUGUUUUUAAACCUGCGACUUUGACUGUUGUCAAAGAUAAAGAAAGUUUGGUCAGUUUCUCUUUAAAGUAAAAAUAUAGAGAGGUUGAAAAAUGUUGUUCAUGUAUGUUGAUGGGUCCAAAAAUCCCCAGGUAGGACACCUCAAGUCUGGAUCAGUCCCUUCUCGGAAUCCUCUAUUCUGUCUCCUCCAUGAAUAUCCUCAUGUUGUAAUCUGGAGGUUCAUGAUUAAAGGUCAGUAUAAAGGUCAGCUUCAUGAAACAUCAGCUCCUAUUGAAGGAUCACUCAAUAAUCAUUUUGCUUGGCUGCUUGUGUCUGCUUUCUCACCCAUGUCCGUUUUUUGUCCCUUGUUUAGAGGAAUCUCAUGUCAAUUUUCUACUUUUUUAAAAUUUGUUUUUAUGUAUUAAGUUUGUGCUGUCUGCGUGAUUUACAGUAAACCUGGAGAAAUGGCCCCCUGGAAAUUACGGGUGUUUUCACACAUUUUUCCCUUGUGUUCACACCACAUUAUAGUAAUGCAGAAGCACACUGUAUCACCAUAAGGCUGUCUUUACAUCAAUGAGGCACACCCUCCCUUCCUUGCUGCCUAGGGAAACGUAUAUCAUGCACACUGAUUGCACCAUGGGGAGUCCGCUCCAAGCUGCUAUCUAACUAAUAGUAGCCAGUUAACCCACCAACAGAAUCAAUCUUGCUUUGACUUUGAGCAGCGAGGAAGUCAAAUGCCUCAUCCCUGUUUGGACAGAUUAGCACUUUGUAAAAUGUCAGACAAGAGCAGCCCAGCAGAAGUGGAGGUUUUAGUGAUGAGAGGGAAAAAUUCCACGAGUUAGACAAGCUGGACCAAAUUCUUGGAACUAAACCAGAGUGUUGGACCAGUAAAUGUCAAGUUCUGUGCUGUUCCCUCCUCUAGCGCCGGCUCUUCUGCUGCUGUUGAAGUGGAUGGAGAUGGUGGAUUUGCUAUUUUUGUGCUAACUGUCCGUUGCGAGCGAAAUUGCACAUUGUCUACAUAAGUGCCACCUUACCCACAACUUCGAGCAGGUGUUAUCUCCUGUAGUGUCGUUGAUUGCAUACUUAAAGCACACUAACCUGUAGGAGGUUCAGUUGAAGCAGCUAAAACCACCUCUUUGUGGCUGUCUUAGGCUGAAAUGCCUCCUCAUAUAGAACAAGAUUAGAUGUUUAACUGUGUGAAUUAAAAUCGUAUCUUGCGGUAACCAGGGAGUAAUAUAUUAUAUGUUUCCUCCAGUGAUUCAUUAUGGAAUACAGGAUAACGAGGUGAACCUGAAGAAGAACAUGUUUCUCUUUUUAAAAUAUGAGUUUACAAGUUUGUGUCCUAGUUGUUCAUGGGGAAAGUUGUAGUAAGUUUUAUCAAAUACUACACCAACAGGGACAUAAUAAGAACUGUAGCAACAUACCAACCCUGCAAUGUUGAUAUCAGCUUAUUGGCAAUCAUACUUGUUAGCAUUGUCCCAGAAAACUAUUAAUCAUAAUCCCUGCACUAGCAUAUGUACCCACAGCUCUGGUUCGGUACAUGAUAGAGAUUAAUAUCAUCCAGGCUAAUUAAGUACACUUGGGUAAACGAAAUGUGGUAUAUAAAUCAAUUAGCAUGUUCUACUUCGCAAAGUCAUAGUGUGCAAGACUAGGAAUGGAUCUUAGAUAAUUUAAUGCUUGGAGAGUACAAACUGGCUUAUGUCCAGGGUCUCCACAAGGAGGUGAAAUGAUAGUUUUCUGUUUCACUUGAAAUGUGCACAUGUCAUUUCAAACAUCUGAAUUUCUAUGGCUGUGGCUGGACUCAGGUCAUCUAUAAAACACAAAACAUUUAGUUUCUGAGACUUUUUUAACCAAAAUAUAUAAACCCCAUAUUCAAUGAAGUUGUGUAUAAGGUGAAUAAAAACAGUAUACCAAUAUUUGAAAAUCUUUUCCCAUCCUAUAUUUAAUUUAAUACACUUCAAAAACAAGAUAUUUAAACUUCAUUGAAUUUAAUGCCUCCCCUACUUCAUGUUAACUUUAAAUCUCAGCCUGAUAAUGCCUUGAAAACACAGUAUUUCCAAGAGAACAUUUUCACCAUAUUUAGGACCGUUAAAAGUGGUCAUUUAAUCUCUUUGCUUCGUGCUUGUGGAGCUUUCAGCUCUUGGAGCGGAUAGAGAGGAAUAAGAUGUGUUAGAGGAUGAAGGAAGUGAAGAAAGCAGGAAAAUGAAGGAGAAGAGAAGAAGGUGAGGGAAGUUAGGGGCCUUUCACUCGAGUUUUAGCCGGGUGUCUUAGGCCUGUAGCCAGAGAAGCCAAAGAGACACAGACGUCUGCAGACUGACAAACAUAAAUGAAGAAAGAUUUAACUUGAACGGCUUUAAAACAUACGGAGGUCGAGCCAUAUCCUAAGUUUAAAUGUGUUAUAUGUUAAUAAUUAUGUUGUACCUUAUACUGCAGUCUACAGACUCAUAAUGUAGUUGGACUGGAUCACAAAUUACUCUUUUCUGGUUGUCAACCUGUCCAACAUACAGUAUGUCAGUUUGUAUAGUUUAGAGUUUGUACCUGGUGUUUUUUCGUCUCGGCCUUCCCUGUGUUUAACUUUCUUUCUGGGUGGAUUUGAUUUGUUCAUCUUGACACAUGCCGUGUGUGCUUCAUAUCUGUUGACAACAGGAGCAGGAGACACUUCUGAGGUGGAGGUGAGACGUGCCGCAGUUCUUCCUCCUGAAACAGAAGCACUGACUAGAGUGGACAUGGAUCAGCUCCAGAGUGUGAGACACUCGUCGUGAAAUGGAGCACAUGCACUCGCUGUGGAGCUAUGAGGUGAGAAAAGGGGGACAGAGCCGGGCCGUUUCAGAU